GUUUUGGGUACAGAGGGCCAUAGGUUCGAAUCCUGUCACCUUGAUGUGGUAGCCUUCUCCGUGGUCGGACAGUAAGGCAAACAGCGCAAAGCAUAAAGUAAAGACAUGAUGCCUCGACUAAGUAAAGUGUUUUUGCCCCUUAUCGGUAGUUCCGUAGCAGGUUGUUUCGUACGUUUUCUAGGAUCAGAUAGAAGCACCACCCCAGAAUUGAUCCUUCUUUUCUUCUUACUUUUACUAAGUCUGACUCUAGUUUCUCGUUCAACAAAAAGAAAAAGGAGUGUGAUUCUUUUAUUCCUAAUAUUUUUCAUCUCUUUCUUUUUCUAUUUUCUCCGGAUCUACUUACUUUCUCGCUUAGAUGUUCUUUUGGCUGAUCUUUUCUCUUUUGUUUUGGUUUUGAGUGUGGGGGGAGGGCAAGGACUUCCUCUUCCGGGCCCUUCAAACUCCUCAUCGGAAGAUUUAUUCGGGCUCCAGGUCCUGUCGGAGCCUUGGCCCCCGACUCACAAUAUAGCCUUGGAGUCAUCGAUGAUAAAUAGGAUAUUGGCAAUGGAAAAUACCAAUAGCAUUUUUUUGAUGGAUAAGGAUAGGGGGUCUAUUGGGCAGAAGUAAAACAUUCACGACCUCAAAAUCUCAAACACCCAGGGUUUAGGAGUGAAGGAAGGUGAGUACAGGUCGUCCGUGGCCUGAGAAACCAUGGAUUCCAGUGAGAUUAUGGCCGGAGAAGGGUGAGAGGGGCUAGGUUUUCAUGACCCUUCGAGAGAGUUUGAGAGAGGGAGAGAUUUUAGAGGUGGAUAUUGAAGACAAAUGAGAAUUAGGGCUGGGUUAGGGUGAACUAAAAAGGAAAGGGUUAAUCGUGGCCGUUGAUCAAAAGGAUCAAUGGCCUGGAUUAAAAGGAAUCUCGGGUGGGUUGGAUAAAAGUGUUAAGAGGGUUGGUUUAAAUAAAUUAGGCUGGUCCGAUUUUUGGGUUUGAAAUUGGGUUGAUUUCAGGCAUAAAUUGAAACGUAAAUGGCGCUACAAUUGAAAUGAAUUGGGGCUAUAUAUUACAUAGCCAGUUUUUCCCCUUUUAUUUUAUAAAAUAGUCACAAUGAUUUUGAAAUUAAAUUAAAAGUACUGAAUCAUUUAAUAAUAUAUAAAUAUUAAUGUAAAAAUACUGGAACCAAUUUUAUUAAUUAUAAAAUGCUAUUAAAUCUUAAAGUAUGCUAAAUUGUAAUUACAUGCAUUUUAGUUUUAAAAAUAUCAAACAAAUUUUUAAAAAUAUGAAAAACCAUGUUAGCUAUGUUUUGGUAUAAAUAUAAGAAUAAAAUAAAUUGUUCACAAAAAAUAAUAAUUUUGGGAAUAACUUAUCGGAUUUUAUGGUAUAAAUAGGCAAUAUAUUGGUUUAAAAAAUUAUUAAAAAUGUCAAAACUUUUUGAUGUGCUUAUAUAUGCACAUAUAUGUUAUUUUGGAAGUAUUUUGUGUAUAAAAAAUACACAGGGAAAAAUUGGGUAUCAACAGCUGCCCCUCUUUACCUGAGGAAGAUGAAAGAGUUGUCGGGUAAAGACAAGAUGGCCAAUUUUGACCGAAUCGGCGAUUUAAAAGAAUCUGACCGAGCUCUGGUCUCUGAGCUGCCUACAUAUCCUUGGUUUUAUAGGAAUUAGGCCAUAUGUAAUUCAUGAACCAUUGGCGGAGUGUGUCGAUGGAGAUUUCAAAAAAGAGCGAUGAUUAGUUUGUAAAGGUGUUUGGAGUCAGAUGGCUGUGGGAUCGCUCCUGCUGAGACGGCCGUUUGCUAGCUAGUGUACCUGCAAAUGAGUAAUGUGGAAUAUAUUGUGCAUAAUUUAAACAUGAUGCAAGUUCCCAUUGGACCAUGAAUGAUGUCUUCAGACGGUUAGGAUGACGUCCUCAGACUAUGAUGUCCUGGGCCAUAAACAGAAAAAGUAAAGAUUCGCAGGCCAUGAAAUGGUAUUCUCGAGCUAUGCAGAUGGUGUCUCCGAACUAUGAUGCCUUUGAAUAAGUUGGCGAUCUUUCUACCCAUGAGAAGGUGGCAAUCUUUCAGUUGAUGAAUACAAAAAGUGGCAAUUUUUCGGCCAAAGUGAGAAUUUAAAUGCACGUGGUGAUACUUACAGUCGUUCAAAGAAAUAAAGUGGUGAUAUUUCAGCCAUGCAGGAUGAAGACAAUGAUUAGUCUCGAAAGGUAGUUAAGUAGCCUUAUGCAGGAUGGAGACAGGGCUUAGUCUCGAAAGGAAGAUAAUUAGCCUUAUGCAAGAUGGAGGUAGAGCUUAACCUCGGAAGACAGAUAAAAAACCUUAUGCAGGAUUGAGACAAGGCUUAGUCUCGAAUGGCAGAUAAGUAGCCAUAUGCAGAUGGAAGUAGAGCUUAACCUAGGAAGGCAUAUAUAUAGCCUUACGCAAAAUGCAGAUGGAGACAAUGCUUAGUCCCGAAAGGCAGAUAGAUAGCUUUAUGCAGGAUGGACGUAGAGCUUAACCUCGGAAGGCAUAUAAAUAGCCUUAUGCAGGAUGGAGACAGAGCUUAGUCUCGGAAAGCAGAUAAGUAGCCUUAUUCAAAAAUGGAGAUGGGGCUUAGUCUCGAAAGACAGAUAAGUAGCCUUAUGCAGAUGGAGGUAGAGCUUAACCUCGGAAGGCAAAUAGAUAGCCUUAUGCAAAAUGCAGGUGGAGACAAUGCUUAGUCUCGAAAGGCAGAUAAGUAGCCUUAUUCAAUGCAAGAAUGUAAAGGCGUAUAGAGGUAAGACUUUCUUAGCUGGUAGCUGAUAAUGACAUCAUGACUGCUGGGGAAUGUUUUGCGCGGAUUGUUAUUUUCUGAAUAAGCGAUUGUUAUUGGUAGUUUCAUUCCUGAAAAGUUUGAGUGUGUGAAUGUAUUCAAUGAUUUGUGGCCAUCAUCCAAAGAAAAAUGAUGAGUUCUGUAAAGGGGGAAAGGUUAGUUCAUCUUCUUGUGGCUCCUGACGUCGCGUAUCAUUGGAUAGCGUUGCUAAACGACAGCGAUUCAAAGGAUAGUUAUGCAUGAUUUAGUAGAUAUAAUGUAAGUAUGUAUUUGAGAAAAUGAUUUUAUUUUGAAUGGACCAAUGAUGGCGACGUGAUCCCAGACAUUGAAACCUUGCUUGCUCCGGAAUUUUAAGGGUCCUCCUCAAAAUUCUACCCCAGUUUACUAGGCUGGUGCUUCUGACGGCUGUGCUGAAUGACUGAAAAUGAUCAACCUCAGAAUGUUUAGGGUCCUCUUCAAAAUUCUGCCCCAGUUUAUUGGGUUGAUGCUUCUGGCGAUGAAAAGACCAAAAAAUUAACUUCGAAAUUUUGAGGGUCCUCCUCAAAAUUCUGCCCCAGUUCCAAUAGCGGGGAAAAAUAGGGUUUUAUUAAGUUGUGACCCAACCCUUAGGGCUACCUACGUAUCCCCUCUUAAACAGGAAUCAGGUCAGGCAUAGUUCAAAUUAUAUCAUGAAGAAAACAUAUGAUUAUAUGUAGUAUCGUUUCACUGCAUCAUAAUUCAUUAGCUUUGGCCAGACUUUUCCAUCCAUUUCUGCAAGAAUAAGGGCUCUCCAGUUAGAACCUGGUGAACCAUGUACCUACCCUGCCAAAUGGGAAGGAAUUUCCCUUUGGCUUCAUCUUGAUGGGGGAAUAUUUUCUUCAACACCAGCUGCCCCGGUGAAAACUUUCUUGGUUUAAUUCUUUUGUUGAAGGCUCUGGACAUUCUAUUAUGAUACAAUUGACCAUGGCAAAAAACAUUUAUCCUUUUCCUGUCUAUGAGGGGUAAUUGCUCGUAGCGACCUUUGACCUAUUUUGCGUCGGCAAACUCUGCUUCUUGCAUGAUUCUUAAAGUGGGAAUUUCCACCUCGGUGGGAAUGAACGCCUCUGUACCAUAAAAUAUCAUGUAAGGAACUGCCCCGGUUGAUGUGCGGACUGUGGUGUGAUAUCCCAAUAAGGCGAAUGAUAACUUCUAGUGCCAUUGUUUGUGCCUUUCGAUCAUCUUCCUUAGUAUCUUCUUGAUAUUCUUGUUGGUUGUUUCCACAACUCCAUUAAGCUGAGAUCUAUAGGCUAUAGAAUUCUUGUGUUCGAUUUUGAAUGUUUCACACAUUGCUUCUAUCAAGUCGCUGUUGAGAUCGGAAUAAUUCUCAGUGAUGAUUGAUUCCGGAAUUCCGAAUCGACAAAUGAUAUGGUCUUGAUGAAAUGUGCCACAACUUUCUUAGUCACUGCUUUGUAUGACACUGCUUCGACCCAUUUUGUAAAGUAAUCAAUUUCCACUAAGAUGAACUUGUGUCCGUUUGAUACGGCAGGCUUGAUUGGUCAAAUAACAUUCAUUCCUCAUGCGGCAAAUGGCCAUAGUGAGCUUGUUUUAUUAAGCUCAUUUGGAGGCAUCUUUAUCAUAUCGGUAUGUAUCUGACAUCGGUGGCACCUUGGACAUAGUGGAUGCAGUCUAUUUCCAUAGUUAUCCAAAAUUAUCCUGCUCGGAGUAUCUUAUUUGCUAAAACAAGACCAUUCAUGUGCGGUCCGCAAGUCCCUGCGUGCACUUCGUCUAAUAGUCUGGAUGCCUCUCUUGCUUCGACGCACCUUAGCAAUCCUGAUUCGGAGUCCUCCUGUAUAGGACUCCUCUGUUGUGAAAGAAAUUGUUAGAUAACCUCCGCAGUGUGCGCUUCUGAGUAGCAUUGUCAAGUUCUGGAUAUUCUCCUAUUGUUAAGUAUUCCUUGAUGUCAUGGAACCACGAUUUCCCAUUUGCUGCUUCCUCAACAUGAGCACAAUAAGCUGGUUGGUCAUAAAUCUUGACCUGGAUGGGAUCAAUAAAAUUUGUAUCUGGAUUCUAAAUCAUGUAUGACAAAGUGGCUAGCACAUCUGCGAACUCAUUCUGUGUUCUGGGAGCCUGCUAGAAACUAGUCUUUAUGAAUCUCUUCCACAAAUCCUGUAUAUGAUGCAGAUGAGGGAGUAUUUAGAAUUCUUAUUUGCCCACUCUUCUCUAACUCGAUGUAUGAGUAAGUCCGAGUCUCUGAUCACUAGUAACUCUUGAAUGAUCAUGACUAUCGCCAGUUUGAGCCCUAAGAUGCAGGCUUCAUACUCGGCCAUGUUGUUGGUGCAUGGGAACCUGAGUUUGGCGGAUACUGGGUAAUACUGACCGGUUUCUAAUACAAUGACUGCUCCUAUGCCAAUCCCUUUGAAAUUCACGGCUCCGUCGAAAAACAUCCUCCAACCAUCAUAAGAUUCUGCAAUGUCCUCUCCUAUGAAAACUACCUUUGAAUCAGGAAAAUACGUCUUUAGUAGAUCGUAUUCUCCUCCCACGGGAUUCUUGGGGAUGUGGUUUCCCAAAUCUUGUCCUUUGCCUGCCUUCUAAGUGACAUAAACAAUGUCAAAUUCACUUAGCAGGAUUUUCCAUUUGGCGAGCUUGCCAGUAGGCAUGGGUUUCUGGAAGAUAUACUUUAGCAGGUCUAUUCUGGAUAUGAGAUAAGUAGUGUAGGCACAGAAAUAAUGCCUCAGUUUCUAAGCUACCCAAGUCAAAGCACAGCAGGUGCAUUCUAAUAAGGAAUACCGGGCCUCGUACGGGGUAAACUUCUUACUGAGAUAAUAGAUGGCUUGCCGUUUCAUCAUGUUUCCCCAAAACACAAUCAAAUGCUCCAUCCGAUACUGCGAGAUAAAAAUAUAGGAGUCUUACUGGUUUGGGUGGAAUCCAGACUGGCGGCGUAGACAAGUAUUCCUUAAUUCUGUCAAAAGCUUUCUGACAAUCAUCAGCCCGUUCGGUGGCAGCAUCCCUUUUCAGCAUCUUGAAGAUAGGUUCACAAAUAAUAGUGGACUGAGCUAUGAACCGGCUGAUAUAGUUGAGCCUCCUCAGAAAAAUCAUCACGUCCUUCUCGUUCUUUGGCGGUGGCAACUCAUGAAUGGACUUGACCUUUGACGGACCCAAUUCUAUCCCCUGGCGGCUCACAAUGAAUGCUAGUAGCUUUCCCGCAGGAACCCAGAAUGCAUACUUGGCGGGAUUGAGUUUCAAAUUGUACCUCCUCAGUUUGUUGAAGAAUUUCCUCAGGUCUUCCAUAUGAUCUGCGGCUUUCUUAGAUUUGAUGAUGACACCAUCCAUAUACACCUCGAUUUCCUUAUGUAUCAUGUUAUGAAAGAUGGUAGUUAUGGCCCUCAUGUAGGUGGCACCGGCAUUCUACAAACCAAACAGAAUCACUCUGUAACAAUACAUCCCCAGCGGCGUGACAAAAGUUGUUUUCUCUAUAUUUUCUUCAUCCAUUCAUAUCUGAUUGUACCUAGUGAAACAAUCAACAAGUGACUGCAGCUCGUGCUUGGCGGAGUUGUCGAUCAGGAUAUAUAUGUUGGCAAGAUAAUUGUCUUCGGGACUGACCCGGUUGAGAUACCGGUAGUCUACACAGACUCUAACCUUCCCAUCUUUCUUUGGUACUGGCACGAUGUUGGCUAACCAUAUCGGAUACUCCUUACCCUGAGAACCCUGGCUUUGACUUGCUUGGUAACCUCUUCUUUGAUUUUUAAACUCAUGCCGGGUUUGAACUAUUUGAGCUUCUGUUUCACUGGCAAACAUGUCGGAUCUAUUGGUAAUUUGUGAGCUACGAUGGAGGUGCUGAGACCAGUCAUAUCAUCAUAAGACCAGGCAAAGAUGUCCUCAUACUCUCUUAGGAACUCUGUGUACUCUUGCUUUUUAUAUGGAGACAAAUCCACGCUGAUGCGUGUUUUCUUGACAUUAUCGGUACCUCUUAAAUUAAUGACCUCAGUUUCGUCCAAGUUGGAUUUAGGCCUAUUCUCAAAGUUCUCGACCUCUCUAACAACUUCUUCUGGUAUAUCAUCCUCUUCUGAAUCUAUAUCUAUUUGUUGCGUUGUCUCAUUGUAAGUCAUAGUCGUUGGUUCAUCAUCAAGAUAGAUAAUAGUAAUAUUGUGUAAGUAAAUUAAAUGAUAGAGAAAAUAAUAAAGAGCAAGAUAUAUAAUAAAUUUGGAAAUGCUUUUAAUUAAAUUCAUAAUUGUUCAAAACAGCGGAGCUCUUUUCAAAAGUAAAGACAAUGCGGAAAGGAAAAAUCAACUAGUAAAAAGUAAAGAUGCAAUGCAUGGUGCUUUGAUUAGCCUUGCUACCCCGAAACUUUCUGGGCCCAGGUGGUUCUGAUCAAAGAAUUAGUGAGGCGCUUCCCUCGAUGGAUGUAUGGAAGGGCCUUCCUCUCUUUCCUCCGCCUUGCUACCCUAAAGCUUUCCUAUCCCUGCUGGUUCUGAUUGACCAGUUAGCAAGGCGCUCCCCUCGAUUCACAGCUUGUAUGGAAGGUCCUUCCCCCCUUCCUCCUCGAAGAUAACACAACAGUCCAUAUCAUCUUCAUAAACAAGUUUUUCAUCGCUGCUAAUGCUUCAUCCUCUUUUGAUCCAUAUAUGAUGUCAGCUGGCUGGAAAGUCUGUAUAGACGAGGUAUAGAGGUGUCUAGUGGAUAGAAUGGGUCGUGCCACGGUGGCGACCAAUGGUUGAACUCCUCCUAGGUGUAUUCAUAUCCCUAACAAAAGGUAGUACCGUGUUUCUUCAACUUGAUGGGUUUGGCUAUCCCUUGGAGGUUUUUGCCAAGUCUUUUUAUAGGUUCAUACCUACACCUGUUCAGGAUACUUUCAAUCUUGUUGUCCCACUAUUUGUCUUUGUUCAUAGCAUUGACUCGCUUAAUGUGGUGGUAUGGAUCUCCGUCUAUUCUCCUUCUACCUCCAAUCAUUGGGAUGGUCUGAUGACUAUAUAUAGGGUUGCUAUCGUCGCCAUGAAGGGUCACUUCUUGGUGAUUCCAUUUGAACUUCACUGCCUGAUGUAUUGAUGCCAUAGCUCCAGCAGCGUGGAUCUAUGGUCGUCCCAACAACCAAUUGUAGGACGUCGGGAUGUCUAUCACUUGAAAAUCAACAUCAAAUCAGGUUGGUCCCAUUUGCAAACACAGGCUGAUUUCCCUAAUGGUUGAUCUUUGGGACCCAUCCUUGAUCUCAUCCAAACCUUUCCCCAACGUCCUGAGAGUUAUUAGGGGACAAAUAUCAAGGCUUGAUCCUCCGUCGACAAGAUUCUAGUGAUGAAAUAAUCUUCGCAUUCCACGGUAAAUGUGCAUGCCUUGUUGUGACGUAGUCCUUCUGGUGGUAGCUCGUCCUCGUGGAAUGUGAUCUUGGGACUCUCCAACACCUGUCCUAUCAUAUUUGCCAUUUCGCCUCCAGUUAUGUUGCUGGGAACAUAAGCUUCACUCAAUAUUUUCAUCAGAGCAUUCUUGUGUGCCUCAAAGCAUUGUAAAAGAUCCAGGACGGAAAUCUGCGCUAUUGUUUUGUUCAAUUUCUCCAUGACUGAGUAUUCUUUAGCUUGUAUUUUCCUCCAGAGAUGAUCGGGCCCAGUUUCAAUAGGCCGUCCAGAGGUUUGUUUGUUGGGCCCAGCUAAGUUUUCUGGAGUGUAUACCCUGCAUGUUCUGGCCAUGCCCUGUGCGGUGGUCGAUUAUCCAAUUUUUGUUUUCCCUUUUCUGCUUGCUUCAGCUGUGUAAUCCCAAGGUAUGGCAUUUGAGUUGAAUGGGGUCAAGUCUGUCAUCGUUACCGGAAUAGGUACCCUUGGAGGUAACACAACAACUUCAAAUGGUGCAGGUGCCUUUGAAAUUCUGAAUGCAAUCUCAAUUGGCCCUGGCGCCUUUGCAGCAGGUGCUUCAAACUCGAGCGGUAUGGAUAUAUUCACCUCAUCACUCUCAGAGGGUUGUAUCUAGACGACAAUUGGGUUGAGGUUGAUUAUUGGAUUCUUUGUUUCAUCUCCUUCGGCAAUCAAUCCAAUUGAUCCUUUGAGGUCCCAAUUAUCCUCAAUCUCGAUCAUGUGAAUGCCUCCACCCUUAUGGUCAGGUAAAGGAUUGUUGCGACAUUGGAAGCGAGCUCCUUUUCUAUAAUAACCUUAUUAUCAUUAAGGUCUGAAUCUCUUCUUUCAAUGAGCGACACUCGUCGAUGGUAUGGCCUUUCAUUUCAGAAUGGUAUGUAUAGGUUUUGUUCAGAUUGAUCCAUUGGGAGGGAUUUUCUGGGGUUAUGAUUGGGAUAGGGGUAAUGUAACCAGCUGCUUUGAGUCUUUCAUAUAGUUGGUGAAUAGACUCGGUGAUGGUUGUAUACUGCUUGGGAGGUAUGCGGUCGAAGUUUAGUCUAGGUCAUGGAAAGUUUUAGUGAGUGGGUAGGGAUUUAUAGUGAGAAGGUUGAGCAUUAUAGGCUUGGUACACGGGCGAGGGUUGGGAAUAUCUUGGUGAAGUGGGUUGAUACGUAUGUGGUGGAGGUGAUUGGUAGGCGGGUGGUGGAAUUUGGUAUGUGGGUAUGGGUGCUUGUUGAUUUAAGAGAGGCUGAUAUGUAAGUGGAGUUGAGGGAUAUGAUUGGUAUUUCAUAGGAGACUUGGUUCUCUGCGCAGCCAUUAUGGAGUUGACAUCCUUCUGCUUUGACAUGCCACCAGACUGUAAAGCCUUAUUGGUGUCCUGUAAUGCUUCAAGAUUAGUUAUCAUACCAUUUUUAAUGCCCUCUUCAAUUCUUUCUCCCAACUUGAUGAUGUUAGAGAAUUUAUGACCCUCUAUCAGCAUCAACCUUUCAUAAUAUUGUGGAUCUUGAGCCCGGACAAAGAACCUGCUCAUAUGCUCUUCUUCUAAGGCCGGCCUGACCUUAGCAGCUUCUGAACUCCAACGUGUAGCAUACUCGCGGAAUGUGUCUGUGGGUUUCUUCUUCAGAUUCUGGAUAUAAAAUACAUCUGGUGCAUUCCAUUAGUUAAACCUGAACCGGUCCAUAAAAUCGAAUGACAUGCCUACCCAGUUUGUCCAUUUCUAUGUGUCUUGGCUGAUAUACCAAGAGAAGACGUCUCCUUUCAGACUCCUCAUGAACAGCUUCAUGCGGAUUUUCUCAUAUCUUCCAACUCCGACCAACUUAUCACAGUAUGUCCUUAUAUGGACCGUGGGAUCACCUGUACCAUCGAACAUUUCAAACUUGGGAGGUAUGUACCCCUUUGGGAUUUCGUCAUCUGGCUAAAUGCAAAGAUUUUCAUAAUUCAGCGCCUCAACACCUUUGCUACCUUUGACACCCUAGACCGGCUGGUCAGCUUCUUGAGUUCUGCUGCCAAGUUCCUGAUAAAGAAGUCUUUGUUGUCUGAUUCAGAUACACUUGAGAUCGAUUGACUGUAGUGGGGUAUAAUGUCCACAAAGAUAUGAGUGUUGUGGAGGUAGUCGUUUGUAGUGUUUGGUGGUUCAGGAAUGAGCAGUGGAGUGUUAUUGGGAGCAUGGAAUGUGUAGCAGGUUUGAGAAUGAGUUGGUUGCAUUUGUGGUUGUGGGGUGUUCUGUAGAGGUACGGGGUUUAGGGUGUUGGCAUCAGGAGCAUCAAUAGAGAAUGAUAGGCUUGCCAAAUUUUGAACUUGGUCCAAUUCCUCCUGGAAUUUCAGAAGUUUCUGUUCAAUCUGAGCAGCAGUUCCCUUGGCAACUGGGUUACCGUGAGAAGUUUCCUCCUUAUCAAUUUCCUUUCUAGCAUUGGCGUCUCCCUUUCUUCCUUUAUUCUUGUUUCUGAUAGGACUCGGAUGAGGAGUUGGUGGAGGGCCCUUGGAUCUUGUAGAGUAUGUUGAUGGUGCCAGUAUGCACAAACUAACCUUUAGGUAAGGGGAGUAAAAAUAAAAGAAAAACAAAAUUAAAACUUAGUGUGGAUUCUAAGAAAAGAAUAUUGCAAUAUUUAAACACAUUGUUCAAGAAUAUAGGUCGUGUACUAAUUUGGGGUGCCUCGUUGUGCCCGAGGUAGGCCUACCGACAAAUUAACUUUAGAGAACCUAUAAUGCUAAAUGCCUUAUUUUAUUUAUAAAAGUAAGAUAAGUCUAAAAAAUGCAAUUUAAAAAUAACGGAAAUAAAGAUGUCACUAAUGGACAAUGGCCUUAUUACAUUACGAAAGCAGGAAAUAAAAGAUCCUAACUGCUUGGUCACAGAAGGGCCUUCCGCAGAUUCGGUAUUCUCGCCUCCCUCGUACAGCUGCAUCAACUCGCGCAGUCCUAGUAGCAGAUAGGCUCGGGCCAGAUGUCCACAUGCACUUCCCUCAGCAUUUUGGCAGUCUUCAAUCCUCUUCAAGAUUUUUCCUUGCAGCUCUACUAGACCUCGUUCAGGAUACCCUUCCACUCGUCGAUCAAUUUCUGGUGAGAUUCUUGUAUUUCCAAGUGUUCAUUUUCACACUCUCAAAUUCUUUUGCGCAGUUGAUUGUACUUAACCCGCGCUUCAACCUUUUCGUCAAUAAGCCUGUGACCUCGGAGGAACCUAUGAUGACCCAAACUAGUGUUAUUGUCUUCCAACUAACCAUCUGGCGUGAUACAUUUCUUCCUUAAUAGUUUCUCCCCAAGACGAGUGUGCAAUGCCACAUGUGCUGAGCGUGACACCUGUGAGGGCUAUCAUUGUCCUAGAAAUCAGCCCUGAAGUGACUUAUGUUGUCUACCCUUGGUAUGAUUGGCUUCCUCUCUGCUUGCCUCAUGGCUCGGAGAGGGACAUAAGGAUAAGUUCCCCUCAGACCGAUGAGUAUAAGGAAUGGUGCAUCCCGAGAACGAAUAAUGAACUCCCCUGUUGGGAACCACUCGUACAUCCACUGCACUUGAUCUUCCUUUAGAUUCUCAAAUAGCUCUACCCAUCCUCCAAUGUCCUCCGGCUGAGUGAACAUGUUAUGCAUGAAGUUCAUUUUCUUUGGGUGAUAGAAAGCAAUAUGAUCAUCCCAAUCCAUGCAUAUAAUGUCCUGCCGGUAAUCACCUUUCUGAAGAUGUUCUACAAGCCAGAGUUGAAGUAACAGCCUAGCGUCUUCUGGUGGGGCAAACAUGCUAGACAUGAAGUUCAUUCGAUUUGGAUGGUGAAAAGCGAUAUGAUCAUCCCAAUCUCUGCGUAUAAUUUCCUAUUGGUAAUCACCUUUCUGAAGAUGUUCUAUGAGCCAGAGUUGAAGUAACAUAUUACAUCCUUCAAUGUGUUUGGCCCCUUGCUGACACUUUUCCAAGGAACGAUAUAUCUCGGAGACAAUCAUGGGCACUAUGCUGAAAGACUGCCCGUCAAUCCCUUCCAUUAAGGUCUUGGUUACCAUGGCAAGUCUGGUGUGGAUCCUAGCCUUCUUCAUAGGAAAGAUUAUCAUCCCCAGGAAACAGAACAUGAAGACGAAAACCCUUCUGUGGAUGUGCCCUAAAGAGAUAAUGGAAAAUUCAUCGAUGUAGGUGCGGUGGGAUUUGCUAUGGCCAUACCUUUCGUACAAGUAGUCAAAUGGUAUGUAGGAGUCUUUCAGACAAGUCAGAUCCGGGAUUUUCUUGAGUCCCAUCAUCUUAAGAAAGCCUCUACCUUUGCGAUUUUCUGGCAUAAGUAGACCUGGAGUCUCCCAAGGAAUACCAGCUAGACCCCCUAUUUCUUCUAGUAAAGGGGUCAUUUCCAAAUCCCCGAAGCGAAACAGUGAUCGAUCACUAUCCCAGAACAAAGUUGCAGCCUCUACGAUUUUGUUGUUAGGCUGGAUUUCUACGAGUGAAGGCAAAUUCCCUAAGUAUUUGCGGACAAGGGUCUUAUCGUUGACAUGAAGGUCCCCCCACCAGCUUAGAACCCUUGGGUGAAUAUUGGAUACUAUACCGAAAUUGGGGACUUCGUGCCUCAUUUUCUGCAAAAUAAAGGGUUAGACCCGGACUCGACUAUUUAAAUAAACAAUUAGCAUAAUAGGAAUUUAGUUCUCCAAAUAAAUGCAAGAAACAUGGAGGUGUCCAUUUGGGUUUCUGGAAAACCCGAUGGACUUUAGAUUAGGCUAUCUUAAUGAGUUAUUAUGCGGAUAAGCAUGAAUAGUUUAACGGAGUAAGGUUUCUAUUUUUUUUAGCUGCUAGACUGAUACCCUUGAGCGGAAAACUCAAGAGGGAAAGGCGCGGAACCGUCGACUACACUGUUGAUCGCCAAAAUAAACCCCUUAAAUCAGAUAAACACUUAGCUUAGCAUGUCUUGGCACAUACUGGUUUGAUCUUAAAUUAAAAUUAAACCGUGAGCGGACUGGCUCAACAAAUUUAUUUAGACAGAAAGUCUGCAUUAGGUAACUCGGAUACAAUUGUCAGAGAUUGAGGCAUUUAGCGCGAGUUAUUUUAGGAAGGUACUGAUAUUAGAAGAUAACUAAUGUUGAUGAGUCAUUUGAAAGAGAAGAUUGCAGACUUAGUCUAGAAAUGAGUUUCAAAAAGAGAUCAACGGACCGACCAGUUUUAAAACACAAGAAGAGUUGUAUAAAAAACAUUCAGAAGAGCCAGAACUUAUUUAAAGAAAAGAGCAAAUUGUAGAACUGACUUAAUCAACGAGUUCACGAAUUGAUUUAAAAAAAAUACAUUUAGGCAGAACAUUUGAGGAACCGUUUCAGAAAAGGUAUGGAAGUUUGAAGAACUCAAUUUUUUUAAGACAAAUGUGUAUUGUUUUAAAAUAUUUUUAUCAAAAGGUAAAAGUUUUGAAAACAUUACUGAAUGAGGCUUUUAAGAACCAAUUAUCAGAUUAUUACUGCUCUAAACAAACAAGAGAGUUUGAUUUAAUGUCCUAUAGGCAUGAUAUCUAUACUAUUUACUUUCAGAAAUAAUUAAAGAACUUAUGAAAAGAUGCUUGUUUGAUUAAUCCUAAAGUUCGCUUAAUGAGUAUGCAUAUCUUGUAGGCAUGAUAUCAAUAAAUUUUCAGAAAGGUUUUAAAAUUCCUAUAAGCAGGAUCUCUAAUGCAUAAUUACAUAAUUGAGUGUUAAUUCCUAUAGGCAUGUUUUCUAUGUGAUUGAAAGUAAAGUCCUCGAUCAUGAUUUCUACCCUUUUUUAUGCAAGAAAGUAAAGACCCCUCCCACACCCUUUUACUAUACUCCCUGAGUUUUAUACAAGUUAUUACAAAGUAGGAAAGCAUAUAAAAAUAUAUCAUAGCUAACAGCUAGAUCCGAGAAACCUAAUUGAACCUUAAUGUCUAACAAUAUGUGAUUAACCGAUUCCGGGAUCCAGAUUUCAAAGCCUUGUCUUUAUUCAAAAUUUUUCAAAGUUCCAAGGAAUAUCAGGGAUUCACGGUAUUGCAUACACCCAGGAUACCAUUAGAAAUGGAAUAGUGCAGUGUGGAAGAGCCAGCCCUCAGGCAUCCAAGUUCAGAGGGAGCUCAGGGGUCCCAAAGCAUGGCUUGCAAGAGAGGGGCAGAACUUAUAGCCAAGAGUAAGUGCAAAGUGAAAAGGGAAUUAGGGAGCCAUAAAAAUAGUGGUCAUGCCUAGCCACAAGUGCACGCAGGCACACCCUUGACUACUUUUUUAGUUAAAUAAGUUAGGAGCAGACCCUUGAAGGUCAGACCCAAGUCUGGAUAGUGAUUAGGACACCAUCUGAUCCAAGUCUAAGUCUCAAACACAUAAAGGGGAAAUAGGAGUGGGAAUUGAUUGAGUUGGGGGUUAAAAUAACCCAGUUCAGAGUCAUAGACAAUAAUGAUAAAGUGCUUCUAUGUCUCGAACCAUACUCACAUACAAUAGGGAAAGGGAGUUCACAAAAGAGAAGUAGUAACAAAGUUGCAGGAACACAGUAAAGAAGAACAUAACAGAACUUAGGAUGUAAACGCAUAGUGAAGGAGAAUUACAUAAAAUAAGAAGAACAUACAGUUGCAAAGUCAGAAUAAGCAGAAUAACAUAGCAAUAAAAUAGCAGAAACAAACUCAAAUUCUCAACAGAACACUUGAAGGCUCGAAGUGAACUCAAAGGUGUUUCAGAAAGCAAAGAGAAUAGAGAAGAAGAGACUAGAAAAUAGAGUGCUUAAUACUGAUGUGUGUGUAAGAAUGAAACUCGAGAGUCUUAGUCUAAUUGGGUGUCUCGAGUGAAGAAAAAGUGUGUUCAAGUGCAGAAGGGUAGCCCCCCUUUUAUAAUGCAGAAAAAAAAGUAGGAAGAGGUAAGAAAUAACUUUAAAAUCAGUCUCAAUGAUUUCCCUUCAGUCAAGGAAUUUGAUUUCAAACUGGCAUGACGUAACUAAGGAAAGAAAAUAACUAAAACCCUUUUCCAGACUAACAUAAUAGAGGUAAAUGCACAGAGACAUUAUUUAAGGAAAGAGUCUAGUAGUACACGGUUUGAUCAAAAUAAGGAAAGGCCAUCAAUAAAUAGCCAGUAAAAAUCAAAGUGACAGGCUCCGUUUGAAUGAACCAGGUCAGGAAAAAGAGGAAGGGAAGGGUCAAUUAGAGAAAUCAAUAACAAUUAGUCAGGAAUCAUUAAAUGAAAUUCGAAAUCAAUUAAUUAGUUGGCAAAGACCUUUUAUUGAAUGGAGAAGUUAUCAUAUAUAAAGCGUACAGACAUGUGAGACAAGAGGGAGUUGUCGUGUUAACCAGAAAAACUAGCAUAGAAAAAGAAAUAAGAAUCAUAACAGAGAGGUUUUAGUUCAUAGACUCAGAAUGAGUCUGAGAGAGUCAAGGGUUCUAAUUAGAACCCUAGUCAAGACAUAAAAUCGAGCUUGCCAAAAACCCCAAAUACUAGGGUUCUUGACUCAAAUCAAAUGCAUAGACGAGAAGACAAUAACUAGAACAGGCUCAGUAGCCCUUUCAGAGACUUAUGAGAAAACAAAAAAAUAGCAUAGCUGGCUCAAGGAAAAUGUAAUGUAGAAACCAAUUUGAAGCAUAUGGAACACGUUUUAAGAAAAGCUUGUCACUCAAACAAGUUCAACAGAGAAAAAGUGAUACAAGCUUAGGAAAAUAGUAGAUGAAACAUGUCUAGAAAGAACUCAAACAAAGCCCAGAUGAAGGUGAUUAAAGAGCUAAAGCUUAGUAGAAAAGUCAGUAAAGUAGCACAGGGUAAAUGAACAUGUCAAAGCAUGAUAUAGAAAUUAGUAGAAGAAAGAACCAACCACAACAAUCCAGGCAUAAGAACAUAACAUAGGCAGAUACACUUAAAGAAAAGAAGAAGAAGAAGAAUCAUGCUUAAUAGAAAGUAAAAAAGGAGAUCAAAUACAUGCGUAGUAGAUAAGAAAAUAUACGACCCAAACACAGAUAGACACACAUAAAGAAAAGAGUAGAAAGAAUCAAAAGGUUUUUCUGAAACCCUAGUUUGAAAAUCAAAAGAUUUUAAAAAGAAAAAUUGGGGAAAACCUUAAAACAUCGAAUAUAGCAUAGAUCUAAGAAAACAACUAGAGAAACACCUCGAAUAGUUUUAGGAUUUCAAAGAAACCCUAGAAAUGAGAAGGCUUAGAAGAAUGUCCGGUCUCGAGUCGGGGAUGGCUAAAGAUAGGCACCUAAAGCUUGAAUAUGCCGGAGCAAGGCCGGGGAGGCCCUAGAACCACAGAUCUGUAGAGGAUAUAAACAGACACCAUCGAGUUCAAACCUUGAAAUCUCAAACACCCAGGUUUUAGGGGUAAAGGGAGGUGAGUACAGGCCGUCUGUGGCCUGAGAAGCCAUGGAUUUCGGUAAGAUUAUGGUCGGAGAAGGGUGAGAGGGGCUAGGGUUUCAAGACCCUUCGAGAGAGAGAGUAAGAGAGAUUAGAGUCAUCUGUUGAAGAGAAAUGAGGAUUAGGGUUGGGCUAGGAGGAAUUAAAAAGUAAAAGGUUAAUCGUGGUUGUUGAUCAAAAGGAUCAAUGGCCUAGAUUAAAAAUAAUCCCAGGCGGGUCGGAUAAACGGGUUAAGGGGGUUGGGUUAAAUGAAAUGGGUUGGUCUGAUUUUUGGGUUUGAAAUUGGAUUGAUUUCAGGCGAAAAUUGAAACGUAAAUGGGGCUACAAUUGAAAUGAAUUGGGGCUAUAUAUUAAAUAGUUAGUUUUCCCUUUUAUUUUAUAAAAUUAUUAACAAUGAUUUGAAAUUAAAAUAAAAGUACUAAAUUAGUUAAUAAUAUAUAGAUAUUAAUUUAAAAAUACUUAAACUAAUUUUAUAUAUUAUAAAAUGCUAUUAAAUCAUAAAGUAUGCCAAAAUUGCAAUUACAUGCAUUUUAGUUUUAAAACUAUUAAAUGAAUUUAUAAAAAAAUGAAAAAAAUCAUGUUAGCUAUGUUUUGAUGUAAACAUAAGAAUAAAAUAAAUUGUUCACCAAAAAUAAUAAUUCUGGGAAUAACUUAUCGGAUUUUAUGGUAUAAAAUAUGCAAUAAAUUGGUUUAAAAAAUUAUUAAAAAUGUCAAAACUUAUUGAUAUUUCUUAUACAUGCACAUAUAUGCUAUUUUGGAAGUAUUUUGGGUAUAAAAAAUACAUAUGAAAAAAUUGGGUAUCAACAGUGCAAAGGGUGAGGAUGCCUAGGGCUUUUUGGACAAGUGUUAGAGGAUGCUUCGUACAGCAGGUAUUCUGGAGACAGCGGGGCCGUUUUUGCCACCUAACAGUUUUUAGGGGAUAUUUUCACUUGGUGGGAGGAUUUUGAGAGGCGUAGGCCUGUUGAUGCAUCACCCCUUUUCUAGCAGCAGUUCUCCGUUCUCUUUCUAGAGAAAUAUGUGCCGCAGUCUCAUAGAGAGGAGCAACAUAGGUAGUUUGAGUGGUUGUGUCAAGGGGAGAUGACCAUGUCGUAGUAUGAGUAGUGUUUCUCUUAGUUGCCUUUUCAUUCCAUCUAGUUGGUUCCGAUAGAUCGGGAGAGGAUUAGAAGGUUUGUUGAUGGUCUCACUUAUCAGCUCUGUAUUCUCAUGAAUAGGGAGAGGGUAUUUGGUGCUACGUUCGAGGAGGUUGUGGAGUUUCCCGGAAGAUUGAGUUUGUUCAUCACCAGGAGUGAGAGGAGGGAGGCCAAGAGCCCUCGAGGAUCUGGUAGCUAUAGUGGUGCUCCUUCGAGGGGUCAGUUUCAGCAUGGUAGAGAAUGUCCAUUCAGGCCUACUCAGUCAGCUCGCCCAGGUUAUUGUGGGGCAUCAUCGGGGAAUGGAACCCACAGUUCUCAUCAAGGCCAAUCAUCAAUUAGCGCCCUUCCAGCUCAGAGUUCGACCCCUGCUCCAUCAGUUCAGGGCUCUUCCAUGCCGAGUGCAUUUUCCAGUUACUCCAGUGCGAGGGGUUCCCUUUAGUCCCCUUUUACAGCACCUGGGAGUUGUUAUGAGUGUGGUGAUAUGGGUCGCAUGUAGAGGCAGUGUCCUCGUUGUUGUUGCUAGUUCAUCCCAGCAGAGGGUUCAGUCAUCGGCUUCAGCGCCAGUUGCUUUAUCACCACCCGCCCAGCUAGCUAGGGGUGGAGGUUAGUCGUCUAGAUGUCAUCCAUAGGGGGAGGUUGAUCGGGGGGCGGUCAGGCCUGUUUCUAUGGACUCUUAGGCAGACUCAAUGUGAUUGCUUCAUAUGUUGUCAUUACAUGUAUAGUUUCAGUCCGCCACAGAGAAGCCUCUAUAUUAUUUGACUCUGAUUCCACCUUGUCUUAUGUGUCCUUGUACUUUUCUCAUUUUUUGUAAGCCCUAUGCGUUUCUUGCGUUACCUUUUCAUGUAUCUACCCCGGUGGGCGAUAUUGUAAUUGUAGACCGUGUGUACUGGUCUUGUAUGGUGACUAUUGGGGGUCUGGAUACCUGAGUGGAUCUAUUAUUUAUUAGCAUGAUGGAUUUUAAUGUCAUUUUGGGCAUGGAUUGGUUAUCUCUGUGUCAUGCUAUUAUGGACAGUUAUGUUAAGAUACUUACAUUGGCUAUACCGGGUGUGCGACGGAUCGAGUGGCAAGGUGUGACUGAUUAUGUUCCUAGUAGAGUGAUCUAUUUCUUGAAGGCCCAGCAUAUGGUUGGGAAGGGUUGUCUCUCGUAUCUAUGUUUGUGACAGAUGUCGGAACUGAGGUUCCCAGUAUUGCUUCUGUUCUAUUUGUGAGGGAGUUUCCCGAUGUGUUUCCUGCAGACCUGUCAGGCAUGCCACCGGAUAGGGAUAUUAAUUUUGGUAUUGACCUAGUGCCGGGCACUCAGCCCAUUUCUAUUCUGUUGUAUUCUAUGGCAUCAGCGGAGUUGAAGGAGUUAAAGUAGCACUUUAGGAACUCCUUGAUAAGGGGUUCAUUCGGCCUAGUAUGUCACCUUGGGGUGCACUGUUUCUGUUUGAGAAGAAUAAGGAUGGCACAAUUAGGAUGUGCAUUGAUUAUAGGCAAUUGAACAAGGUGACAAUUAAGAACAAGUAUCCUUUGCCUCGCAUUGAUGAUUUAUUCAACCAACUUCAAGGAGCGGGGGUAUUCUCCAAUAUUGAUCUCCGUUCAGGUUAUCACCAGUUGAAGAUCAGGGAUUCAAAUAUUCUUAAGACGACUUUCAGGACCUGAUAUGGUCAUUAUGAGUUCUUGGUGAUGUCUUUUGGGCUGACCAACGCCCCAGCAGCGUUCAUGCAUUUGAUGAACUGUGUAUUCCGGCUAUAUCUCGAUUCAUUUUUCAUAGUCUUUGUUGAUGAUAUUCUGGUAUUCGCGUAGUUAGGAGGAGCACGCGGAGCAUUUGAGAGUCGUGUUGCAGAGAUUAAGGAAGGAGAAGCUUUAUGCAAAAUUCUCCAAGUGUGAGUUGUGGCUCAGUUCAGUGGCUUUCUUGGGGCACGUGGUAUCCAGCGAGAGUAUUUAGGUUGAUCCAAAGAAGAUAGAGGUGGUCCAGAGUUGGCCCAGACCGUCCUCAGCUACAGAGAUAUUCAGCUUUCUUGGUUUGGCAGGAUAUUAUGGCCGGUUUGUUCAUGGAUUCUCAUCUAUCACAUCGCCCUUGACCAAGUUGACUCAGAAGGGUGCUUCAUUUUCAUGGUCGGACGAGUGUGAGAAGAGCUUCCAAAAGCUCAAGACACCCUUGACCAUAGCUCUAGUAUUGGUUUUACCAUCAGCUUCAGGUUCAUAUAUCGUGUAUGUGAUGCUUUGAUAGUUGGGAUUGGCUAUGUAUUGAUGCAGGAGGGUGGAGUCACUGCCUACGAUUCUUGUCAGUUGAAGCCCCAUGAGAAGAACUACCCCGUUCAUGAUUUGGAUUGACUGCCAUAGUUCACGCAUGGAAGAUUUGGAGGCAUUACUUGUAUGGUAUAUCUUGUGAGGUGUCCACUGAUCGUCACAAUCUUCAGGAUUUGUUCAAGUGAAAGGAUUUUAAUUGGAGGAAACUAAGAUGGUUGGAGUUGCUUAAGGAUUAUGAUAUCACUAUAUUGUACCAUCCGAGAAAGGCCAACGUGGUAGCCGAUGCUUUGAGCCGAAAGGCAGUGAGUAUGGGGAGUUUGGCAUAUAUUCCAGUAUGGGAGAGAUCAUUUGCAGUUGAUAUUCAGGCCUUGGCCAAUCGGUUCAUGAAUAUGGAUAUGUCGGAGCCCAGUCGGGUGUUGGCUUGUGUGGUUUCUCGGUCUUCUUUAUAUGAUCGCAUCAGAGAGCGCCAGUAUGNNNNNNNNNNNNNNNNNNNNNNNNNNNNNNNNNNNNNNNNNNNNNNNNNNNNNNNNNNNNNNNNNNNNNNNNNNNNNNNNNNNNNNNNNNNNNNNNNNNNNNNNNNNNNNNNNNNNNNNNNNNNNNNNNNNNNNNNNNNNNNNNNNNNNNNNNNNNNNNNNNNNNNNNNNNNNNNNNNNNNNNNNNNNNNNNNNNNNNNNNNNNNNNNNNNNNNNNNNNNNNNNNNNNNNNNNNNNNNNNNNNNNNNNNNNNNNNNNNNNNNNNNNNNNNNNNNNNNNNNNNNNNNNNNNNNNNNNNNNNNNNNNNNNNNNNNNNNNNNNNNNNNNNNNNNNNNNNNNNNNNNNNNNNNNNNNNNNNNNNNNNNNNNNNNNNNNNNNNNGAUUUACUUGUCCUUAAGGACAGAGUUCAGCAUGAUGAUGCUAGAGAUGUGACCAUUGGUGAUGAUGAGUUGUUAAGGAUAUAGGGCCAGAUUUGUGUGCCCAAUGUGGAUGGGCUUCUAGAUUUGAUUCUGGAGGAGGCCAAUAGCUCUCGGUAUUCCAUUCAUCAGGGUGCCGCGAAGAUGUAUCAGGAUUUGAGGCAGCAUAUUAGUGGAGAAGAAUGAAGAAAGAUAUAGUGGGAUUUGUAGCUCGGUGUCUCAAUUGUCAGCAGAUGAAAUAUGAGCAUCAUAGGCGAGGUAGCUUACUUAAGCAAAUAGAUAUUCCAGAUUGGUUGUGGGAGAGGAUCACUAUGGACUUUGUUGUUGGACUUCCACGGACUUUGAGGAAGUUCGAUGCUAUUUGGGUGAUUGUGGAUGGCUGACCAACUCCGCGCACUUCAUUCCUGUGUGUACUACCUAUUCUUUAGAGCGGUUGGCAGGGAUCUAUAUCCGAGUGAUAGUUCACUUUUAUGGUGUUCCGGUUUCCAUCAAUUCAGAUAGAGGUACUCAAUUUACUUUGCAGUUUUGGAGGGCCGUGCAGAGAGAGUUGGAUACUCAGGUGGAGUUGAGCAACACUUUUCAUGCUCAAAUGGACGGGCAGUUCGAGUGCACUAUUCAGAUAUUGGAGAACAUGUUGUGUGAUGUUGUCAUUAAUUUUGGAGGGUCAUGGGAUGAGUUUCUACCGCUUACAGAUUUUUAUUUUAACAACAACUACCAGUCAAGUACUCAGAUGGCUCCAUAUAAGGCUUUGUAUAGGAGGCGAUGUAGAUUUCCAGUUGGUUGGUUCGAGCCCGGUAAGGCUAGGCUAUUGGGGAAUGAUUUGGUGUAGGAUGCUUUGGAGAAGGUGAAGGUGAUUCGGGAGAGGCUUUGUACAGCGCAGUCGACGUAAAAGAGUUAUGCUGAUAGGAAGGCUCGAGAUGUGUCCUACAAGGUUGGUGAGAAGUUUCUGCUGAAGGUUUCGCCCAUGAAGGGUGAUAUGAGAUUUGGGAAGAAAGGGAAAUUGAGUCACUGUUCAUUGGUCCAUUUGAGGUGCUUCGGAGGAUUGAGGAGGUGGCUCAUGAACUCGCUUUUCCAUCCAGCAUGUUGAGCGUGCAUCCGGUAUUUAUGUUUCUAUGCUUCAAAAGUAUAUUAGGGAUCCAUCUCAUGUUCUGGAUUUUAUCACAGUUCAAUUGGAUGAUGAUUUGAGCUAUGACAUGGAGCCAGUAGCUUAUUUGGGUCGUUAGGUACGGAAGUUGAUAUCAAAGCAUAUGGCUUAAGUGAAAGUGUAGUGGAGAGGUCGGCCCAUGAGGAGGCUACUAGGGAGACCGAGCUGGAGAUGUGGAGCAGAUAUCCUAGCCUGUUUGAGGCCUCAAGUAUGUUUCAUGACUUAUUCAAGGACAAACAUUUGCUUAACUUGGGGAGGUGCUGACGACCCGGCCAGUCGUCUCAUGAGUUACCGCGCCGUUUCACCCCAUUUCUGCUUCAUUAUGCUUCGUUAUUCAUGUUUGUGGUAUCGGGUUGGUUGGAUUGAAUCCGGAAUGGUUUUGAUAUGGUUUGACACACUUAGUCUCUUUUAAGGAAGUUUAAGUUGCAAAAGUCAAAUUGACAUUGACUUAUCUGUUAGAGGGCUCGGAUGUGAGUUCUAGCAGUUCGUUAGCUUUGGGAGGUGAUUUGGGGCUUAGGAGUGUGAUCGUAAUGGGUUUUGUAUGUUCGGAGUUUAUUUAGGCUUGAAUUAGCGAAGUUGAUAUUUUGGCGAGUUCCGUUUGAUAAGAGAGAUUUUGAUAUAAGGGUCGGAAUAGGAUUCCAAUAGUUGCAAUAGUUCCAUUGUGUCAUUUGGAAUGUGUGUUCAAAUUUUAGUUCAUUCGGACGUGGUUUGGUUGGGUUUUGAUCAAAAGCGGAACUUGGAAGAUUUUAGAAAGUUUGGCUUGAAUCCGAUGUGUUUUGGGUUAUUUGAUGAUUGGAACAAGUUUGAAUAAGGUAUUAGGAUAUGUUUGUGCUUUUGGUUGAGGUCCCGGGGGCCUCGGGGUGAUUUCGAUGGUGAACUGAGAAGUUGGAUUUUUGUUCCAGCUGUUUUUGAUAUUUUCGCACAUGUGGAUUGGGGACCGCAGGUGUCGCGCCGCAUAUGCAAGAAAGGGACCGCAGAAGAAGCCAGAGGUAUGUUUGUCUGGGACCACAGAAACGGCCAGGAGAACCGCAUAUUAUAUUUCGCAGAUGCGGGCGAGGAACCGCAGAUGCAGAUGGCUGGGAACUUAUGUGAUUUUCACAGAAGCGGGGGAAUAACCGCAAAUGCGGUACCGUAGAAGUGGGUAUGUGACCGUAGAUGCGAAAAGGUCUAGGCAGAAGGUAUAAAUUGUCUUCUUCGCGAAUUUGAGUUGUUUCACCCUUUUUUGGCUUGGGAGCUUUUUAAUAGAUUUGUAAGAGGGAUUUCAAGGGAACUUCUUAAGGUAAGGAAUUUGGACCUAAAACUCGUUCCUAUGCUACUAUUUCACGGACUAGGGCUUGAAAUUAUGGAAAUUAACGGUGAAAUGUGGGGAAAGCUAGGGCUUGGAAACUUAUGCCUUUAAUUGUGGAUAUGAAGGACCAUUUGGGGUCGGAUUUCUCAAAUUUUUAUAAGUAUGAACACGUGGGGUGAUAAAGAAUUUAUUGAUAUAAAAAUUAUUUAAUUCCGAGACGUGAGUCUGGGGGUCGGGUUUUUGUAAUUUCGGAAUUUGUGUCCUUCAUUGAUUAUUUUCUCUUGAGCUUUGUUCCCUUAGUAUAUUUUGACGCUCUCGUUCUAUUUUUGGAUAGAUUCGACGCGAGUGGAGCCGAUUCGAGGGUCAAAGGCAUCGCGAUCUAGAGAUUUAGCCGGUUCGAGGUGAGUAAUAAUUCUAAAUGAUGUUUUGAGGGAUUGAAACCCCAAAUUUGCACAUCGUAGAGCUACAUUGAGGUGAAGCACACGGUUGAUGACGAGCGUGGGGUCGUGCACUAUUGGGGAUUGUGACAUGGUCCGUCCGGAUUGAUGAUUUUACCACGUAUUUGAUUGAAAACUAUUUGUUAUCAUCAUUAUUUGGGUUAGAUGCCAUAUUUGGGCCUAGUGCCAACUAUUUGGACCCUUCGGGACUUUUUAUUGAUAUUUCCUCACUAUUUUGACUUUAUUCUUGAACUCGGUCAUAUUAUUUUCCACUGUUUUUAUGCUCAUCCAUGUUCACUCAGUUUUUAAGACUUAAAUGAUAUUUAAAUGAUGUUUGGGCUGAGAAACACUAUUUUACUAUUGUCCGAGAGGCUUGUGAGGAUUUUUGACUGAGUAAGGCCGAGGGCCUAUGUUGUGAGGAAACACUGACACUGAUUGGAGGCCGAGGGCCUGAGAUAUGUACGCCACGAGGUGGCUUGAUUGAUAAGAGGCCGAGGGACUAGUUUUGAUGCCACGAGAUGGGUUGUUAUUGCACUUGGGUCGUAAGGUUCCCCUCCAUGAGUCUGCACACCCUAGUGAGAGCAGGUACUCAUUCUGAUGUGAGAUUGAGCCCGAGGGGCUGGUAUUGUUCUAAGAUAUUGCCCGAGGGGGCGGUUUUAUGAUACAAUGCCCGAGGGGCGAACUUUUCCGUGUUUACUUCUCUUAAAUUGUCUGUAAAUUUUAUACAUACUUAUUGAAAAAGGGUUUUACCUAUCAUUUAACUGGUUUUACUAUUUUAAAUGAUUUUUACUACCUAUUAUAGAAUGUCUUGUGCCUUACAUAUUUUCUCGCAUUUAGUAUUUAUUUACAUUUAUUAUUUAUUGAGUUGGAGUACUCACUUUACUCCAUGCACCUUGUAUGCAGAUUCAGGCGUAGCUAGUCCCGCUCCCGAGUACUGAUCAUUCCAGCUUCACGCGGAUCUGAGGAGUCUAUAGGUAGCUGUUGGCGUUCGCAUCCCCGAGCUCCUCCCUAUCACUUUUUCCUUUAUGUCCUUAGUUCAGUACUAAACUAUAGUUACAUUUGAGUAUUCAGCGUUGUUAGAUGCUCGUGACUUGUUGCAUUCCGAUUAGGGCUGUGUCGGGUUGUACUUCCGCAUUUUAUUGAUAUUAUCUGCUACUUCGUAUUAUUAAUCAUGUUUUAGCCUAUUUCAUUGUUGUUUAACUAUUUAACGUCGAAUUGUGAAUAGUUGGCUAGCCUUGUCUUCAUGAGAGACGCCAUCAUGACCAGGUUCGGGUUUAGGGUCGUAACAACUUUGGCCAAGGAUCCUAUUUAUCUAUUCUCUCCUCUCUUUUUUUGGUUUAUUCGCAAAUAACUCUAAAUAUUUUGAUUUACCUCUCCUUCUUUAAUUCAUAUGAUUAAUGUCUAUUAAGGUGUAAUAGUGUGUAAUUACAUUGAAUAUUACUCCUAUUACGUUACUAGGCAUUUCAAUAGUCACUCUCUCAAUCCCCAUCUUAAUUACUCUAAUUACUCUCCUCUUAUUCUGAUGUAUUAUUUAAUUUUUGUAUAUAUGAAAUCCAAAAAAGACAAGGGGAGUUGGUCAUUCGUUUGAUAUUCUAUUUGAUAUUUUGGCUUUUCAAUUCUAACAUUUUUUCACUUAUUCUUAACAUAUUUUAAUUUGUUGAUUUAAAAUUAUUUAUCUUCCUCAAUUUUUUUCACGUUAUCGUUUGACCUUUCAUGUCACCUUAUUAAUACUAUUGUGAAUUUUUUUUCUAGGUGAGAUGUUUGAAGAACAUAUUAUAUUUUGGAUGAUGAGAUUAUGCCGAGACUUGAUGAAAAGUCUUCAUCUGAAAGGUAAAAUAUAUAAGAUAGAUAUUUUUAACAUAUUUUUUACUCCUCUGUGCAAUAUAUACAUAGUUAUUCUAAUUUUUAAUUUGACAUGUGUUAGUUUGUAAUUUUUUUAUGGAAACAGAAGCAAAUCAAGCUUAGAAUUGUUGUUCAGUUAUAAAAAAAUUAAUAGCACACAUUUGUGUGUUGUGGAUUUCUCUUUUUAGUAGUACGUUGAUAUGUACUUAACUUUUUUUUAAAUUGAAAUAUGUAAGUGUAUAUAACCAGUUCCGUAAUCAUUUGUGUCUUUUAUUUUAUUUUGGACAUACAUAAUAUAUAAUAAUGAAACACUAAGCAAAACUAGCCUCUUUAUCUCUCUGAAGGGUAAAAUAGAAUAUCCAUACUGUAUAACUGCUCACCGAAAAAACAUGUUUGCCGUAUAUAUAUAUAUAUAUAUGAUGCUUUGGAGAAGGUGAAGGUGAUUCGGGAGAGGCUUUGUACAGCGCAGUCGACGUAAAAGAGUUAUGCUGAUAGGAAGGCUCGAGAUGUGUCCUACAAGGUUGGUGAGAAGUUUCUGCUGAAGGUUUCGCCCAUGAAGGGUGAUAUGAGAUUUGGGAAGAAAGGGAAAUUGAGUCACUGUUCAUUGGUCCAUUUGAGGUGCUUCGGAGGAUUGAGGAGGUGGCUCAUGAACUCGCUUUUCCAUCCAGCAUGUUGAGCGUGCAUCCGGUAUUUAUGUUUCUAUGCUUCAAAAGUAUAUUAGGGAUCCAUCUCAUGUUCUGGAUUUUAUCACAGUUCAAUUGGAUGAUGAUUUGAGCUAUGACAUGGAGCCAGUAGCUUAUUUGGGUCGUUAGGUACGGAAGUUGAUAUCAAAGCAUAUGGCUUAAGUGAAAGUGUAGUGGAGAGGUCGGCCCAUGAGGAGGCUACUAGGGAGACCGAGCUGGAGAUGUGGAGCAGAUAUCCUAGUUCGUUUNNNNNNNNNNNNNNNNNNNNNNNNNNNNNNNNNNNNNNNNNNNNNNNNNNNNNNNNNNNNNNNNNNNNNNNNNNNNNNNNNNNNNNNNNNNUAUAUAUAUAUAUAUAUAUAAUUUAUGGGAAGAAAAUUAGCCGACAUAAUUUAACCUAACGUUUCUCUCUCCCUGAAAUCAACUUUAAAUUUAACGUUUAAUUUUCAACGUUUAAAAACGUACGCCGAUACUAUUGCCGGCGAACCCUCGGGUGAAGGAAACCAGGUAAGUGCCCUCGACCCUCCCCUCUCUCUCAUCUCCCUCUAGUCUCUCUCUCCUUCCUACUCUCUAUUUCGUUUUUUUUUUCUUCACUUUUUCUUCGUCCCCUACCUCUUAACUCUAGAAGCAUCCAUUUUUUCCGGUGACUUGUGCGCCGGAGCCAUCGCUUCUUUCUUCUUCUAUUCAGUCUAGUUGAAUUCCAACCCCUUCCCAUGUGCCUCUUCUAUCCUCCUUUCUUCUUUUCUUCUUCUUCCCCUUCCCACUGUAUCUCCGGGGAUGUCAGACCGGUCUGGCGACCCAACACCAGAUCGGAAUGCAUCAGAGGUGACAGUGGCAAUCCUGUAUUCCUCUAUUUCUCUUGGUCCCGUGGUGUUUUAUGUGUUACAGGUAUCAUUUCUGUGGCCGCUUGGUGGCGGGAGGGACGUGCAUGCACAAAAUUAGUGGAGCAUUCUAGCUGGCAAGAACAACUGCGAUAAUGGUCAACAAUGGUCCACAUGAGUUGGAUGCGAACCUGGUAGGUGGAUGCAACAUCGUCGUAUAUACCGAGACAAUCUCCAGGUUCUACCCGUGGGAAUUGUUACCUCCCCUUAUUCAAUUUUUUAUUGUGUUAGUUAAAUUAUUGCAAUCUUUGUUCCUAUUUGUUUAUUCAUCGUAUUAGUACACUUAUAGUUGUAUAGUCAUUGUCUACCUUGGUCUGUUGCCCGUUGUGUUAGUGAUUCUUCUUAGUAUGUCGUGGGUAUAGUGGUUGUGGUCUGGGAUGGUCGAGUAAGCUCAUGUCCUCGGGGGGAGUGGGGGGUAGAGCGGGAGGUAGGGAAAGGGUCAGGGGUUGGGUCGGAAGGCAAGGGAGGUAAAGGGAUCAAGGGUGCUAAUAGGUUAAGAAUCAUGUCAUGGAACGUAAGUACAUUGAAAAGUAAGUCUAUAGAAUUGGCGAAGAUUCUCUGGAUGAGGAGGGUCAAUAUAGCGUGUGUCCAGGAGACAAGGUGGGUAGGGUCGAGUGCGAAAGAUGUGGACGAGUAUAAACUUUGAUACUCAGGGGUCAAGAGAGGUAAGAAUGGAGUGGGUAUCUUGGUGGAUAGGGGUCUUAAAGAGUAUGUGGUCGAAGUUAGAUGAGUGGAUGAUAGGUUGAUGGUUAUUAAGUUCGUGGUCAGUAAGUACACCCUAAACAUCAUUAGCGGCUAUGCGCCGCAUGCGGGCCUAAAUGAGGAGGUUAAAUGACACUUCCGGAGGGGAUAGAUGAGAUUGUGCGCUAGGUUCUGCCUGCCGAGAAGUUAUUCAUAGGAGGGGAUUUUAUCACGAUCCCAGUUGCCCUUCGCGAAUAUGUCGUGACGGCACGUAGUCUCUACGACUAGGUAAAUCUAACAAUGCGGAAUAUAAACCAAUUUGCGCAAGAUAAUAAAAAAAUGAACUGGUAAAAUAAAUUAGUGUUCAAGGUGCCGUCUGGCACAUACAAUGUCAACUCUCAUAGCUAAACAAAGUUCCCAAAUCCCGGAAUCUCACAAAUCACAAGCUAAGGGAUACAUAAGAAGCUCUCAUUCAAGAAUUUCUAUACAAGGAGAAAUACUCGAAGGACUAUACUUAUUAUAGAAAGAUGGAAAGGGACUCUUCGGUCUGCGAACGCAGUAGAUAUACCUCGAAGUCUCUACCUAUACGCCACCCUCCAAGGCUGACAGAACUAAAUGAGGGUACAUGUAUCUACACAAUAAAAGUAUGCAGAAGAGUAGCAUGAGCACACCACAACGAUGUCCAGUAAGUAUCAAAACUAACUGCAAUGGAGUAGGGACGAGGAACAGUCAAGAUAUCUACUGGUCAAUAAACAGUAUAAUCAUAGGAAUAAUGGAAAUGAUAUAUAAUUAUGCAAGGACUGCAUGAACGACUAAAAUGCUAUGAUUCAAAAAUACUUUUUAAAAAAGGGCAACCAGCAACAACGCGAAAAUAAAAAAUGAUGAGACAAAUGACGGUAGAAUCAAAUUCCAAAUCCUAAGUCACAGUACAACAAGGACAAAUAAGUCACUAACUCAUUAUUCUGCAAUGAUGCUUACAUAAGGUGUUUUCAAUUCUUUCCACAAUUUUACCAAAAAUCUCGGACCAGCCACAACUUAUGAAAACCGAGCAUCUGAAGUCUAACACUUGCCAUCAUGUUCUCAAGUCAAUCUCACUGUCAUGCUAACAACUAACUAGUCAACUAGGCCCACUCUCACAUAUAUAAUGGGUAAACGAGGGCGUAUCUCCACCCCUAGCCAAAUCAGGAGGAAUUCAUCUCUAAUAGGUAUGUCAAACUACGUGUAUGCUAGUGCAAGUAUAUUUAACAAUAAUUCUAACAACUAGUAAGCAUAAGAAAUGGAACGACCAACACCUGAAUUAUUCGCACCGGAUUGAGGGUCCAACUAUGUAUAUGCUUGUGCAAGUGUAUUUAACAAGAGUUUUGCCAACUAGUAAGUAUAAGAAAUGGAAUGACCCACACCCGAAUUAUUCGCAACCGGAUAGAAUCAAUGAAAAUAUCAGUUCAGAAUACAAUGAGUUUAACGGGGGUUUUCCCAGGAUAUCGUUCUAUAGUCUCAAACAUAGAUACGUGGGCUAGGGAUCUCUUGGUAUCUGGAGGAUCUCUUGGUAUCCUCAAUAGGUUUACUAAGGAUCUUUUCGUAUCCCUAGGAUCCCUUGAUAUCCUCAAUAGAUGUACCGAGGAUCUCUUGGUAUCCUCAAUAUAUUUGUUGGGGAUCUCCUGGUAUUUCGAGGAUCUCUUGGUAUCCUCCAUAUAUGUGCUGAGGAUCUCCUGGUAUCCCCCACUACAACACAAUCAACAUAGAUGUACAGCCCAAACAAUAGAAUAGCAUUAUCCCCGCAAGGGAGUCAACAACAUAAACAAUAACAUCCCGGCAAGGGAAUCAACAACAGAAAAAAUAACGUCCCGGCAAGGGAAUCAACAAUAGAAACAAUGACAAGGGAAUCAACAAUACGUAGUAACGUCACAUAACACCAAGGAAAAACACAAUAACCUCAAUGACAAAACAAGACAUAAUAAGUACAUAAUAACUGAAGCGAUACCACAACAGUUGGACAUAUAAUAUAUUUGAACAAAGUCACAGAUGAACUUACAAUCAGGAGUAUCAGAACAGUAAGGAAGUUAAUUAUGAAUUAAAUAAUUAAAAUUUUAAAAAAUAUUAACUAAUCAUAAGAUAUCUAUCUUCUUUCCAAUUAAGACCGAUUAAUUACAUGAGAUAUCACAUUUAUGAUUUCCAAUUAAAGACGGGUAGUUAGGACGGGUAAUGUGACUAUAAAAGGGUAAUUAUCUUCAGUUAAACACAUAAAAGUCAAUUAAACAGCAAGAAUAAAUCAAGAAGGGCAAAGAAAUACCAAGUAAGACAUGUAGAGGUGAAUCUAAUAACAGGGAACUCAAUCGUAUCAAUGACAUCCUCAUACAUCGAUGAUUUCAAGAGUCUAAGAGCCUAAAAGGGAUAAUUGACCACAAAUAAAUCCUAGCACGCACUCGUCACCUCGCGUACACGGAACACAAUCAACAGAGAAGACUCAAAUCCUAAGGGGAAGUCCCCCACACAAGGUUAGGAAAGAUACUUACCUCAAAUCGGCUAAAAUCAACUAGUAACCACGUUCUUCCCAUGAGUUCUCGACUCCAAUUGGCCAAAAUCUAUUCAAUUAGAUCACACAUUGCAAUUAACAUCUCAAACAACUGAUUCCAUAAUUUAAUACAAAGCUAAAGCACGAAAUUAAGUAGAAUAACCAAAAUGCCCCUCAGGCCGUCUCGGAACCAGAGGAAUUUAAUAUUUUAAGAACCCGCAUACUCUCACGAGUCUAACCAUGUAUAAAUCUCUCAAAUCAGAGGUCAAACACUCCCUCAAAACUCAAUAAUUUAGUCUAUGAAGUUCUACCCAUUUUACAUUCAAAAACUGAAAUUAAGAGGAGAUUCAUGAAAAUUGGUCUAAGUCAAAUGAGAAUCACUUACCCAAGUUGCCCAGGUGAAAAUCCCUUCAAAAAUCUCCAAGAACCGAGCUCUAGAAGUCAAAAUGUGAUAAAAUGAUGAAACCCCCAAAUUUGGGAUUAAAUUAUAUCUGCCCAGUUGUUUGACCAUCGCGAACGCGGAAGAAGCAUCGUGUUCGCGAAGAAGAAAAAGUGAAGGGGCUCUCUUACUCAUCAUGAACGCGAUAGUGCAUCCGCGAACACGAAGAAGAAGAAUCAGGUGGCCCAGGGACUGCCCUUCGCGAACGCGUGGGCCUAUAAGGGAAUGCGAUAGAGGGAGAGGGAGAGCUUCGCGAACGCGAGGCUCUUAACAUGAACGCAAAGAAGGAUUUUUUUAGGUGACCAUAAGUAAAGCUUCACGAACGCGAGAUGGAGCCUGCAUGCGAAAGAGGAGAUCAGAAGCAGUAGACAGCAGUUCAAAAACAAGGGAAAAUGACCGGUAGCCCAUCUUAAACACACCUGAGGCUCCCGAAACCUCGUCUAAUCACACACGCAAGUAAUAUAACCUAACAUGGACCCUGUCGAAGCUCCAAAUCACAUAAAACAACAUCGAAACGACGAAUAAAACCAAAAAUCAAGUUUAUGAACUUCCAAAUCUUCAAAUAGCAAAACGCAUGCCCAAACCUAUCAAUUCAACCCGGAAUGACACCAAAUUUUGCAGACAAGUCCAAAAUGACAUAACAGAGCUGUUCCAACUCUCAAAAUUGCAUUCCGGCCCCGAUAUCUCAAAAAGUCAACUGUGGGUCAAACUUCUUCAUUUUCCAACUUCAACUUUCGCGGAAAUGCCUCAAUUUAUUCUACGGACCUCCAAAUCUGAAUCCCAGACGCACGCCUAAGUCCAAAAUCACCAAACGAAGCUGUUGAGAUCAUUCGCUACCCAUUCUAGGGUCGUGUACCCAAAAGUCCAAUUCCGGUCAAAUUUUCACCAUUUUAACUUCCAAAAUGAGGUUUCUUCUCUAGAAUUGACUCUAAACCAUUCGAAAACCGAAUUCCACCAUGCACGCAAGUCUAUACUCAUGUUCCAAAGCUGCUCCAGACCUUAUGUCGUUGAACGGCGCUUAAUUUCUCAAAAUGACCGGUCGGGUCGUUACAUCCUCCCCCUCUUAAAACCAACAUUCGUCCUCGAACUUGCUAAGAUUCACCUUGAAGUUCUCAAGUCACUGAGUGCGAAAUUCCAACAUACACCCGUGGGUAACCCCAGGUCACUUAAGAUUCGCCUUGAAGUCCUCAUGUCACUGAGUGCGCACUUCCAACAUACACACGUGGGUGAUCCCACGUCACCCAAUCCUCUCUAAGAAUGACGACACCAUCUCAACUGAAAUUUGGUCUUCCUAGUAAUACCAAUAAGCCUUCAAGCCGAAAUUUUUCUCCUCCCAUCCAAUUCCAAAAGACCCAACUCUAAAUCUAUAUCCAGCAUCAGUCUCAACCAGCUAUUUCAGUACAAGCCAACACACACAGAAUACAACCACACAACAUGACACAUCACACAUAGGCCCACAAUAAUAUUUCUGAUAGAAAUACUUGCCUGAGAUCAAAUAUGCACUGGCGUUAAGCCUCAUAUUCAAUAGAAACUCUUUUCCCAACCUCCACAACACUGACGAUGGUACAAUAACCAUGAAAACCACAUAACAAAAUACCCGAAUAACCAAAUCUCAACUAGCACAAUCGGGUGCACACCCCACAAACUAAUACUCGAGAAGCAUAGAAUGAAAAUGAAUAAAUACGGGAACGGAAAACACAUAAGGGAACUAACAAACAAAUAAAACUAGCAUAAAUUCCUCUAAAACACAAUUCUACAACGACAUCUAACAAGAAAGAAUGAAAGAAUAUAAAAGACUCACGAGGAUCUUACACUGAUAUAACUCCCAUCGCGGUACACAUUCCGGACUCAAUAUAUCAAAACACCUGAAAUCACAAGGGUCCCGCAUUCAACACUGAAUCACAAGUAGGGCUCACACUAACCCAUCUAGAAACUCGCACUAGAUCAAUUAUGUCUAUAAUUCACAACACACACUGGCUCCCACACCGGUGGAUCAUAGAAAUCACAGCUCAUAAGCAAGAAUACUCAAAAGUGAUAUCAAACCUAUCAAAACAAACAAUAGGAAUUUACUACUAGCCUCGUAACUCUCGAUAAUGGAUAGAAACAGACAAUAGACACGGCUAUCACUCAUAGAACCUCCCAACAGUAUAAUCACAUAAAUCGAGUGAAAAUCAUGAAGCACUCCCAUAAAUGGAACAACAAACAAGGAACUCAACCUGAUAGGUAGAAGUGUGAUGAACUACAGGUAGUGCCUCUCUAUCACAAACUGAAUUAGCACCUGAAUGACACUAGGUGGCACACUAGCCUCAAGCCUACUAUACGAAACAUAGCAACUAGUUGGCCUUCCCCCUCUUGGGAGCCCUCUACCUUCCUGAAUACCUCACUACGACACAUCGGUCCGAAGCUUGGGAAAAUCUCUCACCAUGUGGCUAGUACCUCCAAACUCAAGGCACUCUCUUUGCCGAUGAGGCGAUGGGAACUGUGCGAUACGGGUACUCUAAGACCCAUGAACACCUGAGUCACCAUGCAAGUCCUGAAUCGCGAACUGAACUGGCUGACCCGCAAAACCUUUACCAUGACGUACCCUGCCUCCAACAAAGGCGAGUAUAUCUCACCGGUCUACAAGGCCUCCUUGCCUCCUCAAGAUAUCUCUCCUGAUCUAUCUCUCUCUCUCUCUAUCUCUCUCUCUCUCUCUCUCUCUCUCUCUCUCCCUCUCUCUCUCUCUCUCUCAUGACCCUGCCUACCCUCUCUCUCUGUCAUGCAUACCAUCUAUCCUCCUAGCAAUGUUUAUCACCUGCUGAUAUGGAACGUCCAUCUCUAACUCACGAGCCAUAUUGGAUCUGAUGCUGGGAAUAAGUCCCUCAGUAAAUCGGUGAACCUUCUCACAAAUAGUAAAAACCAAGGCUGAGGCAUGUCUAGCCAAAUUGGUGUAAUGGACAACAUACUCCGAGACGAUCAUAACACCUUAGCGCAAAUGCUCAAACUCCAUGAGCCAUGCAUCCCUAAGGCUCUAAGGAACAACCUCUUGCAGGAACAUAUCUGAAAAUUGGGCCCAAGUCAGUGAAGCUGCCUCGUCUGGGUUGUCAAACUCAUAGGUGCACCACCAGUACUAGGCGGCUCCUUAAAGCUGGAAAGUAGUGAAAAGGAACCCCGCUCGAUCCAAAAUACCUAUAGUCAAAAAAUGCGAUAACACUCAUCAGGAAAUUCCAAGGCAUCCUCCGAUGCUAAACCACUGAACUCAGGAGGCUUAAACCUCAUAAAUCUCUCAAGUCUCAUCUACUCCUGCUCGAAAGUCGCUGUCAUGCCCUCGAGUGAACUGGUGAUGCAUGCAGCGCACGAAUAAUCUCAAGGACUUGCUCAAUAUGCACGAGUAUGGACGGCGGGAGUUUGUGCUCCUCCCCCGGCCUAGAGUGUAGCUGUAGUAAGUGGAAGCAGUACUGCUUGAGCCAAAAUGGUGUACAUACUCAUGAACUAUGCCAAAGUCUCCUGAAAGGCUGGAUUAGUAGUAGCUGUAGGCGUCAGAUGCUCGAACUCCGGCUGGAUCUGCUGGUGCUACCUCGGCGGCCAUUUGCUCAGGUGCUCUCUGCACCACGUGUACAUUUUCGAGUUCUAGCCCGGCCCUGACCUCCGACGGCUGUAGCAAGGGGCGGGGGUGCCUGAUCACCUUGGGCAAUACGUGUCCUCACCAUCGAUGAGAGAGUGGAAGGCAGAGCUUUAGGAUUGUGAAUGCCAAAAUCUCGCACGACUGGGAAAUCAAAUGAAGUAGAAUUUUUCCUAAUGAUUACAUUGCCUCUUGAAGAAAAGUACAGAUGUCUCCAUACAAAUUUACGAGACUCUAAUAAAUUGACUUGUGAUCUAUUACUCCUAUGAACCUAUAGCUUUGAUACCAACUUGUCACGACCCCAGUUCCCCCUCCGUGAACAUAUCGUGACGGUACCUAGUCCUUACGACUAGGUAAGCCUAACAAUGCUGUUUUCAUUCUCGAUUCUACGAGAAUUUUUAUGAAAGCCUUUCAUUUGCUUCUCUUCGAUAUAAACCAAUUUCUGGAAGAUAAUAACAAAAACAAACUGGUGAAAUAAAUCAGUGUUCAAGGUGCCUCCUGGCACAUACAAUAUCAACCCUCAUAGCUAAACAAUGCUCCACAAACCCGAAAAUCUUAAGAAGCUCUGACUCAAGAAUGUCAAUACAAAGAGAAAUACUGGAAGGACUAUACAUAUUACAGAAAACUGGAAAGGGACUCCUCGGUCUGCGAAUGCAGCAGAUAUACCUCGAAGUCUCUACCAAUACGCCCCCUUCCAAGGCUGACAGAACUAAAUGGAGGUACAUGUAUCUGCACAACAAAAUUGUGUAGAAGAGUAGCAUGAGCACACCACAGAGGUGCCUAGUAAGUAUCAAGACUAAUAAUAGGAAUAAUGGAAAUGAUAUAUAAUUAUGUAAAGACUGCAUGAACGACUAAAAUGCUACGAUUCAAAAAUACAGGAAAAAAAGGGCAACCAGUAACAACGAGAAAAUAACAAAUGAUGAGACGAAAGACGGCAACACAGUACACAAGGACAAACAAGUCACUAACGCAUUAUUCUGCAAUGAUGCUUACAUAAAGUGUUUUCAACUCUUUCCACAAUUUAACAAAAAUCUCGGACCAGCCACAUUACAUGAAAACCCAACAUCUGAAGUCUAACACUUGCCAUCUUGUGCCCCUAUCAAUCUCGCGGUCAUGCUAACAACUAAAUAGUCAACUAGGCCCACUCUCACAUAUAUAAUGCGUAAACGAGGGCGUAUCUCCACCCCUAGCUAAAUCCGGAGGAAUUCAUCUCUAAUAGGAGGGUCCAACUAUUUGUAUGCUUGUACAAGUGUAUUUAACAAGAGUUCUACCAACUAGUAAGUAUAAGAAAUGGAACGACCCGCACCCGGAUAGAAUCAAUGAAAAUAUCAUUUUAGAAUACAAUGCGUUUAGCAGGGGUUUUCCUAGGAUAUCGUCCUGUGGUCUCAAACAUAGAUAUGUGGGCUAGGGAUCUCUUGGUAUCCGUAGGAUCCCAUGGUAUCCUCAAUAGGUGUAUUAAGGAUCUCCUGGUAUCCCUAGGAUCUCUUGGUAUCCUUAAUAGAUGUACUGGGAUCUCUUGGUAUCUCGAGGAUCUCUUGGUACUCUCAAUAUAUGUGCUGGAGAUCUCCUGGUAUCCCGAGGAUCUCUUGGUAUCCUCCAUAUAUGUGUUGGGGAUCUCCUGGUAUCUCACACUACAACACAAUCAACAUAUAUGUACAGCCCAAACAAUAGAAUAGCAAUAUCCGGGCAAGGGAGUCAACAACAGAAACAAUAACGUCCGAGCAAGGGAAUCAACAACAAAAACAAUAACGUCCUGGCAAGGGAAUAAACAAUAGAAAAAAUAAUGUCCCGGAAAGGGAAUCAACAAUACCUAAUAACGUCAGGGAACACCAAGGAAAAACACAAUAACCUCAACGACAAAUAAGACAUAAUAAGUACAUAAUAACUACACCGAUACCACAACAGUUGGACAUGUAAUAUAUUUACAUGAAGUCAAAGAUGAACUUACAAUCAAGGAGUAUCCAAACAGUAAGGAACUAAACAUGAAUCAAAUAAUUACAAUUUAAGGAAAUAUCAACUAAUCAUAAGAUAUCUAUUUUCUUUCCAAUUAAGACCAAUUAGUUACAUGAGAUAUAAUAUUUAUGACUUCCAAUUAAAGACGAGUAGUUAGGACGGGUAAUAUGACUAUAAAAGGGUAAUUAUCUUCAACUAAAGACGUAAAAGUCAUUUAAACAGCAAGAAUAAAUCAAGAAGGGCAAACAAAUACCAAGUAAGAUAUGUAGAGGUGAAACUAAUAACAGGGAACUCAAUCUUAUCAAUGUCAUCCUCAUACAUCGAUGAUUUCAAGAGUCUAAGAGCCUAAAAGGGACAAAUUACCACAAAUAAAUCCGAGCACGCACUUGUCACCUCGUGUACAUGGAAUACAAUAAACAGAUAAGACUCAAAUCCUAAGAGGAAGUCCCCCACACAAGGUUAGGCAAGAUACAUACCUCAAACCGGCUAAAAUCAACUAGCAACCACGUUCUUGCCACUAGUUCUCAACUCCAAAUGGCCCAAAUCUAUUCAAUUAAACCACACAUUGCAAUUAACAUCUCAAGAAACUGAUUCUAUAAUUUAAUGCAAAGCUAAAGCAUGAAAUUAAGUAAAAUUACCAAAAUGCCCCUCAGGCCAACAUCUCGGAACCGGAUGAAUUCAAUAUUUUCAGAACCCUCAUACUCUCAUGAGUCUAACCAUGUAAAAAUCUCUCAAAUAGAAGGUCAAAAACUUCCUCAAAACUCAAUAAUUUAGUCUAUGAAGUUCUACCCAUUUUACAUUCAAAAACUGAAAUUGGAGGAUGAAAUUAAGAGGAGAUUCGUGGAAAUUGGUCUAAAUAAAAUGAGAAUCACUCACCCAAGUUGCCCAGGUGAAAAUCCCUUAAACAAUCGCCAAGAACCGAGCAUUAGAAGUGAAAAUAUGAUAAAACGAUGAAACCCUCGAAUUUGGGAUUAAAUUAUGUCUGCCCAGUUAUUUGGCCAUCGCGAACGCGAAAGAAGCAUCACGUUCGCGAAGAAGAAAAGGCGAAGGGUCUCUAUUACUCAUCAUGAACGCGAUUGUGCGCCCGCGAACGCGAAGAAGAAGAAUCAGGUGGCCCAGGGACUGCCCUUCGCAAACGCAUGGGCCUGUAUACGAACGUAGAGAGGGAAAUGCCCAAACUAAGCGAACGCGGGAAUGGGAACGCGAACGUGAUGGAGGGAGAGGCAGAGCUUCACGAACACGAGGCUCUUAACACGAACGCAAAGAAGGAUUUUUUAGGUGACCAUAAGUAAAGCUUCGUGAAUGCGAGAUGGAGCCCGCGAACGCGAAAGAGGAUAUCAGAAGCAGAAGACAGCAGUUCAAAUACAAGGGAAAAUCACCCGUAGCCAAUCCGAAAUACACGUGAGGCCCCCGAAACCCCAUCUUAUCACACACUCAAGUAAUAUAACCUAACAUGGACACGCUCAAAGUUCCAAAUCACAUAACACAACAUCGAAACGAUGAAUCAAACCAAAAAUCAAUUUUUAUGAACUUCCAAAUCUUCAAAUAGAUAAACUCAUGCCGAAACCUAUCAAUUCAACUCGGAAUGACGCCAAAUUUUGCAAACAAGCAUAAAAGAGCUGUUCUAACUCUCGGAAUCUCAUUCAGACCCGGAUAUAUCAAAAUUCAACUGUGGGUCAAACUUCUUUAUUUUCCAACUUCAACUUUUGCCGAAAUGCCUCAAUUUAUUCUACGGACCUCCAAAUAUGAAUCCGGAUGCGUGCCUAAGUCCAAAAUCAAAAUACAAGCUGUUGACAUCAUCUGCAACCCAUUCCGGGGUCAUUUACCCAAAAGUUCAGUUCCUGUCAAAUUUUCACCGUUCUAACUUCCAAAAUAAGGUUUAUUCUCUAGAAUUGACUCUAAGCCAUUGAAAACCGAAUUCCACCAUGCACGCAUGUCAAUAAUCAUGUUCCAAAGCUUCUCCAAACCUUAUGCCGCUGAACGGGGCUUAAUUUCUCAAAAUGACUGAUCGGGUCGUUAUAGAUUUCAAUGGUCAUAUUAGGGCGGCCGUAAGUGGUUAUGGAGAGGUGCAUGAAGGCUUUGGUUUUAGGGGGAGAAAUAGAGGAGGUACCAUGCUAUUGGAAUUUUCUAAGGCUUUUGGGUGUGAUUGUGAACUCUAGAUUUUCAAAGAGGAGUGAGCAUUUGGUUACUUUUCAAAAUGUGGUUGCGAGACUCAGAUUGACUAUCUCCUCCUCUAGAGGUGUGAUAGCGGGCUGUGUAAGGACUGCAAGGUCAUUUUGAGUGAGUCUCUCGUGACACAACAUAGACUCUUGGUGCUAGACAUUGGUAUUACGUUAAAGAGGAUGAAACGGACUGCUCGAGGACCACCGAGAAUCCGGUGAGGAGCCUUGACUAAGGAUAAAGCCCAAGAGUUGGAGUGGAGGCUAUCAGCUAUGGGUGCUUGGAAGAGCAGUGGGGACGCAAAUACUAUGUGGUUAGUGACAACGAAAUGCAUUAGUGAGAGAGGUAUUAGGGUUCUCGGUCGGUGUCUCUAGUGAGCAUAAAGGAGACUGGUGGUGGAAUGAAGUGGUCCAAGAUAAAGUGGAAGCGAAGAAGGCAGCAUACAUGAAGUUAGUGAGAAGCAUAGGUGAGGAGGAGAGACGAGCGUGCAUGGAAAGAUAUAAGGUAGCUAGGAAGGAAGCUAAACUGUCAGUCACGGAGGCUAAGACUGCGGCUUAUGGUCGGAUGUACGAGGAACUUGGGGAAAAGAGAGGGGAGAAGAAGUUAUUCCGGCUAGCCAAGUUGAGAGAGAGGAAGGCUCAGGAUUUGGAGCAAGUGAGAUGCAUCAAGGACGAAGAUGGUAGGAUACUGAUGGAAGAUGCCUAUAUUAAGAGGCAAUGGCAGGCUUACUUCUAUAAACUCCUGAAUGAGAAAGGGGAUCAGAAUAUUGUGUAACGCGAAUUGGAGCAUUCUGAGAGUCACCGUAACUUCGGGCACUGCAGACGUAUCAAGGUGGAUGAGUUUGUGGGGGCUAUGCGUAAGAUGAGUAGGGGCAGAGCUAUCGGGCCAGACGAGAUCCCGGUAGAAUUAUGGAAGUGUGGUAGGGAGAGCAGGCAUGGAGUGGUUAACUGGGUUAUUUAAUAUUAUUUUUAAGGCGAAGAGGAUGCCAGAUGAGUGGAGGUGGAGUAUGGUGGUUCUAUUAUAUAAGAACAAAGGUGAUAUCCAAAGUUGUAACAAUUAUAGGGGUAUUAAAUUACUGAGUCAUACCAUGAAAGUGUGAGAGAGGGUCACUGAAGCGAGGGUGAGGAUGGCAGUGUAUGUAUCUGACAACCAGUUCGGAUUCAUGUCGGGUCGUUCUACUACAUAAGCGAUACAUCUUUUUAGGAGGUUGGUGGAACUGUAUAGAGAGAGAAAAAAGGAUCUACACAUGGUGUUUAUUGACCUAGAGAAAGCGUAUGACAAGGUUCCUAGAGAAGCUCUCUGGAGAUGCUUGGAGACUAAAGGUGUGCAAGUUCCCUAGAUCAGGGCAAUUAGGGACAUAUAUGAUGGGGCUAAGACUCCUGUUAUGACAGUAGGAGGUGACUCCGAGUACUUUUUGAUUGAAAUGGGGUUACACCAAGGCUCUGCGCUCAGUCCGUUCUUAUUUUCCCUGGAGAUAGAUGCAUUAACAAACCAUAUUCAAGGGGAGGUGCCAUGGUGCAUGCUAUUUGUCGAUCACAUAGUUAUAAUUGAUGAGUCACGAGUCGAUGUUAACGAGAGAUUAGAAGUUUGGAGACAGACUCUUGAGCCUAAAGGUCUCAAGCUGAGCAGAACGAAGACUGAAUACCUGGAAUGUAAGUUCAGCACUGAGCCGGGGGAAGUGGGCAUGGAUAUGAGGCUUAAAUCACAAUUUAUCCCAAGUAGAGGCAGCUUCAAGUUCAUUGGCUCGGUUAUCCACGAGGAAUGGGGAUAGAUGAGGAUGUCACACUCUGUAUUGGGAUAGGAUGGAUGAAGUGGAGGUUAGCAUCCGGAGUUUUGUGUGACAAGAGAAUGCCAGUGAUACUCAAAGGUAAGUUCUAUAAAGCUGUGGUUAAACCGGCCAUGAUGUAUGGGGCUGAGUGUUGGCCAAUUAAGAACUCACAUAUCCAAAAGAUGAAAGUAGCAGAAAUGAGGAUGUUGAGGUGGAUGUGAGAACACAAAAGGAUGGACAAGAUUAUAAAUGAGGAUAUUCGGGAGAAGGUGCAUGUGGCUCCCAUUGAUGACAAGAUGCGGGAAGCGAGACUCAGAUGGUUCGGACAUGUACAGAAGAGAAGCCCAGAUGCUCCAGUAAGGAGGUGUGAGCGACUGAUUGUGGAGGGCACGAGAUGAGGUAGAGGGCGGCCUAAAAAGUAUUUGGGAGAAGUGAUCAAGCAAUAUAUGGCGAGGCUUCAGAUUUCCGAGGACAUGGCACUUGAUAGGAAGUUAUGGAGGCUGAGUAUUACGGUUGUAGGCUAGGAGAUAGCUAAGUCUUGCAUUACCUUGUUCGGUUGUGAGCCUAGUUUGGUAGGGCUUUGUCUGGAAUAGCUAGGGGCAUUGUCAUGUCUUAUUAUUUUUACUUUUCAGUGCAGAACCUAUUUACUAGCCAUCAUUUUUGUCUUGCAUUUUCCCUUCUGCAUUUUUUGCUUCUAUUUUUCAUAUGAUCUCUGUGGUGAAACUAAUAUUCCUCCUUUUUGUUUUUCUUAUUAUCUUGAGCUGAGGGUCCUCCGUAAAUAGUCUCUCUACUCCUUUGGGGUAGGGGUAAGGUCUGCCUGCAUGCUAUCCUCCCCAGACCUUAUUUAUGGGAUUUGAUUGGGUUGUUGUUAUUGUAUAUACAUAAUUUAUAUAUGUGCAAUUAAUAUAUAAUUUAUGUAUAUUUAGUAGCGAAAGUAAAUACUUUUGUCAAGAAGCUAUAUGUGUAACUUUCCCGAGCAAAAUCAGGCUCAAUCCAGCCACAACUCAAUUAGAGGUUGGCUCAGUGGUUGAAAAUAAAGUUCGGUUGGGCCCAAUAUCUUGUAACAACAGGAGUUACAUAAUUUUAGAUCAUUAUAGUGACAGAAGCUAAAAGACAUAAAGUGACAGAAGCUCACUAGGAUUUAGGGGCGAAGCUGGUGUUAUGACAAAUGAACAUUUUUAGUAGAAAAAUUAUAUUAUAUAUAAUAAAAAUUAUUGCUAUACUAAAAGUUAAACUUUAAAUACCUUUGCAUAACUUACUAACAAAAAGUAUUUAAAUUUUAAAGAUCCUUAUUAAAUUAUCUAACUUCGACACUACUAGGAUUGAUGUUGUUCCAUCGUCUUCCGUGUAAGUGGAGCCUAUAGAUAUAUCAACAUUUUCUAUAGAUGUAGUAACAUUUUAUGAGUAACAUUGAACUAAUAUCUAAGACGUAGCAACACUUUUUAGUACUAAAUAACUAAGAUUAAAUACAAUAUCAUGUCCUCAAUUGUGUCGGCUAUAAUUUUACAGUUUGUUUGGACGGUUGUUAGUUUGUUGUAUUAUAGCAUAUUAUUACUUUAUAUAUAAUAUUUAUUUUAAUUAUUAUUUAAAUUUUAUUGUAUCGUAUUAUUAAAUCUGUCGUUAUGUAACGAUAAAAAUUAUCAUUUCAUGGAACAACCAAUUUGGUAUAGUCACGUCAUUCCCUUAUUUCUCUCUUUCAACUUGCCCUUCCCUAAUAUUAUUAAAUAAUUCUAUUUUAUCGUUUAACUUAUUUUUUAUAUAAUAAUUCUACAUUGUACCUUAAUUUUUCUUUAUAAUAUUGUAAGUUUAUUCUUUAUAUUAUAGGUCUAUGACGUCAUGAACGAUAAAAAACAAUACAAUCUAUCCAAAUAUUAUAUACUUCAAAACGAUUUAGAACAAUAUAAUUGAAUACAAUAUAUACGAUACAUUAUGAAAAGAUACAUAACAAUUAUCCAAAUAAGCUGUCAACUUACAUGGAAUCUAUGUGGGCCCUCUGUUAUUAUCGCAUUUCGCGUUAAAUGGAUUUGUCAUAAUUUUUAUAAGUUAAUUGACAUUAAUAUUUUACUUUGAUUAGUAAUAUUAUAUAUUAUGCUAUUAUUUAUCUUAAUUACCUUAAUCCCCUUUGAGAGUUUCCUAAGUGUCAUUCAAUGUUAAUCUAAAACAUUAGGGAGAAUCUCUUUUAAUUAUUAUUUUGCAAGAAUAGAGAGGGUUGAGGUCGUAGUUGUUUGACCGCAAAAGUUAUCGAACCCUUUCCGAGUAAAUCAAUCAAAAUAAAUCAAGAGGAAAUUGUAAUCGAAGAUAAUAAGACCUUAGGAUAUAUGAUAUGCUCGCUUGUUUUUAGUCGCAGUAUGCGAAAGAGAUUCAAAGAGAGAGAUUCAAAGAGAGAGAUAGAGAAGUUCAAUAAUAAUCAUAGAGAAGUUCAAUAAUAAUCAUCUGCCCCUUUACAAUGCUAGGAUCCCCUAUAUAUAUCAAGGGAUCCUCCUCCCCAUAUUAAAAUAAAUAGAAACUAAAUAUAUCCUUGAAGGGAUGACGGAACCUAUGGUGUCGUUUCUCCUAAUGCUACUAACUCGUACCUCUGCCCUAUCUAAUGCACGCUUGACGGUUAUCCGUGCCGAUGCAGAGACGUAGUUGGUCAAAUUCGACCCUAUAUAAUUAGUCCCUCCUUUCGUUGGGGUCGCAGCGAGGUGCGUCCUCGAUGGAUUGAAUUAAUAACCUCGUUCAGGGAGAGUUUGACCUUUGUUCAAAAGUGGUAACGUAGCAGGUGGAGGAAAGCACUCGCGACUGUUGAAAUACUGACACGCAAUUCCUUUUCUUUGGUGACGUCAACACUCACAUGCAUCAUCAUUACGCAUAUUCCCGAGGCAACACAAAAGGCGCUCUGACAUUUGGUUUCCCGCGCCAGUUCGAAAUCUGUCUCUUCGAUUUUAGCGCCAUCCAACCCUAUAAAUAGGGGAAGGGUUUAACCUGAAACAAGUUUUGAUCACUUUCGAGAGACAUUCCAUUUACUCAAGUAGCGUUUUCAUUCUCCGGCUUUUCUUCGUGGUUAGAAAAUUCCCUCUCCUCCGUUGUGUUACGCACAUUUCCUUCUUGAACGGGAACCAUGGUCAAAUAUCGGUGGGAUAAUUCGAGGGUUACUGAUACUAAUCCGUCAAAUAUGUUGCCUUCCUCUGCGGUGGUGAGAGAGAAGAAGAGGAAGACAUUAGUCCCCUCACAGUGGAUACUUUGUUACCAAAGAACCUCCUAUCUCGAAGCGACUUCAACAAAGAUUCACCUGCGCAACCAUCGGAACUCUCCGAAUUGUUACAAGAUCAUUUAGAUGAUCUCCGCGAGACAUACGGUAUAUCUGAUCAUGUAGAGAUAGUUCCAACGAGGGCAGAUCAUGUAGACAUGCAUAGACCGGGAUAUUGCACCUUUUACGAAUACCCAUUUGUGAUUGGCUACGGUCUAUCCAUUUUCCCUUUGGCAGAGGAGCUCUGCCGCUUUUACAAUGUAUGCCCGUGUCAGUUUACGCCAUAUACCCUAAAAAUAUGGCGGAUACUAUCCAAAUAUGCGGAGCUUGUUGGGUGUGAGGUCUCUAUCCACCAUCUUCUGCAAUUAUUCAGUGUCGGUACCUGAGAGGCACCAUACUGCACUUGAGAAGUCAUGGGUACAAAGGGGCUGGUGAUCAAGACCGAUGACUGACCUAGACACGGAUUUUGGCGUAGAUAUUUCCAUGUUAGGACUGAGCACCUGGUCUCUAACCUUGUUGUCGCUACUUGUGACUUGUCAGAAUUCUAACUUUUUUUUGUUGCAGCCAUAGCUCACACACCUCGGCUCGUUACCGGCAUUAGGAUAUGGGUUACCGACCUGUUGCCAUAUACGGAAAGGACCCGCACAUGGCGCGCUUUUCUCUUGGCCCCGCGGCCCCUUUAGGUAGAUUUUAAGCUUCGUUUAAUAGGUUUUGCGAAUUUCAUUGACUAGUUUAUCUUUAUGGUGAACGGACGAGCUGCUCCUAGGAGAAUGGCGGUAAUACGGACUUUUACCUAGUCCGGUGCUGCUUCGGAUACUCAGGAGAUACUCUUCGUGUCCAUCAGAGAAGGUGUUACUAUGGUCCCUUAGUAGGUAGUCACGCCGUUGGAAAUGGUUGUGAGAGAGUCGGCGUUGUUGUACCAGCUCCGCAGCCUAUAGAUGAACCUCCCGAUGGCGAAGAACCGAUAGAGAGGAAAAGGCGGAGGCUCGUGACGUGCAAGGUGGUGGCCACAGAAGACGGAAGGAGUAGCGUUCCUCAACAAAUGCCCAGACCCGUAUUCAUGGCCGAGGCCAUCCGUUAUGGGAGGUCGGCCCAACAUAGGAGUACCGUUGCUGGUACUAGUUCGGCAUGUGCCACUGAGGGUUGUUCGAUGACCAAUGUCGAUGGAGUUGGCGGGGAUGUUUAUGGAUCAGACUCCGAGAUAGCCCAUGAGGAUAUGGACGAUCUUGUGAAGGGUCUCACUUGGUGGAAAUGACGGCGGACGGGUUCGACCGCCAUGAGAUAUGAAUUUUUACAAAAGCCAUACUUGAUGUAUAUAGAGAGUUUCAUGCUGCGGGUCAGGCGACGGAGGAUGAGGUCCAAGCAUGGCGGAGCGAGGCUCGCACCACCUAUGAAGCUUGCGGGUAUAGCUCUGACUCCCAAUAUCGAGAAGGCUACACUUUGGAGGACAUCGACCGUCUAGACUCCAACUCCUGGUAUAAUGAGGUUUAUUUCCUAGGAGGCGACGUGUAGGGUGGCGAGGAGACUUGAACUUGUGCAUGUUUUGUUGCUUUCUUCUUUUUAUUUUUGGAAUACAAUGGGGCCCUUUUGUGGAGUUAAAUGUAAAUAUAUUUUUGUUGUGACAUAUAAACUUUAUUUUGGUCGUUGUUCUUUUCUGAUCAUUUUUUUUGUUUCUUUUCUUCCCUCCCUUUUUUGUUUAAAACCUUAUCGUGACUUGAGUGGGUUUAAAACGAUUUUGACGGCUUAAGACAAUAGAAUGUUACUUCGACUAUUGUCGAAGUGUUAUCUGUCACCGUCGAACUGGGUCGAACCUUAAUUUCGAUGGCCUUAUCCAAUAGGGUGUAACUUCGACUGUUGUCAAGUGUUAUCUAUCAUGGUCAAACUGGGUCGAACCUUGAUAUUGAUGGCCUUAGCCAAUAGGAUGUAACUUCGACUAUCGUUGAAGUGUUAUACAAUGUGGUCGAACUUAAGUCGAACCUUGAUUGCAAUGACCUUCACCAGUAAGAUGUAACUUCGACUGUCGUCGGAGUGUUACCCGUCAUGGUGGAAUUGGGUCGAACCUUAAUGUCGAUGGCCUUAGCCAAUAGGAUGUAACUUUGAUUGUCGCCGAAGUGUUAUCUAUCGUGGUCGAACUUGAGUCGAACCUUGAUGGAGAUGGCCUUAUCCAAUAGGAUGUAACUUCGAUUAUCAUCAAAGUGUUAUCCGUCGUGGUCAAACUAGGUCGAACCUUGAUAUUGAUGGCCUUAUCCAAUAAGACAUUACUUCGACUAUCAUCAAAGUAUUGUCCGUUGUGGUCGAACUGGGCCAAACCUUGAUGUCGAUGGCCUUAACCAGUAGGAUGUAACUUCGACUAUCGUCGAAGUGUUAUUCGCCGUGGUCAAACUAGAUCGAACCUUGAUAUCGAUGGCCUUAUCCAGUAGGAUUUAACUUCGACUAUCGUCGAAGUGCUAUCUAUCGUGGUCGAACUUGAGUCGAACCUUGAUGGCGAUGGUCUUAGCCAGUAAGAUGUAACUUCAACUAUCGUCGAAGUGUUAUCCGUCGUGGUCAAACUUGAGUCGAACCUUGAUGGCAAUGGCCUUAGCCAGUAGGAUGUAACUUCGACUGUCGUCGAAGUGUGAUUCGUCGUGGUCGAACUUGAGUCGAACCUUGAUGGCAAUGGCCUUAGAGUAGGAUGUAACAUCGACUGUCGUCGAAGUGUUAUCCGCCGUGGUCGAACUUGAGUCGAACCUUAAUGGCGAUGGCCUUAACUAUUUGCAUAAUAGAGACAUCGCCCUUGGCUAUUUGUAUAAUGGAGAAACUAGCCUUAGUUGUUUGCAUUAUAGAGACAAUGGCCUUGACUGUUUACAUAAUGGAGAAAAUUCUGUACAAUAGAGAAUUCUGUCAAAACGUAGAGUUUUUCCCAUACAAUUGAGAUUUGACUAGUGACUCCCUUUAUUAUAUCAGCCCGGAGACCGUAUCGACUGGCCGAUGUGAUAAACAUGAUCUCAGAUACCACCAGGUGUCCCCUCCACUGCCUCAUUAAAAACCUCCCCGAGAAAAACUCAAUUGGGACAAAACUCGGGUAAGGAAAAAAGAGUACGACUCGGGAGAUGCCUUUCAGAAGUGAAAGUAUUACAGAUGGGCGACAUUCCAGUUGUUUUGGAGUGUUUUUCCCUCCAUUGUUUCUAACUGGAAUGCUCCCUUGUUCACUGCUGCUGUGAUUUUAUAUGGUCCGUCCCAGUUGGAGCCCAAUUUUCCUUCACUCAGGUCUUUUGGCGCCAAUGAUUUGGAUUCGAGGACGCAAUCACCCACUUUGAGCGGUCUUAUUUUGGCAUUCUUGUCGUAAUACCUUUCAUCCUGCUGUUUUUAGGCCUUCAUUCUUAUGUGGGCCAUGUCCCUUCGUUCUUUGACUUCCUCUAGGUCUUAAAGUCUGUUUUCGUCGUUCUCUACCCCGUUGGCAUGUGAAUAUCUCAGGCUUGGCUACCCGAUUUCAACUGGUAUGACUGCAUUGGUUCUGUAGACCAAUAAAUAUGGCAUUUCUCCUCUGCUGGAUUUGGAUGUGGUCUGAUGUGCCCACAACACUUCCGGUAAUAAUUUGGGCCAUAUCCCUUUAGCUUCCUCGAGCUUUUUUUUCAAUAUGCUCAAUAUUAUUUAAUUGGAAGAUUCGGCUUGCCCGUUAGCGACCGGAUGAUAUGGAGUGGAAUGUAUCCACUUAAUGUGCCAUUUCUCAUAGAACUCAGUUGUCUUUUUACCGAUCAACUGGGGGCCAUUGCCGCACCUGAUUUCUUUGAGGAUGCCGAAACGACAUAUGAUGUUUUUCCAUACAAAGGCGAUGAAUUCCUAUUUGCGUAUCUGUACAUACGCACCUGCUUCCACCCACUUGGAAAAGUAGUCAGUUAAAACUAAAAGAAAUCGUACCUUUCCUCGUCCCGCUAGUAGGGGGCCGAUUAUAUCCAUUCCCCACUUGAUGAAGGGCCAAGGCGAGGUGACUGAGUGGAGAAGCUCUCCUGGUCGGUGUAUCAUGGGGGUGAACUAUUGGCACUGCUCGCACCUGCGGAUAUAUUCUACUGCCUCAUUUUUCAUAGUGGGCCAAAAAUAAUCAACUCGGAUGAUGCAGCGGAUGAGGGUGCAAUUACCUAUAUGAGCACUGCAGUGGCCUUCAUGCACCUCUUCUAACACUUGUCUCAUUUAGUGCGGCCCAAGGCACUUAGCGCGGGUUCCGCCAAACAUCCUUUUAUAAAGAUCAUGAUUUAUCAGGUUGUAUCGGGCGGAUUGCACGCGGAGUUUUUUGGCUUCUUUCUUGUUGCGUGGGAGCGUCCCGUCUUGCAGAUAGGAUACGAAGUGGUUGUUCCAAUCCCAAGUAAGGUUUAAAGAGAGUACCUUAAUGUGAUCGAUGGCCGAAUGGAGGAGGACGGCCACACUUUCUUUGCUGCUAUUUUUGGUGGUCGUGGCUAAUUUUUCUAAGCCAUCUACUUCGACAUUUUGUGCCCUGGGGAUUUGUUCAAAACGGCGUUCGUUGAAUUCAGGCAUCAGCUUGUGGAUUUUUUAUUGGUAUUUUUGUAGCCUCUAUUCUUUGAUUUGAUAAGUCUCGGUGACUUGGUUUACUACGAGUUAGGAGUCGUAAUGAAGGAUAAGUCCUCGGGCCCCAUAUUUGAUGGUUAAUUUCAUACCUGCAAUCACAGCCUCAUAAUCAGCCUCAUUUUUAGUCAUCUCGGGGUAUCGUAUGGACUGAAGAAUUAUUUCACCACUGGGACUCCAAGGACGAGUCCCAGUCCCGAUCCUGCGGAAUUAGUGGCAUCGUCAUUGUAGAGAAUCCAGAGGUCGAUGUUAGGGGAGGCACGGAGGGCCUCCAUUUCCGCCUCUAGCAGUACCUCUGCACUGAAGUCGAUGACAAAGUCUGCAAGUACCUGUGAUUUAAUGGUGGUUCUUGGAUGAUAGGAUAUGUUGUGCUCGCUGAGCUCUAUGGCCACCUAGCGAGCCUACCCGAGAGUUCGAGCUAUGCUUCUCAGGGGCAAGGUCAUUAUUACUUUUAUGGGGUGGCACUGAAAAUAGGGUCUAAGCUUUCGUGAAGCUAUGACCUGUGUUAGAGCUAACUUCUCGAGAUGUGGAUACCGUGUUUUAGCAUCAACUAAAGUUUUGCUGAUAUAGUAUAUACGAGAUUGCGUACCUUUGUUUUCGCGGACCAAGACUGCGCUGACAUCAACUUCGGAUACGGCCAGAUAUACUGGCAAACUCUCGCCCGGGUUUGCUUUGACCAGUAAUGGCAGCGAAGAUAGGUAGGCUUUUCAUUUUUGUUGGGCCUCGAUGCAUUCCUUGAUCCACUGUAACCCAUGAUCUUUUCUCAGUGUGAUGAAGAACUUAUGACAUCUGUUAGAGGACCGUGGGAUGAACAUUGAUAGGGCGGCUAUUCGCCCCGUUAAUUUCUGUACCUGCUUCUUUGCUGUUUAAAGUCUGAGGUAUUGCAUCUAUAGCCUUGACAUGAUAUGGGUUGACUUCGAUAUCUCGUUCUGAUACGAGGAAACAUUGGAAUUUUCCCGAGGCCACACUAAAGGCGCAUUUUUCUAAGUUUAGCUUCAUCUCGUAUUGUCUCAGGAUACCAAAGACUUCUUUUAAAUGAUCGACAUGAUCCUCCUUCUUUGCCGACUUUACUAGCAUGUUAUCGAUGUAAACCUUCAUGGUCUUGCCGAGCUGUUCCUAGAACAUUUUGGUGACCAAUCUCUGAUACGUUGCUCCUUUGCAUUUUUGAGUUCGAAGAGCAUCACCUUAUAAUAGUACGUCCCUUGGUGGGUGAUGAAAGUUGUAUUUUCUUGAUCUUCUCCGGCCAUCAUGAUUUGGUUGUAGCCUGAGUAGGAGACUAAGAAACUUAUAGUUCAUGCCCUACGGUUGUGUCUAUCAGCUGGUCGAUGUGAGGUAAUGGGAAUGAGUCCUUUGAGCAUGCCUUGUUCAGGUUGGUGAAAUCCACGCAAAUUCUCCAUUUCCCAUUUUUCUUUUUGACCAUGACGACAUUAGCGACCCAUUGCGGGUACUUCGAUUCUCUGAUGGAACCGUUGGCUAGUAACUUGUCCACUUCUUCACUGACUGCCUCGUUGAUUGCAACGUUGAAUUUCCUUCUCGUCUGCCACACGGGCGAUUAAAGUGGGUCAACUUUCAGCUUAUGAAUGGCGAUGUCUUUCGAGAUUCCCGACAUAUUUGAUUAGGAGAAGGCAAAUAAAUCUACGUGAUUAGUUAAGAAUUUGUGGUACUUUCUUGGGUCAGAAAGACUGUGCCCGAUGUAGGCUUUCUUUGAAGGGUUAGCAUCAUCCAGUUGAACCGGGUCGAGUUCUUCAACCGUCGCUUUGCAAUCCUCUACGAUGUCUGGGUCUUUGAUAGCCCCUACUAUCGGGUUGACUUUAGUCCCUGACUUGAUGGAAUCAUUGGCUAUUAAUAUGUCUAUUUCUUCAUUGACCGCCUCGUUGAUUACGGUGUUGAAUUUCCUUCUCGACUACCGCACAGGAGGGUAUAGUGGAUUGACUUUCAGCUUAUGAGUGGCGAUGUCUUUCGAAAUUCUUGGCAUACCUGAAUGGCAGAAGCAAAUAAAUCGGUGUGGUUAGUUAAGUAUUUAUGGUACUUACUUGGAUCACCUAGACUGUGCCCGAUGUAGUCUAUCUUUGAGCGGCUGGCAUCGUCCAGCUGGACUGGGUCAAGGUCUUUGACUGUCACUUCGCAGGCUUCUAUGAUGUCUGGGUAUUUGAUAGAUUCUACAGUCGGGUUGGCUUUAGUCCCCGGCAUGGAUGAUUGCUAUGCUUUUGCACUUUCUCCUUUUAGUCGUUUGGUAUGUGUACAGUCUUGGGAUAUCCGAUAGCAUUUCUGAGCAGUGCGUGGCUCGCCUCGAAUGCUGAAUAUUCCCCAUGGGGUAGGGAAUUUGAUCACCUGGUAGAAGCUCGAGGAGAUUGCACGCAUGGUGUGUAUCCAAGGGCGUCCUAUGAUGGCGUUCUAAACCAUUUCCUGGUUCAUGACGUGGAACGUUGUUUCCAGCGUAACUCUCUCUGAUAAUACUGGCAAUGAUCUUUCCGGAGGUCCGUUCCCUGUAUUGUUAAAACCCGUUAGUGUUAUGCAACAAGGUAUUAUCUUAUCUUCGAGUCUCAUUUGCAUGAGGACUCUUGGAUGGAUAAUACAAGUGUUGCUUCCGUCGUCUACCAUGAUUCUCUUGAGAUCAGUAUCGGCGAUAUGUAAAGUUAUAAAUAAAGCAUCAUAAUAAGGAAAAUACAAACCGUUGGUAUCAGACUCAUCGAAGGUGAUACUACCUUCGAAGUCGUCAUAUCAUUCAUGGGCGAUUCUGCACUUCAAUUUAUGUGUGUGGUUAACUUUACGUGGUUGAUUGUUGAGUCGUAUCUGCCCUCGAUGAUCAUAUUUAUGAUGCAUGGUGGAGAAGGUGGAGAAGGUGGUCCUUGGGAUUGAUCUCGUCCUCUGGUGAAAUUGGUCUUUCCCUUAUCGCUAAGCAGCUCUUUCAGCUAUCCUUGGUUUAGCUUCCUGACUACUUCUUGUCAUAGACCUAUGCAAUCUUCGGUCUUGUGUCCCCUUUCCUGAUGGAAUUCACACAGGACGUUCGACCUCCUUGUGCUAGGAUCCGACUUCAUUUUCUGCGGUCAUUGCACCUUUAUGCCUAGCUUCUCCAAUGCGUACACUAUUCUGAAGGGGAUAGGAAAAAGUUAUGGGCAAAUAAUAAAGGAGGCAUACCUCUAUCAUUCCGAAGUGGGGUGACAUGUCGCGGUACUGCAUCUGGGUGCCUUGGAGGGGGUGGAUGGGAGGUCCUGACGUAGGGCUGAUGCCUUUCUUUGUUGAAGCGUGGGGGUUGUUCCCAUCGUCCGUCGUUGCAUCAAUCCCUUCUUGCUUCUUAUUGUAUCGUUAUUAUUCGCUGGGUUGGCCCGUUGAAAUCGUCUUUGUCCCUUCUAACUUCAGCACAGUAGGCGUUGUGGAUCUCUUCCCAUGUGGUGGGGGGAUAUUUCAUGAGUCCGCUUAGCACCUCCUUGGUCGCUCUUGACCAUCUCUGUUCAGCCCAUUUUGGAAAGCGGAGGCUGCCAUGCCUUCCAAUAUGUUUGGCAAACUCAUUCUUACCCUGUUGAAUCUAGCCAAGAAAUCCCGGAGUCCCUCAAAUAUUGUUUGCCUGACGACAAAGAUAUCGUUGACCCUAGCUUCGGCCUUCUUCGCUCCUGUAUGAACGGUGGCAAGUUUGUCUUCCAUUUCUUUGAACGUCGAUAUUGUCCUAACUGGCAGUUGAGAGCACCACGUUAAGGCCCUUCUGUCAACGUUUCUCAAAAUUUCUUCAGUAGCACGGAUGGUACUUGUUCUUUUGAUAAAUCGUUGCCUUUCACAGCGGUCACAUAAUGAAUUAGAUGAUCCUCGGGAUCCAUAGUCCCAUCAUAUAUUCUUAAUUAUGGUGUCAUCUUGAAGGUUUUUGGGAUUGGGUGAGGGGCAGCCUCCUCACUGUACAGUUGUUCGACGAACCGUCCUACGUCGCCUUUGGCAGUAGCUUAGGGGCUCCAGGAAUUUUGUCUACUCUUUCCUGGUGCUCUAUCAUUUUAUCACGGAGCGCUUUGUUUUCACUCUCCAUCUCUUCCAUUUUCUUAAGGAUGGUUGGAAGUGCACCAUCGUUGGCAUUGGCAUCGACGUGUAUGUUGCUUGCUCGUACAAUACCGAGUUCACCGGUGGCAGUAGUGACAUCUACUGCCGGCGAGUCCCUGGUAUUCCCUUGGGGUGAUUUUUUGAGCAAACGACUUAGAGUGUUUGUCAACCAUUCUUCCAGUAUCUUUUUAACCACCGAGGGUGUUUCUUUGGCGACAUAUGUAGAUGCCCCUUUUACAUGUAAAAUCGUUGAAUCAUUGAGUGAAAAGGGUGAGAUCUCCCCGUUCAGUGCAUUACUAGGCAUUGUGCUCGUGAUAUUUUCUCUACCGGACUCGUAGAAAGGGCCUAUGAGAUUAGUUGUGACACCAGCUAUUGUCUUCAUCCUUGCUUCUCUUUCUACCAUCGUUCGGCUUCUAUGGAGUAUGGAGAAUGGUGAUCGUUAUUUUUUUUAUAUCCUAGGUAUGAACUAUGAUUUCGAUUGCCGAAAUCCCCACAGACUGCGCCAAAUAGUUUGACCCCAAAGUUAUCGAACCCUUUCCGAGUAAAUCAAUCAAAAUAAAUCAAGGGUAAAUCGUAAUAGAAGAUAAUAAGACCUUAGGAUAUAUGAUAUGUUCGUUUAUUUUUAGUCUUAGUAUUCGAAAGAAAUUCGAAGAGAGAGAUUCAGAGUGAGAAGGAUAGAGAAGUUAAUAAUAAUCAUCUGCCCCUUUACAAUGCUAGAAUCCCCUUUAUUUAUUAAGGGACACUCUUCCCCAUAUUAAAAUAAAUAGAAACUAAAUAUAUAUCCUUGAAGGGAUGACGGAACCUAUGGUGUCGUUUCUCUUAAUGCUACUAAGUCGUACCUCUGCCCUGGCUAAUGGACGCUUGACGGUUAUCCGUACCGACGCAAAGACGUGGUUGGUCAAAUUCGAACCCAUAUGGUAGUAGCUUACAAAUAAUAUAGUCAUCUAAAGAAAUUUUUGGAUUAACUUUUUUGAUUUUAAUCUUUUCACCAAUCAUGUGUAAAAUUGGAUUGCUCCACUGGAGGACCUCAAGUUUUAACCUUUAUAUAAGUAAACUUUUACUAAUACUUUAAUAAUUAAAUUUCGCUCCUGUAAAAUAAUAAUCAAGACAAAAAAUAUAGCAACAAAUAUUAUAUUCAAUUUUAAGUGAUGGAGUUACAAUCUCUAAAAUAUCUCUAAAUUUAAAGAGAUGUAGUCUUUUGAUUCUUCUCCUCACAGAUGAUGGUUCAAGAACUUGAUAGCUUGAUAUUGAACUUGACGGAUUUCAGAUUUUUAGUACGUCACGAACUAUUUAAAGGUCGUUACGAACCAGGAUUUGCUGUUGGGUUAUUACGAACAGAAGAUUUGAAGUCACCCGCCUAUGAUUUGAGUUUGCCUUUAGAGUUUGACCACAUACGGCGAUUGCAGAUAUGGAUGAAGGCCUUGAUGCUACUUUUUAGAGCUUCUUUAGCCUUUCCUUCUGCUUACCUGUUUAUCCCUUAGCCUUCUCCUUUGACCUCUUUAUAUAGGUGUGGGGUGGAGUAAUCUCCAAGAAAAUCCUAGUGGAUCAUUGGGUUUGAGGCUUAUGGGCCGAUCCAUUUGAUAGAAGACCAAUUGACGGGCUAGCCCAAUAGUAUAUUGAAUCUUUUAUUUAUAUCAAUUUAAUUGGAUUUAAAUAACAACCUCAAUUAUACCUGCCCAUGUUACUUAAUUAAACCAAUAUAUAUUUAAUUUAUGUUAUAAUCUAAAUUUUUUAUGAAUUUAAAUUUGAUAAAAUUUUAAUUGUCUACAAACACUCAAAAAGGCAAGCUGAUUGCAUAAUUUAGCAUGUUCCUCCUUAUCUGCUGCAAAUAAAUGGAAGAUUUUAUUUUAUUUUUCUUCUAAUUUUGACUUGUCUUAUCUUUAAAUAAUAAGAAAAUUUAGAUAUUUGAAACCAAAGAAAAAAUAAGAAAAGGGAGAGACAUUAUGUUGUACUUUAAUUUCUAUUUUAAUUGAAUGUGAAUAAACUUAUGAGAUAAUGUGUUUCACGAAAGAAAACGAAACUAUGAAAAAAAGAAAAGAAAUUUGGAUAGAUUUGUGUAUAAAAGAAAGUUAUAUAUAAUAGGAAACUAAUAAUUAAAUAUUCUCCAAAUAUCAAAUAAUUUUUUCAGCAUUAACAAAAAAAAUGACUUUUCAUAAAUAAGUCUUUUGUUAUUUUUCUUUUUGCCUGAGAAAUGAUUAUACAAAGCACCACAAGUUUAAAAGAUUUUACCCUCUCUUGCUUUUCUUGGAUUCAUCUCAUCGACCAAACUAAUCUUAUGACAUGCAAAGUAAUUUCUCAUGCAGCUUUCAAGGAUGCACGUUGGACUGGUAUUUAGAUGCACCACCCUCAUAUCUUGCAUAUUUAAUACAGAAGUGUAGUAUAAGUACAUAAACAAUAUGUAUUCAGUUUAAUAUCGAAAAAAAAGUAAUGACAAAGGAUCGACUCCGACACUUAUUAUGGGCUAACAAUAAAAUGAUGAAAACUCUAAAUAAAUAUGGGCUAUGUAAAUCAAACCGUAAACUCAAUAACAAAAAACAAAUAAACCAUUCUUUAAUGAUAAUAGUUUCCAAGUAAAUUUCCGUUAUUUAACAAUUUAACCUCUCGAUCCAAUGAAACAAUAUCAAUUAAAAAAAUUGGGCUCCAAGUAUUAUUACGUAUGAAUUAUUCUGAGGUCGUACGACCUGAUCCAAAAUACAAAUAUAUAAAUUAUGCACUAUCAAGGCGUUCGGCUCCCUCCAAGGCAUUCGGUGUCACAACCACACCGACGGGCCGCGACAGGUGCCCGAGUCUUACCUGUCGAACAUCCUUAAGCAAGCGUCUAAGAUAUAAAAAUGAAUAACAAACGUAAGGGAUACUUGUCCAAAGACAUAUAUACAUAUACAUGCAGAAUACAGUGGGGUAAGUCGGCAAGGUUGCUAUAGACAACAACAUACUCAAAACUGGAAGCCGACAAGGCCACAUACAACCACUAUUAGAAUAUACAACCGUAUAAGGAUGGUACUGGGCCAUGUCAUACAUAUAUAUGUAUACAAACAUAUAUGCCUGCAUCUGUAGGCAUGAAACACAGGCCCCGAAAAAUAGGGCAUUAGUAGGAAUAAUGUAUCGAGUAUGUAAGGCAUGAAAAUCAGUACAUAAAAGACAUAGAUGAACAUGGAAUAAAGAAUUCCGCAUGUAAGUCUAAAUAGCUUAGUAAAUCAUGAAAUAUUUAUAAUGUCAUGCACGUGCAUAUAAAUGUCGUAUCAUGCCUAGAGUAUAGGGAUUCAUAACAUCAUCAAGCAUCUGAGGGCAUCCUAUCAUAUCACCUCGGCCACUUUGAGAAAAAUCUUCAAUAUAUACCAACUUAUCUGGUAGUGUGCAUAUAUAAUGUCGUAACUUGUUUGCAUGCAUACAUACAUACAUACAUAUAUACAUAUAUACAUACAUACAUAUAUACAUAUAUACAUACAUACAUAUAUACAUAUAUAUACAUACAUACUUACAUACAUAUAUACAUACAUACAUAUAUAUAUAUANNNNNNNNNNNNNNNNNNNNNNNNNNNNNNNNNNNNNNNNNNNNNNNNNNNNNNNNNNNNNNNNNNNNNNNNNNNNNNNNNNNNNNNNNNNNNNNNNNNNNNNNNNNNNNNNNNNNNNNNNNNNNNNNNNNNNNNNNNNNNNNNNNNNNNNNNNNNNNNNNNNNNNNNNNNNNNNNNNNNNNNNNNNNNNNNNNNNNNNNNNNNNNNNNNNNNNNNNNNNNNNNNNNNNNNNNNNNNNNNNNNNNNNNNNNNNNNNNNNNNNNNNNNNNNNNNNNNNNNNNNNNNNNNNNNNNNNNNNNNNNNNNNNNNNNNNNNNNNNNNNNNNNNNNNNNNNNNNNNNNNNNNNNNNNNNNNNNNNNNNNNNNNNNNNNNNNNNNNNNNNNNNNNNNNNNNNNNNNNNNNNNNNNNNNNNNNNNNNNNNNNNNNNNNNNNNNNNNNNNNNNNNNNNNNNNNNNNNNNNNNNNNNNNNNNNNNNNNNNNNNNNNNNNNNNNNNNNNNNNNNNNNNNNNNNNNNNNNNNNNNNNNNNNNNNNNNNNNNNNNNNNNNNNNNNNNNNNNNNNUUUAUUAUAUAUAUGCGUAUAUAAUAUGAUAUGGUCAUGGGUCAAUGUAAAUAAAUGCAAUGCAUGAGAAGUACAUCAAUAAAAUCUUUGAUAUUAUGGUCGGAAUCCGAUUCUGGAAAUUGGAUUAGGUUCGUAGUUUUAAACAUGAGUUGUGUGAAAAAUUUGGGGCCAUUCGGACAUGAUUUGGUUGGUUUCGGCAUCAGUUGUAGAAUUUUGAAGUUUCAAGUUUUUAAAGUUUGGAUUGGAGGGUAAUUCAUAAUUUUAGCGUUUUCUAUGUAAUUUGAGGGCUCAACUAAGUUCGUAUGGUAUUUUAGGAUUGGUUAGUAUGUUUGUUUGACGUCCCGAAGGCUUCGGAUGUGUUUCGCGUGCUCAACGGGCCAUUUGGGACUUAGAAGGAUAGCAGAUUUUGUUGGUUUCUCUGUUGCAGACAUUUGUUUUUCGCGUUCGCGAAGUGGAGCUCGCAUUUGCGAAGAAGAGCUUGGUCGGGAAAAGAAAUUGUUCUUCACGUUCAUGAAAAGGAGCUCGCGUUCGAAGGUUGGCCAGUGGAAGCAUCGCAAACGUGAAGAGCUAAACAUUUUCGUGAAGAGGAAAGGUGGAACAAAUGGGACCUUAGGAAUUUCCUCUUUGCGUUCGCGAAUAAGGUUCACAUUCGCAAAGGUCCUGGUAGCUGAAGCUACGCGUUCGCGAAAGGAACUCGCAUUCGCGAAAGAGGAAAAUUGAGCUGUGGACUUUUGCUCUACGCGAACACGAGGUGGUGGUCGCGUUCGCGAAGAAGGGCAUGCCUAGUUAUAUUUGAAGUUCAAAAAAUGAAGGUCUUAGUUCAUAACACAAAAUUUGGUUUGGAGCUCGGUAGAAGGAGAAAUUUGGAGAGAUUUUUAGAGGAAGUUUGCGGUUAAUGAUUCCUAACUCUUUAAUGAUUAUAUUCCACUAAUAUAUGAUUGACUUCAUCAUUUAAUUUUUGAAUUUGAGAAAAGUUCUUAGGCCAAAUUUUUGGGGUUUAAUUCAGAUUUUGGUAUCGGAUUUGAGUAAAUUUGGUAUGGUUAUACUCGUGAGUGAAUGGGUGUUCAUAAUUUUUGUGACUUUUACCCGAUUCUGCGAUGUGGGCCUGGGAAGGCUUUUUGGUAUUUUUUUUCUAUUUUCUUUCCUUAGUUUUGAUUUCAUUAGCUAAAUUAGUUGAUUGUAGCUAUGUUUACGUAAUGUAAUUGAUUUGGCUAGAUUUGGGCCAUCCGGAGCCGGAUAUUCAUGGAAAGAGCAUUGCUUCGAAUUGAAUUGAGCUUGGUUCGAGGUAAGUGGCUCGCCUAACCUUGUGUAGUGGAACUCCCCUUAUGAUUUAGUAUUGUUUGAUGUAUGAGCAUCGUGUACUUGAGGUGACGAGUACAUAGACAGACUAUUUGUUUUAAAACUCCAUUUUUCAUUAAGUCAUGACAUGUUUUCUCCUUGUUUGAACUACACUAGCAUAUGUAUUAUCUUGUUUAGAUUAGAAAAGCAUGCCUACCUAUUUUAUAUUGUCUAUUGAAACUUUGUGCAGCAUGUUUAGUGAAACUUCCUUGCUUUUCCUUUGAUUUAGUCUAAAACCCUAGGUUUUCGUGCUAUAACUGUUGUUUAUAUUAGUUGAGCUGCAUAUUUACUUUGGGACUAUGGAACGAUAUUCUGGGAGAUUCCCAUGUGCUGCAUAUUUACUUUGGGACUACGGAAUGGUAUUCCGGGAGAUUCCCCUAUACUGUAUAUUUAUUGUGGGACUAUGGAAUGGUAUUUCAGGAGAUCCCCCAACACUGCAUAUUUACUUUGGGACUAUAAAGCAGUAUUUUGGUAGACCUCUCAACACUGCAUAUUUACUUUGGGACAAUGGAACAGUAUUUCGGGAGAUCCCCCUACACAUACGGGACGGUAUCCUAGGAGAUUCUCUGUUGUCACCCUUGAGUUUCUAAGUUGGUGUUCUUCUACGUUUGUUUUUUAGUUAAAUUUCAGUAUUUAUUUUUACUGUGAUAUAUAUUUCUGUUAAAUUUUAUUAUAUUUAUACCAGCAGGACCCUGACCUAAUCUUUUCACUACUCGACCAAGGUUAGGCUUGGCACUUACUGGGUACCGUUAUGGUGUACUCAUGCCCUUUCCUACAAAUAUCUUUACGUGUGCAGAUCCGGGCACUAGCUAUCGCUUCGAGUCUACUUGCGUGGUUGCUGCCUCAGGAGAUUUCAAGGUACAUUCAUCGCGUCCGCAGAUCUCGAUGUCCCUUCUAUCCCCUGGUGUUGAUUUUCCCCUUGUUUUCUUCAAACAUAAAUGUAUAGAGCAGUUAGAAACUCUUAGAAGCUUGUAACAUUGUGACAUUCUGAGUUUUGGGGAAAGUGAUUAUUGUAUAUGCCGAGCGGCAUCGUUUCUGCUUAUUAACUAUAAUUAUUAGUUGUUACCUUUUGUGUUUCUAUUCUAUUUCUACAAUACUAGGCUUACCUAGUUGUAAAGACUAGGUACCGUCACAACAGUUCACGGAGGGAGAACUAGGGUCUUGACAAUCAAGUAAGACUUUAAUUGGUUGUAAUGUAGGCUGCAGGACGGGUAGGGUACACUUAGAUUUAAGAGUGACUAUACAUCCAUAAGCACUUUAAUACAUAAUUACACGUUCAAAAUCACACACUUAUGUCAAAACAUAGCUCCACAUUCACAUCAAUAUAUAUAUCAACUCCUACUUCUUUAAGAACAAAUACAUAGAGAGUUACCACUAUCAAGGAAUAUUUUUCCAGAACAAUACAACUAUUUUUAUUUUAUUGUCUUAUUCAAUUGAAGUGGCUCUUACUUUUUCCAAAAUAAUACAUGUUUCUCCUAUUUUAAUAGUUUCACUCAAAAGCCAAAUGAACACCCCACACCUUAACUUUUACAAAGUUCAUAACAAAUUCAAGUGCUCACAAAAGGUAAAAGGUUCAAGUAGAUGGUCAAUUCGAACAAAUAGGUAAGGCUUGCAAUGUGGUUGUCAAAGAAAUAGUAUUAGAGGCUCAAAGGGUUUAACUAAGAUACAUCAUAAUUAGGUGGACAAAACAUAUAUCUGGCUCAACAAGAAAUGUCUAUAUCACUUUCAAGACUGAAUAAAACUAUUAUUCUGCUUUGUAAACACACGGGGAAAAUUCUAGACAUCAACUGUAAUGCAUAGAAUAACACGAAACCUCACCCUCACAUGGUACAUAACUCACUCACGAUUGGAAUCAUCAAGACACUCUAGUCAAAACAGUUAAGCAAAGUUAAGAUCAUACAGUUUAAUAUACUUAUACAAGAGUCAAAAAUUGAGCCUAAGCGUCACAGCCAGCGCACUCACCAUUCUCAAGGUACAACAAGGUCAAGAGAUAUUUUUUUUCAUUUGAACUAUUACACAAGGUUUCCUACUCCUAAUAAAAAUAAAAACUAACUACAUCUGGUUCAAACAAAAUCUUUGGAAAAGAACUGCGGCACAAGGAAAAGCCUAGGGGGAAGUAUUACACUGCCUAACAAAAAAAAAAUUCUUUCAACUUUAAUCCCUCAAGAUACCUAUCAAUGUCCAUUGUCAGGAAAAAUCAAAAAAUUAAUUUUUUUCUAUCUCUAACUACUAAAACUUCGAAAAAGAAACACAUACAUACAACAUACAAAUAUGCCCCACCCACACUUUAAGUUGUGGCAUGUUCCCAUGACACACAAUUAAAAAGCAUAAAGUAAAGGAAACUUCCUUGAACAUCUAAUCGGGGUCUGAGCCAAAGUCGGGCUCCAUUCCUCUCACUCGAACUAAUACACAUAUCCAUGCAGACAACUUCUUCUUAGCCUUCUUGGGGUACACCUCACACUUAUCUUUCUCGUUCACCAACGCCUACUCUUUCGGCCCAUUUACUUUUUACUCAACACUGGCAACUAGUUUGUUCUUUUGCACCCUCUUUGAUAUAUCCAUUUGAAAAGUCACAUUCUCCUCACCCAUUCUAAGCAUGAGUAUUAUUUCUUGUAUAUAUAAUAUAUCUCUACCUGUCGCUAAUAAUGGUCUUCCUAUGAUGAGAGGGACCUAUUCGGUUUCCUCCAUUUUUACCACUAUAAAAUCCAGAGGAAAUACAAACUUAUCCACCCGAACUAAAACAUCUUCAACUAUUCCCUCGGGUAUUAGGGUCGUUUUGUCUGCCAGCUGCAAAGAUAUUGUCGCAGACCUUAUCUCUCCAAUUUCCUAUAAAUAGACAGAGGCAUUAAAUUAAUUGAGGCACCAUAAUCACAUAAAGGCUUAUAAAAUUAAUAGUUCCUAAAGAUCAAGGUAUAUUAAAACUCCCUGGUUAUCUACGCUUUUGUGGGAGUUCUUUUUUUGCAAGAUUACAUUGUAAUGCUCUGUGAGCUUGACCACUGAGGUCUCCUCUAGUUUCCUUUUCUUCAUAAGGAUCUCCUUUAUUUAUUUAGCAUAAUUCGUCAUUUGUGAGAGCACUUCUGUGAAUGAUAAGUUUACAUGAACCUGUUUCAGCACACUCAAAAAUCUUCGAAACUGCUUAUCCAUCUUUUCUCUAUAUAGCUUUUGAAAGAAAGGUAAAGCAUGCAUAUGCUCUCUUCCCUCAAGUUCCUCCCUUCUCGAAUUUUCUUCCUUCUUUUUUUUCACCUUUCUUCUGGACUUUCUUCUUCUUAUCAACAUCAUUCAUCAGCUGAUCCCUACUUCUUUUUUCAAGUAUCACAUCUUUCUGGAGAGGGUGGGAUCUUUCAACACUUGCCCACUUCUCAAGGUUACAAUAGUGACUAUUUUAGAGAUUUUUUCAGUAUCAACGAGGAGUGUUCCUAGAAUUCUCUCAAAUAAUAUUGUUGCAAUCUAUCCCACUUGCAUCUCUAAAAUUUGAAUUGUUGCCCCUUGUACUUCAAAUCUUUUGUUAGUUUUCACAAUAAAGGCCUUCAUGAGAACUUCUAGACCAGGCUGAUUGGAUUGUUGAGCCUAAAAUUGUAUCCUCUGCUGAUUCAUGAAACCCGAAGCUCCUUGUCCCUGAAAUCUGGGGUUAUUUUGUCUUUAUGCAUUUAAAUUACCCCCAGGUGAACUCCAUGAAAAAUCAGGGUGCUUCUGACCUAUUGCGUUAAAGUGAUAAUUUACCACAUCAUUCACUUCCUCAGUUGACGCUUAACACUUAUUAGCAGAGUGUCCUCUUUCAUAUAUAUCACAAGUUGCAUGAGGUUCACUUUGUAUUGCAACUAAGGCCAGCUUUCGUAUUUUUUUUAGCCAUAGCAUCAAGUUGUACCUGCACAAAUAUAUUAUCAUCAACUUGGUGAACACAAGUUGAUCUUAUUCUUUCAGCACUCUCAAAGGGCCACUGAUUAGCAUCUUCGGAUAAAUCAUCAAGAAUUGUAACUAUCUUCUCUGGAGUCUUCUUCAUCAAAGGUCCUCCAGCUGCAAUGCUCAAUGUUCUACGUGAGUCCGGAGUCAAUCCAUCUCAAAAGUCCUGGAGUUGCAUCCAAAGUUCAAUUCUGCUAUGUUGAGAUUUUCGAACUAUCUCUCUUAACCUCUCUCGUGCUUCAAAAAUAGUUUCAGUCACUUUCUGGAAUAAGUUAUGGAUUUUUCUUCUAAGCUAGCCCAUUUUAGCUGAGGAGAAAUAUUUAUCAAGAAAUUUUUGGACAUCUCACUGCAUGUUCUAAUUGAUCCAUCGGUCAAGCUUCAAAGCCACUACUUAGCAUCAUCUUUGAGUGAAAAGGGUAAUUCCCUUAAGUAGACUGCAUCUUAUGACUACCCAUUAUAUUAAAAGGUGUUCAUAAUCUACUCUAAGUACAUUAGAUGUGUGUUUGGAUCUUCGUUCGUCUUUCCUCUGAAAAAAUAAAGCAAUUUUGAAUGGUUUGAACAAGCCUUGCUUCAACUCAAAAUUGUUACCUGAAAGUGGAGGUAGUCUAAUACUUGAUAAUCCUUAAAUGUAGACCGGUCUAUCAUAAUCACCAAGUGAUCUCCCAGGACCAGUAGCUAUAUUUACGAACUGGUCUGAACCAAGGGUUAAUUUUGAGCAAUUAUUCGAGCCUUCUCUUCUUUAUAGAUAAUCUGGGCAUCUCUACUAGAUGCUUCCUCAGCAUCUCGUGCAUCUUUUUCUCGUUUUUGGGCUUCCUCUCUUGCGGCAAAAUGCAUAUUAUCAUCAACAUUUCUUGUUGUAGAUUUUUUAGUUAAGGAUUGCCCAACCUUUUCUAGCGUCUCGGUGAGAUUUAUUUCCUUCCUUAAUUAUCGUAGUUGUUUUUCUAUCUCUGGCUCGUAUGGUAGAACUUCUUUCGCAGAGGCUCGAGUCGUGCACCAAUCUAAACCUGUAACCUGCACACAAUCAUCAAACACCAAAUGUAAAAAGAGAAAAAUAAAAUAAAAAGAAAAAAAUUCCUGAAUUAGCAUUACAAAUUGAUUGUCAAUCCCUCCGGAAACGGCGCCAAACUUUGACGAGCACAAAACACACACCCAAAUUAUGCUCUAUAAUCAAAUAUAGUACUACUUCCAUUCUAAUUUAUGUGAACUAGUUUUGACUGGGCAAUUUAAGAAAAAAUAAAGAUUUCUGAAAUUUGUGGUCCUAAACAAGUCAAAAAGGGGUCUAGAGCAUUUAUGUGACUAUAAAACCUUUUCAUUAAGGGCCAAACUGAAAUAUUAAGCUAAAUAAUUUUCAAAUUUAGAAAGGAGUCAUUCUUUUUGGAACGGACCAAAUAGGAAAUAGGUUCACAUAAACUGAAAUAGAUGGAGUAUAGUAUAAUAUCAUAUCCAUGGGGAUUGGACUUAAUAAUAUUCUCGUAGUUUCUAAAUUAUUGCUAUCCAAGAGGAUCAACAAUUGAGGUUUAUAUGAUUUCUAACUAAAAUUAACUAAGAAUCUAAAGCUAUUGACUAAUGAUAAUCGAAACAAGGAAUAAGCAAAGAAAAUUACCAAUGAGAGAAGGGUUUGAUAGGAUAGGUGCAAGAUAAUAGUUUGGUGUUUAACUCUAGAUAAUCUGCUUAUAAUAUUUAAGUGAGUCUAUCAAAUUUACUCAAUUAUUAGCUCAUAUGGUCAUUAGAAACUUCUCCCUCAAUUAAGUCUCAACCUCAUGAAAUGAACCAAUUUAAGCACUGUGAAGAUAUGCAGAAAUUCAUAGUGGAUUGGUCUUUAGGAUAAGCUCUCUCGAUUAUCCUCCUAACUAGGUUUAAUCAAUGAUUCGACUAACCUCUUCCGAUUACUAAGAAGAACUAAUGAACUCAACGAAAAAUAAAAAGAUAUCACAAGUUAUGUCUUUCCCGAUUACAUGAACAAGUGAAUAUAGAUACAAUAUUUAAAUCAUCCAAAAAUGCCUCAAUAUAUAAAACUAGAGUUAUAAUCAACAAACAAUCAUCAAUAUACCAAAUUCAUCAAACCAUAAAGAGACUACUUCAUAUACAUGGAUUAAUUCAUUACAAAUUUAAUUAAAGUAUAGAAAAACAUAAAUUCAAUCCAAAUUCGGGUCUUGAGUAGGGAAGGAAUGGUGAAAUUCUUGAGCUAGUGUUCUUCCAAAUCCUCGUUAGCUUCCUUUGGUCAAAAGUAUGUCAAAAGUCAAAAAAAACAUUUUUCCAUGUACUUAUACCAAGUAAGGUUGGGCCUAGAUGAAACUCCCUUUCCUAGACGAAAUAGGAAAAUUUGCAAACUUAUUACUUUUCAUGCGUCGAACAAUGCUAUGUAGGUGCGUAGCAUUAGUGCAAUUUUCUCGAUUGUAAACUCUUUGAACUUAGUGUGCCUGACAAAAUUUUGUACUGAUGCUACGAACUAUGCCUAGCAUUAGUGUAUCUUUCUGUUAGACACAAAUAUUACAAGUCUUUGAACUUCUCAAAUUUCUCACGCACAUUUGUAUUUAUGCAUCGCACUGUGCUACGCAUAGUGUGUCGCAUUGGUUCAUUUCCUCGUAGUGUUGUUUCUUCCUUGAUUUUUAACAUCCAAAAGUAAUCCUCGACCCCUGAACAUGAUCCUAGCUUAAUCCCUUGAGAUUUUACUCAGACUUCAAAGCUUCAAUUAUUUUAUUUAGCUCCACAAGAUCUACAUAACUUGGAAUCAUUCCUACAAGGCAUAAAAUAUGCAAUAAGUGAAAAAUACUACCAAUUAAAGCUCAACACAAGUAAAGUACAAUGAAUUAAAAUGUAAUAAGUGACUAAAACAUGAGAUUAUAGCCUACUAUCGGUGCACGUUUCAGAAGGCGCGUUGUGUUUUGGCUUACGAACGCUUCAGUGGCAUUGUGGUAUUUGCAUGGUUGAUCGACUGUUGAUGUGCAGAUUUUGCCAUACGGAGCGGGGGAAUUAUAGUAGUAUUUCUCAUGAGAUAAUUGUGUAUGAAAGAUGUAUUAGUCAUUCGAAUGUUGGAGUUGGGAUUGGCUAUAGUGAUCCAUAUGUUCUAUGGAUUUGGAGAUUGGGAGUUCUUAGAUGCAAAUUAUUUCGCAACUGUGCACCGUGAAGAUGUGGCCAAAGAUAUAUAAGUGGUGGUAAGUGUUUAUGGGUAGGUCAUUGGGGACUUGUGGAGGGCUAUGUGUCCAGUUGGGGAUGAUCGGAGUUGAUUUAGGGUUCAUUGGUAGGCCUAAUGAGGAUGCUAUCUACACCAGGUCAGAUUUCUUAACUCAGCACUGCUAUUAUUGAGGGGUGUGUCACUUAGUUGGGGUUGAUCUUGUUUAUUUUCCGAUAUGUUCUUGUGUUACUCUUUCAUGCUACGAGGGGUUGUGAUUUGUUAGUUAUAUGCAUACCCUAUACGGUUCUAUUUGGGCUUUAUAGUAGAAUUCGAUCGAGAUUGCUAUUUGGGGUGUUGAAUGUUUGAUUGUGCCUUGGUUACGGCAUUUCCAGGCUGUGGUAUAUUAUGUUAUUCGCUUCUCUCUGGUUAUGUUCAUGCACUUUGUGUACUUGAUGUCGAAUUGCGUGUGGUUGUUGAUUUUGAGCAUUAUGGCUUGAGGUAUUUCAUAGGAACGUUGUUUGGCUAGGGUCACAUGUUGCUUUGGAGUUAUGUUGAGAUAUAAUCUUUUGAGUUAGAUUCAUAUUUUUCGGUUCUACUAUGUGCGAUAGGUUCAUAACUUUGUGUUUGUGGUGGUACUUGUUGAGCUUGCGGGACAGUUCUCUCAUUUGAGUUAUUUUCCAUGUCUGAGUACAUUUGAAUUGUCGCUUAUUGGUUCACAGAUUGCACGGUUAUGGAUUUAGGUUUUAUUAGUAUGGCAUGUUAAUAGAAUAGUUGUGUUUGAUGAGAUAAGCUCAUUCGACCUAGAAUGGAUACUAUUGGAUUUGAUUACGGUAUGUUUGGAAGAAUAAUGUCGAAAGUCGGGUUAGGAUUUGGCUUUGGUUCUUAUAGGGAGAGAGAGGAGAGAGAGAGAGAGAGAGAGAGAGAGGGAGGGAGAGAGAGAGAGAGAGAUAGAGAGCUCCAUCACUCGUCGAUCCAAUGAGUGGUUUAUGAGUUUCUACGCAUUUCUUUCAUCAUUUGCAGUGUACGAAGGUUUUGAACAAGGUUUAAUUCGAUAUGAGGUUUACUACCAGUAUCGAACAAGGUUUAAUUCGAUAUGAGGUUUACUCCCGGUAUCGGGUUUGUUUUAAGCAACUACUAUAACCAGAAAAUUUUUCUACUAGUAUGUGAGUGAUAUAAUAUAUCAUGUGAUUUCAUCUUGGGUUAUGGGUAUGGCUUGAUACAUAUUGUUCAUACUUAUAUAGGUUGUAGAUAAAAGAUUCAGGUCUUAUAAGGAAUUCCGGAUGUUGAAAAUUAGGUACCAAGGUUUAUGGGCUAAGGAUAAAGUGAGGGUCUUUAGUUAUGUUGUGAUGUCGGGCGUAUAUGGAAUAUGGUGACGUGGGAGCACCCCCGAGUAUUUGCAUAGUAAGUUUACACAUUGAUUUGAUGGCCUUGGAAUGACUCUUGGUACGUUCGAGGAUGAACAUAUGUUUAAGUGGGGGAGAAUGUAACGAACCGACAGGUCCUUUUGAGAAGUUGUGUUACGUUCAGCUAUUUGAAGUCUUGAGUAGCUUCGUAUGAUGUAUUUUGGCUUGUGUAAAUCAACAGUUUUGGUUUUCAGAUGAUUCGGAAUUGAUUUGGAAGAAUGAUUCCUAAUUAGGAAGCUUUAAGUUGGAAGAGUUGACCAAAUUUGACUUUUGUGUAUUUGACCUUCGGAUCGGAAUUAUGAUGGUUCUGUUAGGUCUGCAUAGUGAUAUUGGACUUAGGUGUAUGCCCGGUUUUGUAUUUGGACGUUUUAGAAGGUUUCAGCUCUAUUUGACGAAAGUUGGCAAUUAGAAUGUUUAGAAUAUUCAUAAGUUUGACAGGGAGUUGACCUUGAUGAUAUUUGGUUGUACUGUGGUUUUGAGAAUUAAAAUAGAUUUUUUGUGUCAUUUAGGACUUGUGUGCAAAAUUCGAGGUCAUUUCGGGUUGGUUUGAUAUGGUUCAGCAUGAGUUUUGUAAGUUGAAAGUUCAAAAGUUCAUUUAAGUUUGAUUUGAGGUGUGAUUCGUUAUUUUGAUAUUGUUAUCAGUGAUUUUAGACCUCGAGUAAGUUGGUGUUAUGUUAUGGGAGUUGUUGGUAUGUUCGAACAAGGUCCCGAGGGGUUCAGUGAAUUUCAGAUAUCUUUCAGACCUUUUCCUCUCAUUUUGAAUUGCACUUUUUACUGAUGUCUGCAAUGAAUUGCGCUUGCGCGGGACUCAUCAUGAUCGCAAAUAAGGAUUUGGACUGGGAUAUUUUACCUCUUCGUGCUUUCGAGUAUUGAGCCACGUUCGUGGUGUAUAUGGGACUUGAGCUUCACGUUUGCAUUUGCGUAGUCGUGUUCGUGAUCGUGAAUAGGAGAACUAUUCUGCGCGUCCGCGAGAUGUGGGUUGCGUUCGAACUGUGUGGCAUCUCUAGGAAUCACGUUUGCUUGGAAUUCAUUGCGAAUGCAUAAGGCAUUUUUUGUGGCAAUUCAUUUUGUUCAUAGCGAGUGCAAAAAGCGAAUGCGGUGUUUUUCUGUGUUCGCGAAGUGUUCGCCUAGGCAGUGCCUAUAAGUAUUUUCUACUCAUAUUUCAUCACAUGAAUUGAGGUAAGUGUUUUCUACUCGAUUUUGAUUAUAUUUUAUGAAUCCGCCUUCGAUUUUGGUACUUGACUGAUGAUUUUGAAAAAGAAAUUGGAGAUUUUUAUCUAAACUUUUCUAAAGUGAAUUUUUAAUUUUUGAACAUCGAUCCGGAGUCGGAUUUCAAUAAAACUAGUGUGUUUAGAAUCGUAAUUGAAUAAUUGUUGGAUUUUGUGUGUGUUUUUAGGUCCAAUGUGCGGGCUCGGGAUUGACUUUUUGGUUGAUUUUUGGCUUUUGAUUAAAGAUUCUACCUUUGUCGAUUAGGUUUGUUUCCUUUGCCAUUAUUUGAUGUUCUUGAGUUGCUUUUGGACUAGUUUUGAUCCAUUCGAAGGUCGGUACAUGGGGAUGGCAUUUCUAGAGUGUGGGUUUGCUUGCUCGGUAUUGGAUUUGGCUUGUUCAAGGUAAGUAACAUAUCUAAACUUGGAAUUGAGGGUAUUUAACCCUGGAAACUGUGUUAUAAAAGAUGUAUUUGAGGUGACGCACAUGUGGGUGUGCACCGAGGAAAUCAUGAUUCUAGUCGAUAAUUAGACUAUGCCCGGACUUGUUUUGCUAUUAUAUCUUAUUAUAUCUAUGUUCUCCUGUCUCAGCCAUGGACUAUAUUAGAAAUCAUGUUUAGGAAAUGUACUUAAUCGGUUGAGAUCUAAUAAAUUUGUUUCUAUUGUUUUGAGUUAUCUUCUCUCACUGUAAUCAUAUACUCAAUCAUGAUUCUUUGUUUUAUAUCAUAUCUCAGUCUAUGUUAAUCAUCCAUUGCUACAUCAUUUUAUCAUUGUUUGGGCUGACUGGCAUGAGAUUUGUGAGCCCAUGAUACUGGAGAGAUUGAUGACUCAGUUGAGGCCUGAAGGCGAAGUUGUGAGUGAUAUUUAUGAGACCGGAUUGCAUGCUGCAGCAUGCCAUAUUGGCUUAUAUAAUUACUUGUAGGAUUUCCCCCUUCGGAGUCUGACAUACCAGUAGUAACCACAGGUACCGAGUGACCAAGUGCCGAGUGAUUGAGUGUACUAAGAGAUUGAGUGUACCGAGUGAUUGAGUGUGCCGAGUGAUUGAGCGUGAGACAGUGAGAUUGAGUACUUUGAGAGUGUGAGUAUAUGAUUUUAUCACUGUGAUGCAUUACAUUUGACAUGCAUCCUUAGCAUGUAAGCAUAGAGAUGCAUUUUCUCAUAUUAUACGAUAUUGUAACAACUUCUCAUGCACAUCGACAUGUAAACAUAUAGAAGUACUUUGCUCAUGUUAUCUGAUAAUGAAAUAUCUUCUCUGUUGUUGAAAGUUAUUGGGAAAAAUCUUAGUUUUUCUGAUAUACUCAUAUUUUGGUGAUUUCAAUGAAAGAGUUGGGUUUUACUAUUAUACCUAAAAAGCAUACCUAUUUUCCAUAACUAUGAACGAGUUGAGCAUUCUAUCUUUUAGUUAUUACUUGUACUAUUUUUUAUUGUAUUAUCACGAUUAGUUCUUGGCUAUUGGUAUUGGACUCUGACUGUUUGUCCAAGCUCGUCACUGCUUUCAACUAAGGUUAGGUUUGUUACUUAUUGAGUAGAUGAGGUCAUUUGUACGCAUACUACACUUUUGCACCUUGCAUGCAGAAUUUGGAGCUGAUGUUGUUGUAUAUGGCGGGAGUUGGCAUUGAAGAUGUACUUGUGUUCCAACUAGAACUGCCUCUUAUCUUGGUGGUUUAGAUUUAUAAAAUCUGUUCAUGCAUAUUUCGAACAGGUGAUGUAUUUAUGUCAUAUUAGCUUUUUAAAAUCUAAUCUUAAAAUCUCACGAUUUGUACUACUAGCCCUUAGGGAGUUGUAUAAAAUUCAGUUAUUUCAUUUUAACUCUUAUAAUUAUUUUGUUAUAUUAUGGUUUAUAGUUAUUUGGCUUAUCUAGGUUGGGUUAGGUUCCAUCAUGAGUAGUGAAUUUUGGGUCAUGAUAUUAAACUUAUUAUUUAUAAAUAUUCCCACAUUAUAACUUAUUUUUGUUAUUUAUAUUUUUUUUAUUUUAUCUAUUAGACUUGAGUUAUGCGGCCUUAUCCACAUUGUGACCUUUCUUAUCAUAAUAGAUUUAAAAAAUCAUUAAAAUUUAAAUAAGUUUUAUCAUUUUUUUCCUUUAAUUUUUUAUUUUUCUCUAUUUGUGCCUUAUUUUUGCUAUUAUAUUAUUCAAUAUUUAAUAUUAUUACAUUCGCAUGUGGCUUUUCAUAUGUUUGUUUGAAUUUAAUAUUCAUUUUUAAUGUACUCAUUCUAAUAUAAUAUUGAUAGAAAUUUAAAAAAAUCAAUAGUAACUUUGACUCUAUUGUUCAUAUUCCAAAAUAUAAUUUUCUUAUCAUAUUUCAAAAAAAAAUCUCAAAUUCAAAUAUAUCUUAUUCUUCUACUUUCUAAAUUGGAUCGGAUUUUUUAAAAAAAAAUUUAUGCUUUCGAACUUAAACUGCUGGACUCAAUUCAUAUAAUAAUCAUAAAAAAAAUUUAAAUGUUUCAACACAUUAUAUCUAAUUGUUAUAGUAGCAUUUCCAUUUUCAUUUUAUUUCUCUAUGUAAUGUUUCCAAACAAUAUAAAAAUUAUGAAAUGAAAGAAAAUUGAUCAUGUUGAUAGUGAAUAACUACUAAAGAAGAAUUCUUAUUUUUGGAAAGCUUUCAAAAUCUAUAUAGUAUGAAAUUAUGAGUCAAUUUAAUUGACUUCCUCCAUAAACUAAAUUUGAUCAAAUUUAAUUUGUCCUAAUCCUUAUUAGAUUUAUUUAAAUCUAUUUAGAUUAUGUUGUAAAAGUGUCAUGUUGCAUUUUUUCAAUAUUUCACUUGUUUUAAGCUCAUGCUUCACUACCCUCAUCUUCGUAUAGAUAUAAAUUUCAUUGAAAUUUCUUCGUCAACCAAACUUCUCUUCAAAGAAAUUUCAAUCGUAAUAGUGUUAGCAAAAAAAAUUCUAACUAUUGACAAUAAACUUAUAACUAGUUUUUAUCUUAUAUAUGUAUUUAAAUUUACUGUAAAUAGCAUCACUAACUUGAAUAAAUUUUAAAUGGUUCUAUAAUUUUUGGUAACAACCUAGCAGACUAAACAAUUCUUUUUUCUCCCACCAGCAUAGGACGACAUCGACAAUUAUCAAACUUUAAUAAUUAGUCAUUUACAUUAAGGUGACUAGUUAUUGUGUAGGUCAAAAUCUGACCAUAAUAGUCGACCAAGUUGGGACCCCGCCUAGGUGGCGAAAUAGCGAGAAGCACCACGGCUAACCUCAGUCCAAGCAUCGAUAGUGUAUGUUAAGUAAAAACAGUACUCAAGUAAAUGACUGAAAAGACCGUUGCGUAAAGAUACAUCAAUCGAAGAACACAAUAAAUAUCUUAGAAAUAUAUAUAGAAGGGGAAUUCUCAAAAAAAGGGACUGGACUUUUCCUCUCUACUCUCUUUCCAAAAAUUUCUUCUGGUGCAAGAAUGUAAAUUGAUUUUUCUCUGUAUCUAAUGAAAGAUGAGAUAGUAAAAUCAAUAAAUACUGAUUGCUCUUAUUCUUCAUUCAUUAUAUUGCUUUACGUUUUUAGAUCUGAAGUUAAUUAUGCCUCACUAAGAUUUGCCUCUUCAUUAUCAUUAAUUGCUUAACAAAAAAGGUUUUACUAUUCUGUAUCUUUUGGUCAAACAAUUUGGUACCGUUUGUGGGAAUUUCUUAGUCAAAUUUCCUAGUCUACUUUAGGUCCAAAACGGUGAAACAUAAUCAUCCAUCAGAAAGAAUGAUAGGAAACCUCACGUUCUAAUCUAGAUCUUGAUGCUCCGUGAAAACAAAAGUUACAAUUAAUAUCCAUGCAAAGCUCACAAGAUGAGAUGACACCCGUUGUACGAUCCUAUAAAAAAUUGGACACAUCUUUCCCUACUUUGACAUUCCCCCAGCGAGAUAAGACAAACCCAAACCCACACGGAGCCAGGGAAUCAAAAGGGGGGGAGAGCUGAAUACGUCUGCCGAAUGCACAAAACUACCACUCCGUCAACCACUCAAAUGCCAGGCAGAGCGAACAAUGCUAUAUGGCUACCCUCCUUCAUCGACUCAUCAGAUCGAGGUAAUAAAAAUCUCAACUUGGUUUACCUUAUGUUGCUUUCUUAAACAGGAGCACAAGUUCUGUAUGGGCGAGCAAGCAAAGAAGCAUUCCAACUGGAGUGGAAAAACUAUUACAAAAUAACUUAAAUGCCGCCCAUCUCACACAUCUAAACUUCUGGAAAGGGAUGUCCCCCAAGUCGUACUCCUCGUCCUCACCCGGGUAUUGUCCCGAUUAGUCUCUCCCGAGGAGAUUUUGAACAAGGCAGUGAGGGAGAUAUCACCAAGAUCAAAGUAUAGUUCAUCGUCCCGCGUAUCGGCAAUCCCCCCAGGCCGAAUGAUGAAGGGGUUAAACAUGGAAAUUCCAAGAUAUACAUGAAAAGAACAUGAGCAAGACAUCACACUCUGCAAUACAUACAGCAUUAAGCAAACUGGUCAUCCCCCAAAGGACACCUAAAACUCUCCGAAAAAUUGGGACUCAUAAAGGGUUAAAUUUUCGACGACAGCUCGAAAUAACACCCCUAUGGUUAAGGGUCAUCGUCGAAAAAUAAGAAUUUGACCUCGGUCGAAUUAUAAUGGGUUAACAUUUCGAUGACAGCUCGAAAUAACACCUCUAUGGCCAGGGUCCAUCGCUAAAAAAGAAGAGUUUUACCUCGCCCGAAUUAUAAUGGGUCAAUGUUUCGACGACAACUCGAAAUAACAUCCUUACGGCCAGCGACAUCGCCAAAAAAGAAGAGUUCGACCUUAUUUGAAUUACAAUAGGUUAAUAUUUCAACGACAGCUCGAAAUAACACCCCUACGGCCAAGGGCCACUGCCAAAAAAGAAGAACUCGACCUCGCUCGAAUUACAAUUAGUUAACAUUUCGACGGCAACUCGGAAUAAAACCCCUACAGCCAAGGGUCAUCACCAAAAAAGAAGAGUUCUACCUCACUCGAGUUAUAACGGGUUAACAUUUCGACAACAGCUCGAAAUUACACCUCUACGGCCAAGGGCCAUGUCUAAAGAAGAAGAAUUUUGUGAUGACCCAAAGGGGUCAUUACUGUAAUUCUCCCUUGUUCUAUGCAUUCGAGGCCCUGAAAAACAUCACUUUUAGUUGCUUCGAUUUGAGUGCGUAGUCCGGACGCGAAGCCGAAAAUUUUCAUGUUAAAAUAUGUGAAUUCUGUGAAAAUUUGAAGAAUUUUGAUAUUAAUAUUGAUAUAGUUAACUUUGGUCAACAUUUUGGGUAAACAGACCCGAACUCGUGAUGGGACGGUCCCUGGAUCUCUGUAGAAAAAUAUGGGACUCGGGCAUAUUCCCAAAAUCAAAAUCCGAGGUUCCGAGCCCAAGUAUAGAGUUUUUUAAAGAAAUUGUUUUCAGUAAUUAAUUAAGGAAAAUGGAAAGGAAAAUGAAUUAAAAACCUGUGGUAUCGAGCUCGUAUUUUAGUUCCAAUUUUUGGAACAGGUCUUAAAUAGGUGUUAAGAGCUAUCUGUAAAGUUUGGUUAAAAAUGAACGUCGUUUGACAUGUUUCGGACUAAAAGUGGGAAAUUUGAAGUUUGUGAAAGUUGAAAGAAGAAUUUUGUAUUUUGAGGCUUAAUUCAUAGAUCUUGAUGUUAUUUUGGCAAUUUGAUGACACGGGUAAGUCUGUAGGAUAUUUUUGAGGUUAUGUGCAUGUUUGGUUUGGAGCCCCGAGGGCUCGGGUGAGUUUUGGAUAGGCAUCUUGCAUUUCUCAUGUUUUGAAAAUCUUGUAUGAGACUUCUGCAAUUUUCGCAAAUGCGAAGCCAGAGUUCGCAAAAGUGAAUGCCCAGUUAUCGCAAAUGCGAAGGCUAGUUCACAAAUGCGAAACUAGCCCAGGCAGGCCAAUGUUCGGAAAUGCGAACUUUUCUUCGCAAAUGCGAGGAGGGGAGUUUGACCUAUUAUCACAAAUGAGAUCAAAUGUUCGCAAAUGCGAACCUUCCCCAAAUGGCCCAAGUUCGCAAAUGCGACUUAUUUCUCACAAAUCCAAGCUUGCUGAGUUCGCAAUUGCGAACCCAGCUUCGCAAUUGCGAUACGUGCACCUGCAUAUUUCAUACUUAGAUGAUUUUAGAGCUCAUUUUUCAUAAUUUCAAAACCCAAACACCCAUUGGAGAUUUCUCACAAACUCUCUCUUCUCCAAUCAAUUGUAACAACUUUUACUCAAUUUCUUCAAUCUUUAAUUUUAUUUAUCAUGAUUUCAUCUAAAAAUCAAGGUUUUUCCAUGGGUGAAAAUGGGGAUUUUGGGUAGAACCUAGGUUUUCACUAAAUUGGGGAUUUGGACCUCAAUUUGAGGCCCGAUUUCAAAACAAAUCAUAGUAUUGACUCGUGGGGGAAUGGGUAACCCGGUUUUAGUUCAAACCUCGAGUUUUGACCACGUGGGCCCUGGGCGUUUUGGGAAUUUUUGGGCAAAACUUUGGAAAAUUCAAUCUUACGCAUUCAAAUUGAUUUAACAAGCAUUUAUUGAUACAGUAGAGUAAUUUGUGACCAAAUUCGAACGGUUUUGAGUGAAUUUGAAGGGUAAAGCUAUACUAUAGGCUUGAGUUGUGUUUGGAACUUUCGAGGUAAGUGCUUAAUCUAACUUUGGCUUGAGGGAAUAGGAUUGAGGAAUUAUUUGCUAAUUGCUAAAUGUUGAGUACGGUGUAUACGCAUGGUGAUGAGUAUCUAUACAUUGGUGUCGAGUAUGACCGUGAGUCCUAAAUUGUUAGUUUAUCGAAUUAUUAAUUGUUAUUUAUGAGUAAUUGGUUGUAAAUCUUUAAUGCUAUGCUAGUAAUUGUUGUGACUAAGCAUGGAUUUUAUCGUGUAAGUAGAAAUCGAAUAAGUUUGGUUAUAGAUGGAUCUCCCUUGCCGGGAUAGUUUAUAAUAAUAUAUUUUCCUCCCUUACUGGGAUUACUUUGUGUUUUGUGUUGAAAGAUAAGGGAUCAUGUGGAACGCCGACCAUGAGAUAUUAUGAUUGGGAUCGUGCGGCACGCCGACCAUGAGAUAUUAUGAUUGGGACCGUGUGGCACGCCGACCACGAGAUAUUAUGAUUGGGAUCGUGUGGCAUGCCGACCACGAGAUAUUAUGAUUGGGAUCGUGCGGCACACCAACCACGAGAUAUUAUGAUUGGGAUCGUGUGGCAUGCCGACACUAGAUAUUAUGAUUCAGAUCGUGUGGCCCACUGACCACGAUAUAUUAUGAAAUGGGAACGUGUGACACGCCGUCCACAUAUGAAUUAAGAAAUGGGAUUGUGUGGUGCGCUGACCACUUAUAUAUGAGUUAUGGUAUUGAGGUAGUUUUGUUGCUAUAUCCGUUGAUAAGUUUUCACUAAAUCUCCCACGAUCAUGCCCCUUCCCUUUUAGUUGAUAUUUCUGUUUUUAUUUUUGUUGCUUCUGUAUAUGUAUAUAUAUCUGCACAGGUUGCUUUAGGUAGGUCCUGUCUAGCCUCGUCACUACUUCGCCGGGGUUAGGCCAGGCACUUACCAGCACAUGGGUCGGUUGUGUUGAUGCUACAUCUAUGCAUCGUUUUGCGCAGAUCUAGGUGUUGGAGUAGAAUUUGAGUAGCAGUAGCAUUUUGGGAGCGAGCUUCCAGUCUAGGGACAUUUGAGGUAGCCUUGUUAACGUCUGCAGGCUUGGAGUCCUUUCUAUUUCAUCCAGUUUUUUAUCACUGUACCGUAGAAGACAGUUUUAUGCUUCAUUUGAACCUUGUAUUUAGUAUUCUCUAGACGUUAGUGAGUAAUGUGACACCAGUCUUGGGUGGAGUAUUUGUUAAACUCCUACAUUUCUUUCAGUAAAUUACAUAAUUGUCUUGCCUAGCUCUUAUUAGUAGGCGCCAUCACGACUCCCGAGGGUGGGAAGUUCAGAUUAUGACAAGUUGAUAUCAAAUCACUAGGUUACAUAGGUCUCACAACUCAUGGACAAACUCGGUAGAGUCUGAGGGAUCUGUACGGAGACAUCUGUAUAUAUCCCCCAAAGGCUACUGAAUUAGGAAAAACUUCACACUGGUUCUUUCUUGUCGUGUGUUUCCGUUUCUCAAACACCGUUUGAAUUUCUACUCUAUUCUUUCACAGAUGGAAAGAACAUGCACUUCAUCAUCAAUUGCUCAAUGAUCUGAGCCUCGAGUAGCAGUCCCAGAGGCAGAGCCACAGGUCGAGUUUGAGUAGGAGGUUCUAGCCCUAGCAGCUCCGAUGGGCCCAGUUCAGGUCUCGGAGGGGUUAAUAGCCAUCUAAGUUCUUCAGGACGCUUUUGUUAGAUUGGUAGGCCUUGUGGAGAGCCCUAUUCGAGCGGAUUUGCUUCCCGGAGUUCAGCCAGCAGUGGCAGGUCAGUCGGAUACAGUGGCUCAGGCCAAGAGUGAGAUUAUUUUUAGGAGACGGCCAAUAUGGGCCGCAGAGUUGAGGUGGUUCUGUCAUAGGGAGGCAGUCAUAUGUCGGAUAGGAGGCCCUGUCAUGUAUGCAGAUUCAGUGGUACCUCGUUUGGAGGUAGGGGUACUUAUGGUAGAGGCCAUCCUCCCAGGCCUUUUCAGUCAGCUCCCUAUGUCACUCAUGGUACUUCUGGUGUUCAUUCAGGCUGAUAGGGUCAGCCCCAGUUUCCUCAGCAGCAGCGUUUGACUAGAUAUUAUGAGUGUGGUGAGUAUGGUCACAACAUGGGGGUUUGUCCGAUGUUGAGGGGUGCUCAGCCGCAACAGAUGAGGUUUUGCCAUGCUUGUGGUGAUCCGAGGCACAUCGUCAGAUUUUGCCCUCGAGCUUAUGGCAGCUUCCAGCAUCAGAGUUCUCAUGCUAUAAUUUCGGCACCGGAGGUUGCACAACUUUCCCUGCCAGCUAGAGGCGGUGGCAGAGGUAUUAGAGGUAGAGUUCAGGUCGCUAGAGGUAGAGGCCAGCCAGCAGCUAGGUUAGAGGGUGAGUCUUCAGGUGCAAGCAUUAAAGGUACCAUUCUGAUUCGCAUUAGAGAUACUUCAGUUCUAUUUGACCCUGGAUUUACAUAGUCAUAUGUGUCGUCGUAUUUUGCACCCUACCCGGUUAUGCCUAGUGAUGCCUUGAGUGUUCCUAUUUAUGUAUCUACACUGGUAGGUGAUUCUAUAGUGGUCGACCGAGUGCAUCGUUCAUGUGUGGUAGUAUUUGAGGGUUUGGAGACCCGUGUCGACUUAUUUCUCUUAGAUAUGGUGGACUUUGAUGAUAUAAUCGGGAUUGAUUAGUUAUCCCCGUGCCAUAAUAUUUUGGGACUGUCGCACCAAGACCGUGACUGUGGCUUUACCCGAUUUUCUCCAUAUAGAGUGGGGAGGGAUUUCAGAUCAUCCAACCCGCAGUGUGAUGUUGUAUGCGAAGGCUCGACGUAUGGUUGAGAAGGGGUGUCUAACAUAUUUGGCGUAUGUUUGCGACUCCAGCGCAGAGUUUCUAUCUAUCGACUCUGUUCCUAUUGUUCGGGAAUUCCCCGAGGUUUUCCCUUCAGACCGGCCGGGUAUGCCGCCUGACAGGGAUAUUGAUUUCUGCGUGUUGACUUAUUGCUCUUAGAUAUGAUGGACUUCGAAUUCAUAUUGGGGAUGGAUUGGUUGUCCUCGUAUCAUGCUAUUUUGGAUUGUCACACCAAGAUUAUGACCUUCGCUUUGCUAGAUUUGCCCCAUUUAGAGUGAAGAGGGACUUUAGAUUAUUGGACCCGCAGAGUGAUAUCGUGUGUGAAGGCUCGACGCAUGGUUAGGAAGGGGUGUUUAGCUCAUUUGGCGUAUGUUCGCGACUCCGGCGCAGAGGUUCCUUCCAUUGGUUUUGUUCCUAUUGUUUUAGAGUUCCCCAAAGUUUUCCCCUCAGACCUGCUGGGUAUGCCGCUCCACAAGGGUAUUGAUUUCUGUAUCGAUCUGGCUCCGGGCACUCAACCCAUUUCCAUUCUACCCAGUAUCGCAUGGCCCCACCAUAGUUGAAAGAGUUAAGGAACAACUUCAGGACUUGCUUGAUAAGGGUUUCAUUAAACGUAGUUUAUCACCUUGAGGUGCGUCAGUGUUAUUUAUGAAGAAAAAUGAUGGGUCGGUGAGGAUGUGCAUUGAUUACCGACAAUUGAAUAAGGUGACGAUACAGAACAAGUAUCCACUAUUGAAGAUUGACAAUUUAUUCGACCACCUUCAGGGUGUUAGGGUGUCCUCGAAGAUAGAUUUGAGGUCUGGUUAUCAUCAGCUCAGGAUUAGCGCCUCUGAUGUCCCUAAGACAGCAUUUCGUACUCGGUAUGGGCAUUAUGAGUUCUUAGUCAUGUCAUUUGGAUUGACCAAUGCCCCGACAGCAUUUAUGGGGUUGAUGAACCGAGUGUUCAGGUCCUAUUUAGAUUUGUUCGUGAUUGUUUUUACUGACGACAUUUUGAUAUACUCCCGCAGUCAGAAGGAUCAUGAUCAGCACCUCAGAGUGGUUCUUCAGACUCUGAAGAAUAGUCAGUUGUAUGCCAAGUUAUCGAAGUGCAAGUUUUGGUUGAGUUUUGUUGCAUUCCUGGGUCACGUAGUUUCGGCAGAGGGUAUUCAGGUGGACCCGAAGAAGAUUAAGGCAGUCAAGAACUAGACUCGACCAGCGUCAGCUACAAAGAUUCAGAGUUUCUUGGGGUUAGCAGGUUGCUACCGACGCUUCGUGGAGGGGUUUUCAUCCAUUGCAGCCCAAUUGACUAGAUUGACCCAGAAGGGUGCCCAGUUCAGGUUGUCAAAUGAGUGCGAGGCAAGCUUCUAGAAGCUCAAUACAGCUCUGACUACGGCACCGAUAUUGGUUUUGCCUACAGGAUCAGGGCCUUAUACCGUCUAUUGUGAUGCAUCCCGUUUUGGGCUAGGCACAGUGUUGGUGCAGAAUGGCAGAUCAUAGCAUAUGCUUCGAGGCAGUUGAAGAUCCACGAGAAGAAUCAUCCAGUUCAUGACCUAGAGUUGGCAACAUUGAUAUGGAGGCAUUAUUUAUAUGGUGUGACGUGUGAGGUGUACACGGAUCACAAGAUCCUUCAAUACUUGUUCAAGCAGAAGGAGUUGAAUUUGAGGUAGAGGAGGUGGUGGAGUUGUUGAAAGACUAUGAUAUUUCUAUUUUAUACCACCCAGGAAAGACCAAUGUGGCAGUCGAUGCAUUGAGUAGGAAGUCCACCAGCAUGGGUAGUCUUGCUUAUAUCCCCGUCAGCCAAAGACCGCUUGCUUAAGAUGUUUAGACCUUGGCCAAUCAAUUUGUGAGGUUGGAUAUUUCUGAGCCUAGCAGGGUGUUAGCUUAAAUAGUUGCUCGUUCGUCAUUAAUGGAGCGUAUCCGUGAGCAGCAGUUUGAUGAUCCCCAUUUGUGUGUCCUGAGAGACACGGCGCAACGUGGAGGUGCCAAGAAAAUGACCUUGGGAGGUGAUGGUGUAUUGAGACUGCAGGGGCAAGUUUGUGUGCCCAAUGUUGAUGGUAUUCAGGAAUCGAUCUUAGCGGAGGUCUACAGUUCUUGGUAUUCUAUUCAUUCGGGCGCCGCAAAGAUGUAUCAGGAUUUGAGGCAGCAUUAUUUGUGGCACAAAAUGAAGAAGGACAUUGUUGCAUAUGUGGCUUGUUGUAUAAACUGUCAGAAGGUUAAGUAUGAGCAUUAGAGGCCCGGUGGUUUACUUCAGAGGAUUGAGCUUCCCGAGUGGAAGUUGGAGAGAAUUACCAUGGAUUUAGUUUCUGGCCUUCCGAUGACUCAGAAAAAGUUUGAUGCUAUAUGGGUUAUUUGGAUGGGUUGACCAAGUCAGUGCUAGGAUUUAUAUCAUGGAGAUCGUUUCCCUUCAUGGGGUGCCUAUAUCUAUAUUUUCAGACUGGGGCCCGUAGUUCACCUCGCAUUUCUGUAGAGCGGUACAGUAGGAGUGGGGCACCCAGGUUUACUUGAGUACAGCAGCAUUUCAUCCCCAAACGGACGGUCAGUCCAAGUGGACUAUUUGGAUUCUUGAGGAUAUGCUCUGAGCCUGCAUAAUUGAUUUUGGAGGCUCGUGGAACCAGUUUUUUUCCAUUAGCAGAGUUUGCCUACAACAACAGCUACCAGUCCAGCAUUCAGAUGCUUCUGUAUAAGGCAUUCUAUGGUAGGCGGUGUCGGUCCCCAGUUGGAUGGUUUGAGCCAGGAGGGGCUUGGUUAUUGGGUACAGAUCUAGUUCAGGAGGCCUUGGAUAAGGUCAAGAUAAUUUAGGACAAACUUCGAACAGCUCAGUCUAGGCAGAAGAGUUAUCAAAACUGCAAGGUCCGAGAUAAUGCUUUCAUGGUUGGUAAGCGAGUGUUGCUCCAAAUGUCGCCUAUGAAGGGAGUGAUGCGAUUCGGGAAGAAGGGAAAGCUUAGCCCUAGGUUCAUUGGCUCAUUUGAGGUUCUUGAUCGCAUGGGAGAUGUGGCUUAAAGACUUUCCUUGCCGCCUAGCUUGUCAGCCGUGCAUCCAGUUUUUCAUGUAUCCAUGCUUCGGAGGCAUCAUGCCGAUCCAGCCACGUGUUAGAUUUCAGUACUGUCCAAUUCAACAAGGAUCUGUAUUAUGAGGAGGAGCCAGCGGCUAUUUUAGACCGGCAAGUUCGAUAGUUGAGGUCGAAGAGUUUUCCUUCAGUAUGUGUUCAGUCGAGAGGUCAGCCUCCUGAGGCAUUGACCUGGGAGUCUGAGUCUGAUAUGCAGAGCCGUUAUCCUCAUCUAUUCCCCGACUCAGGUAAUUCUUUAUUUUGUCCGUUCGAGGAUGAACGGUCGUUUUAGGGGUGUAGGAUGUGACAACCCAAAGGGGUCAUCACUGUAAUUGUCCCUUGUUUCGUGCAUUUGAGGCCCUAAAAAUCCUUGCUUUUAGUUGCCUCAAUUUGCGUGCACAGUCCAGCGCAAAGCUGAAAAAUUUUUAUGCUAAAAUAUGUGAAUUCUGUAAAAAAUUUGAAGAAUUUUGAUAUUAUAUUGAUAUAGUUGACUUUGGUCAACAUUUUGGGUAAACGAACCCUGACCCGUGAUGUGACGGUCCAGGGAGGUCCGUAGAAAAAUAUGGGACUCGGGCGUAUUCCCGAAAUCAAAAUUCGAGGUUUCGAGACCGAGUAUAGAAUUUUUGAAAGAAAUUGUUUUCUUUAAUUAAUUAAGGAAAUUUGAAAGGAAAAUGAAUUAGAAACAUGUGGUAUCGGGCUCGUAUUUUAAUUUCGAUGCUCAGUACAAGUCUUAAAUAAGUGUCAAGCGCUAUCUAUAAAGUUUGGUUGAAAACGAACGUCGUUUGAUGUGUUUCGGACUAAAAAGGGGAAAUUUGAUGUUUGUGAAAGUUGAAAGAAGAAUUUUCUAUUUUGAGGCUUAAUUUAUAGAUCUUGAUGUUAUUUUGGCGAUUUAAUCACAAGAGUAAGUCCGUAGGAUAUUUUUGAGGUUGUGUGCAUGUUUGGUUUGGAGCCCCAAGGGCUCGGGUGAGUUUUGGAUAGGCAUCGGAUUGCAUUUCUCAUGUUUUGAAAAUCUGGUAUGAGGCUUCUGCAAUUUUCGCAAAUGCGAAGCCAGAGUACGCAAAAGUGAAUGCCCAACUAUCGCAAAUGCGGAGGCUAAUUCGCACAUGCGAAACCAGCCCAGGCAGGUGAAUGUUCGCAAAUGCGAGGAAGGGGAGUUUGACCUAUGAUCGCAAAUAUGAUCAAAUGUUUGCAAAUGUAAACCUUCCCCAAAUGGCCCAAGUUCACAAAUGCGACUUACUUCUCACAAAUCCCAAGCCUGCUGGGUUCGUAAUUGCAAACCCAGCUUCGCAAUUGCGAUACCUGCACUUGCAUAUUUCAUACUUCACAAAAGCGAAUGCCCAGCUAUCGCAAAUGUGAAGGCUGGUUCACAAAUGCAAAACCAACCUAGGCAGGCCAAUGUUUGGAAAUGUGAACUUUUCUUCGCAAAUGCGAGGAAGGGGACUUUCACCUAUGAUCGCAAAUGCAAUCAAAUGUUCGCAAAUGCGAACCUUCCCCAAAUGGCCCAAGUUCACAAAUACGACUUAUUUCUCGCAAAUCCCAAGCUUGUUGAGUUUGCAAUUGCGAACCCAGCUUCGCAAUUGCGAUCGUGCACCUGCAUAUUUCAUACUUAGAUGAUUUUAGAGCACAUUUUUCAUAAUUUCAAAACCCAAACACCCAUUGGCAAUUUCUCACAAACUCUCUCUACUCAAUUUCUUCAAUCUUUAAUAUCAUUUAUCAUGAUUUCAUCUAUAAAUCAAGGUUUUUCCAUGGGUGAAAAUGGGGAUUUUGGGUGGAACCUAGGUUUUCACUAAAUUGGGGAUUUGGACCUCAAUUUGAGGUCCGAUCUCAAAACAAAUCAUAGAUAUUGACUUUUGGGGGAAUCGGUAACUCGGUUUUAGUUCGAACCUCGAGUUUUGACCACGUGGGCCUUGGGGGGUUUUGGGAAUUUUUGGGCAAAACUUUGGAAAUUUCAAUAUUAUGCAUUCAAAUUUAUUUAACAAGCAAUUGUUGAUACAUUUGAGUAAUUUGUUACCAGAUACGAACGGUUUUGAAAGAAUUCAAAGGGUAAAGCUAUACUAGAGGCUUGAGUUGAGUUUGGAACUUUCGAGAUAAGUGUUUGAUCUAACUUUGGAUUGAGGGAAUAGGAUUGAGGAACCAUUUGCUAAUUGCUAAAUGUUGAGUACGGUGUAUACGCAUGGUGAUGAGUAUCUAUACGUUGGUGUCGAGUAUGACCGUGAGUCCUAAAUUGUUAACUUAUCGAAUUAUUAAUGGUUAUUUAUGAGUAAUUGGUUGGAAAUAUUUAAUACUACGCUAGUAAUUGUUGAGACUAAGCAUGGAUUUUAUCGUGUAAGUAGAAAUCGAAUGAGUUUGGUUAUAGCUGGAUCUCUUUGCCGAGAUAGUUUAUUAUAAUAUAUUUUCCUCCCUUGCUGGGAUUACUUUCUGUUUUGUGUUGAAAGAUAAGGGAUUGAGUGGCAUGCCGACCACGAGAUAUUAUGAUUGGGAUCGUGUGGCACGCCGACCACGAGAUAUUAUGAUUCGGAUCGUGUGGCAUGCUGACACGAGAUAUUAUGAUUGGGAUCGUGUGGAACGCCGACCACGAUAUAUUAUGAAAUGGGAACGUGUGGCACGCCGUCCACUUAUGAAUUAAGAAACGGGAUCAUGUGGUGCGCCGACCACUUAUAUAUGAGUUAUGGUAUUGAGGUAGUUUCGUUGUUAUAUUAGUCGAUCAAAUAUUUGUAAAUGCGAACCUUCCCCAAAUGGCCCAAGUUCGUAAACGCGACUUAUUUCUUGCAAAUCCCAAGCCUACUGGGUUCGCAAUUGUGAACCCAGCUCUGCAAUUGCGCUACCAGCACCUGCAUGUUUCAUACUAAUACGAUUUUAAAGCUCAGUUUUAGUAAUUUCAAAACCCAAACACCCAUUGGCGAUUUCUCAUGAACUCUCUCUUCUCCAAAUCAAUUGUAAGUCAACUUUUACUCAAUUUCUUCAAUCUUUAACAUCAUUUAUCGUGAUUUCAUCUUAAAAUCAAGGUUUUUCCAUGGGUGAAAGGAAUUUUGGGUAGAACCUAGGUUUUCACUAAAUUGGGGAUUUAGACCUCAAUUUGAGGUCCGAUUUCUAAACAAAUCAUAGAUAUGGACCCGUGGGGGAAUAGGUAACCCGAUUUUGGUUCGAACCUCGGGUUUUGAUCACGUGAGUCUGGGGUGUUUUGGUAAUGUAUUGGCAAAACUUAGGGAAAUUCAUUCUUAUGCAUUCAAAUUAAUUUAACAAGUAUUUGUUGAUACAUUUGAGUAAUUUGUGACUAGAUUCGAAUGGUUUUGAGGUGAAUUCGAAGGGUAAAGCUAUACUAGAGGUUUGAGUUGAGUUUGGAGCUUUCGAAGUAAGUGUUUGAUCGAACUUUGGCUUGAGGGAAUAGGAUUAAGGUAUUAUUUGUUAAUUGCUAAAUGUUGAAUAUAUUAUAUAGGCAUGGUGACGAGUAUCUAUACACUAGUGUCGAGUAUGACCGUGAGUCCUAAAUUGUCAACUUAUCGAAUUCUUAAUUGUUGUUUAUGAGGAACUGGCUAGAAAUCUUUAAUACUGCGCCAGUAAUUGUUGAGACUAAGUACGAAUUUUAUUGUGUAAGUAGAAAUCGAAUGAGUUUGGUUAUAGCUGGAUCUCCCUUGCCGGGAUAGUUUAUUAUAAUAUAUUUUCCUCCCUUGUUGGGAUUACUUUGUGCUUUGUGUUGAAAGAUAAGGGAUUGAGUGGCACGCCGACCACGAGAUAUUAUGAUUGGGAUCGUGUGGUACGCCAACCACGAGAUAUUAUGAUUGAGAUCAUGUGGCACGCUGACCACGAGAUAUUAUGAUGGGGAUCGUGUGGCACGCCGACCACGAGACAUUAUGAUGGGGAUCGUGUGGCACGCCGACCACGAGAUAUCAUGAUUGGGAUCGUGUGGCACGGAACAUGAAAUAUUAUGAUUGGGAUUGUGUGGCACGCCGACCACGAGAUAUUAUGAUUGGGAUCGUGUGGCACGCCGACCACGAGAUGUUAUGAAAUGGGAACGGGUGGCACGUCGUCCACUUAUGAAUUAGGAAAUAGUAUCGUGUGGCGCACCGACCACUUAUAUAUGAUUUAUGGUAUUGACAUGUUUCGUUGUUGUAUCCGUUGAUCGGUUUUCACUGCAUCUCCCUGAUCACGCCCCUUACCCUUUUAGUUGAUAUUUCUGUUGUUAUUCUCGUUGCUUCUGUACAUGUACUGCACAGGUUGCUUUAGGUAGGUCAUGUUCAGCCUCGUCACUACUUCGCCGGGGUUAGGCCAGUCACUUCCCAACACAUGGGGUCGGUUGUACUGAUUCUACAUUCUGUGUAUAUUUUUGCACAAAUCCAGGUGUUAGAGCAGCAUUUGAGUAGCAGUAGCAUUUCGGGAGUGAGCUUCCAGUCCAGGGACAUUCGAGGUAGCCUUGCUGAUGUCCGCAGGCCUAGAGUCCUUUCUAUUUCGUCCAGUUUGUUAUCAUUGUACCGUAGCUGACAGUUUUAUGCUUCAUUCGAACCUUGUAUUUAGUAUUCUCUAGACAUCCAUGAGUAAUGUGACACCUGUCUUGGGUAAUGUAUUUGUUAAAAUCCCGCAUUUCUUUCAGUAAAUUAUAUUUCAGACUUCCGCUUUAUUGUUAAAUGUUUUAUUGUUGCUAAUAGUGUCGAUGUUCGUUAAAUAGGUAUUGGACAAUUGGCUUGCCUAGCUCCUAUUAGUAGGCGUCAUCACGACUCCCGAGGGUGGUAAGUACGGGUCAUGACAAAUUCGACCUCGCUCUAACUAUAAUGGGUUAGCAUUUCGACGAUAGCUCAAAAUAACACCCAUACGACCAAGGGCCAUUGCCAAAAAAGAAGAAUUCGACUUCGCUCGAAUUAUUAUGUGUUAACAUUUCCAUGAUAGCUCGAAAAAAGACCCCUACGGCCAAGGGCCAUCACCAUAAAAAAGGGUUCGACCUCGCUCAAAUUAUAAUGGGUUAAUAUUUUGACGACAGAUCGAAAUAGUACCCCUACGAUAAAGGGCCAUCGCCAAAAAAGGGUUCGACCUCGAUCGAACUAUAAUGGGUUAACAUUUCAACUAAAAUUCGAAAUAAUGCCCCUACAGCCAAGGGCCAUCGCCAGAAAGGAAGAGAUCGACCUCGAUCGAAUUAUAAUGCGUUAACAUGUCGACGACAGCUCAAAAUAAUGCCCCUACGGCCAAGGGCUAUCACAAAAAAGAAGAAUUUGGCCUCGCACGAAUAUAAUGAGUUAACAUUUUGAUGGAAGCUCAAAAUAACAUCCCUACAUCCAAGAUCCAUCGCCUAAAUAGAAUGGUUAGACCUAUCUCGAAUUAUAAUAGGUUAACAUUUUGACGACAGUUCGAAAUAACACCCCUACGGCCAAGGGCCAUCUCUAAAUAAAAGAAGAAUUCGAUCUCGCUCGAAUUAUAAUGGGUUAGCAUUUUGACGACAGCUCAAAAUAACACCCCUACGGCCAAGAGUCAUCGCCAAAAAAAAAAGAAUUCGACCUCGUUCGAAUUAUAAUAGAUUAACAUUUCGACAACAACUCGAAAUAACACCUAUACGGGUGUCACAACCCGGACUUCCCACCCUCGGGGGUUGUGAUGGCGCCUACUAUUUAAAGCUAGGAAAUCCACUUAUCUUACUCCUUUCGUUUAUAAUCCAUUAACGAUUAUAACUUAACAUUCAUAAAUAGCGGAAUUUAAUUGAGCGAAAGAAUGAAAAAUUAAUUAUUUAGCUGAUAGCAAUAUGAAUCCAUAACAUAAACUACCCAAAACUAGUGUCACAAUCUCACGAACUGUCUAAGAAAACAACAAAUAAAGUCUGAACAAGAAAGUACAUGUCUGUCUCGGAAAUAGCAAAGAACAAAUGAAAAAUAGAGAGAGAGGUGAUGCCGAGGCCUGUGGACGCCUGACUACCUCGGGUCUCCUGAUAGACUGAAGGCUGCAACCCCAAGCUAAGGUCUGUAUGCUCCAGUACCAGGAUCUGCACAAAAGAGUACAGAGUGUAGUAUCAGCACAAUUGACCCCAUGUGCUAGUAAGUGUCGAGCCUAACCUCGGCGAAGUAGUGACGAGGCUAGGACACAAUAAACCAAUAACCUGCAGCUAAACAGUAUCUACUAGAACAACGGUAAUAAAAGUAAUUCAAAAGUAACGGGGGAAGUUUACCAUGCUAUAGGGAAGAAUACCAACAUAAUGAAUCACGGUAAUAGUGGAAUAAGACAAUCAAGGUACUUGAACCAAAGCAGCAAGCAGUCAAAAUAAACAGGCAAUAAGUGCAUGGCAUCACCCUUUCGUGCUUUUACACUCAAUCCUCACCAAUGUAAUCAAAUAAUGAAAAUGUAUAUGGCAUCACCCUUCGUACUUCAUCUCUCUUCCCCACCAUAUAAGAAUUAGAACUGUGCACGGAAUCACCCUUCGUGAUUUAUCUCUCUUUCCUCACCAAAUGCAUAAAUAUGAAUGUGCACGGCAUCACCCUUCGUGCUUUAUAACUCUUUCCUUACCAAAUGCAUAAAUAUGAAUGUGCACGGCAUCACCCUUCGUGAUUUAUCACUCUUUCCUCACCCCAAACAAUAGAAACUACAAUAUCCUGGCAAAGGAAUCAACAAAAAGAAUUAACACAUCUCGGCAAGGGAAUCAACAGUAAGAAAUAGGCACGUCCCGGAAAGGGAAUCAACAAUAAGAAUUAAAUACGUCCCGGCAACGGAAUCAACUAUAACCAAACUUGCACCAAAAUAUCAACUUCACCAUUGAACUCAACUAGAGCCAAUGUCCAACAAUAAACAAAUACCAAGAAAAUAAUCAUAAAUCUUGCUCAACAUUGAUGAUCAACAAUCUAGGCAUUUGUAGUACAUACUAAGAACCAAAACGAUCACAAAAUAAGACCCACGUGCAUGCUUGACACCAAUGUAUAGGUACUCGUCACCACACCUAUACGCCGUAUACUACACUAGCACAUAACAAAUAAGGCAUAAUAUAUAUUCCCUCAAGCUAAGGUUAGACCAAACACUUACCCUCGAUGCCACAAUCACAAUUCAAGCCUCAACUAUCGCUUUACCUCUUGUUUCCACCACCUUUUUUAAUUCGCUUGUAUCUAGCCACAAGUUAUUUAAGUAUAUCAAUGAAUGCUAAAUGAAUAAAUUCUAAUACACAAAAUAUGUUUUCCAAUGAUUUCCCCAACAAAUCAAAAAAAUGAUGUUGGGCCCAUACGGUCAAAACCCGAGGUUCGAACUAAAAUUCGAUUACCCAUCACCCACGAACCCAAAUAUAUAAUUUUUUUUGAAAUCGAACCUCAAGCUGAAGUCCAAAUCCCCAAAAUUUGAAAAUCCUAAGUUCUACCCAAAACACCCAAUUUCCCCAUGAAAACUCUUGAUUUUGAAUUGAAAUCAUGUGAGAAGAUGUUAUAGAUUAAAGAAAAUGAGUUAGAAACAAAUUACAAUUGAUUUGUAGAAGAACUAUUCUUUAAAAAAUCGCCCAAGAGAGUUUAGGGUUGGAGAGAGUUUGAAAAAUGAAGAAAAAUGUGUCUAAGUCUAAAUUGUGAACCCCUUCAAGACCUGCUAUCUUCGCAAAUGCGAAGAAUAUGUCGCAUUUUUUACCAUGAAGAAGUUCGUCACCUUCGCAUUUACGAGAGACCCUUCGCAUUUGCGAUGUCGCAUUUGCGACCAAGGCCUACACAGGCUUGGUUCGCAUUUGCGACACUAGGGUCGCAAUUACCAAGAAUGUCCACUUUGCAAUUGCGAAGCCUGAUCUCGCAAUUGCGAGGUCAGAGGCCUAGCAAAAACGCCAGAUACCAACACUUGCUCAUAAGUCCAAUUUCACACUGUGGCUUAUCCAAAACUCACCCGAGCCCUUGGGCUCCAAACCAAACAUGCACCCUAACCGACAAACAUCAUACGAAAGUUGCUCGUAUGAUCAAAUCAUCAAAACACAUCGAUUACUAUGAAUUUGGCAUCAAAAUCAACUAAAAUCUAAUUAACUCUUAAGUUCCAUUUCAUAACAACCGAGGUUCCGAUCCACAUCAUAUUAAGUCCGUUUCUUACCAAAUUUUACAGGCUCAACUUAAAUACCAUAUAUGACCUGUACUAGGUCCCGGAACCAUAAUACAUGCCUGAUACCAUCAAAUUCAAACACAUUUAGAUUUCCAAAAAAACUCUUAUAAUUUCAGUUAAAUAAUUUUCUUCAAAAAUUCAUUUCUCGGGUUUGGGAGCUAGGAAUUUGAUUCCGAGCAUACGCCCAAGUCUCGUAUUUUUCAACGGAUCAUCCGGGACCGUCAAAUCAUGGGUGUCGACCCAAAAUGUUGACCGAACUUACUUAAAUCAAAUUUUGAAUCCCAAAUUAGCAUAUUCAUCAAAUUUUUACAUAAAAAUUUUUCUACGGACCCUCCCGAACCGUGCAUGCAAAUCGGGGUCAUAUAAAAGGGGGCUUUUAAGGCCUCUGAACACAUAAUUUACUUGUUAAUCAAGUUAUGACAUUUUGGGUCAUCACCUAAACAGAAGAGUUCAACCUAACUCGAAUUAUAAUGGGUUAAACAUUUUGUCGAUUGAUCGAAAUAACACCCCUAAAGCCAAGGGCCAUUUCCAAAAAUGAAGGGUUCGGCCUCUCUCAAAUUAUAAUGGGUUAACAUUUCGACCACAACUCAAAAUAAUAGCCCUACGAUCAAGGGCCAUCGCCAGAAACGAAGAGUUCGACCUUGAUCAAAUUAUAAUGGGUUAAUAUUUCGACGACAGUUCGAAAUAACGCCCCUAUGGCCAUGGGCCAUCACCAAGAUAGAAGAGUUCGACCUUGAUCUAAGUGCAACGAGUCAACAUUUUGACUCUAGCUCAAAAUAAUAUCCCUACAACAAAGGGCCAUCGUAAAAGGAAAUCUCCAAACUUAUUCGAGCCCGAAAAUGCCUUUGUAGUUAUAAGCUGUCUUGUGUGCGUUUUUCCUUCCACUUAUUAAAAAAUUGAUUUUGCUACAAACUCAAAAUUCGACCUCGUUCGGACGUGAAAACAAAAGAGAAGCGACUUCGUCUGGGUCAACGACAGUUUCACCCUGCUCGAACGGCUCAAGUCAAGACUAACCUCGUCCAGAACAACGAAAUAAUAUACUCAUUUGAGUCAAAGACGAAUCUGCUUAAAGCAAUAAGUCGCCAGUCGAUUCCACCCCAAGCAGGUGAAUAGAACGAGACUCCGUCCGGACUCAUGGUGAAUUCCUGCUUUGUCCAGCUGAAAUUGGUUUUCCUAAAAAAUUAGGAAUCCACCAUAUGAAGAUCCAACAAUUCAUGCCAAAAGAUAUGUAAAGCAAAAGAGGGAGAGAUACAAAGAAUUUAAGAUGAUGAAAACUGUGUUAUUUAAACAGUUGCAAAAAAGACCGCAAAUUGUACACUACUAAAAUCGGCCCAACACAAUUAAAAAAAGUCAACAAUGUAAACAACGACAAAUAAUAAAAGACAACAAAGAUAACAACUUUUUACUCGAUGCCAUUACCGUCGUCCUCCUCAUCGCAAUCUCCACGAAACUCCCCCUCAGCAUCAACAUCUUCGCCGACCUCCAAUGUCACGGGUUCAUAACCAUAGUUAACACGAGCCUCUCGUUCCUUCACCCGAGCUCCUUUGUAAGCGGACUCAAAAACAUUGCCCGCUUCAUACAUACUCUUGUAUAUGUUCCGCUGGGCUUCGGCAUGAACCCAAAGUUCAUGCAAAUGGCGAGGAACAAUGGCGGAGGCUAACAAUUUGGGCUAACAAUCGCCAGUCGAUUCCAUCCCAAACAGGCGAAUCGAAUGAGACUCUGUCCGGACUCACGGUAAAGUCAGGCUCUGUCCAGUUGAAAUUGGUUUUCCUAAAAAAUUGGGAAUCCACCAUAUGAAUAUCCAACAAUUCAUGCCAAAGAUAUGUAAAGCAAAAGAGGGAGAGACACAAAGAAUUUAAGAUGAUGAAAACUGCAUUAUUUAAACAGUUGCAAAAAUGGCCGCAGAUUAUACACGGCUAAAACCGGCCCAACACAAUUAAAAAAGUCAACAAUGUAAACAACAACAAACAAGAAAAGACAACAAAGAUAACAACUUUUUACUCGACGCCAUCACCGUCGUCCUCCUCAUCGCCAUCUCUACAAAACUCCCCCUCAGCAUCAACAUCUUCGCCGACCUCCAGUGUCGCGGGUUCAUAACCAUUGUUAACACGAGCCUCUCGUGCCUUCACCUGAUCUCCUUCGUAAGCAGACUCAAAAACAUUGCCCGCUUCGUACAAACUCUUGUAUAUGUUCCGCUGUGCUUCGGCAUGAACCCAAAGUUCGUGCAAAUGGCAAGGAACAAUGGUGGAGGCUAACAAUUAUGCCUUUUUGGCCUCAAGAACGGCGACCCGAUCUCCCAAAGUUGAAGCUUCUGGGUCAAUGUCGCCAAUACGCUCCUCGAGCUUCGCCUCCCUGAGCGUAGUCGUUGCCCUCUUAGGAACCUGCUUGGAUUGAAGGACAUAUAUAAUGUCCUCUAAAGCCGCCGCUCUAGCCGAAGCUGACGCCCAGGCACUGUCGACACUCUCCAACUCGGAGACCUUUCUCUCCAGCUCUGGUAAUUUCCCCAUCCACUCGAUGCUAAAAUCCUUGACUCUGACGGCAUUAAUAUCCAACUCAGACUGCAAUGACUGCACCUUCACCUGAAGAUGCUCACACUUCGGAGUGAUCCCUUUACCUAAUUCAAGUUCUUUGUCUUUAACACGAAGCUGCUCCUCGAGCUCAUUAUUCCUGCGAAUAGCCUGCAUCAGCUCCUGAUCCCUCUUCUCCAAUUACUUACCAAGAGAUCGAUCACCGGUGUUUGCCCCCACUCGUCCAUGCAUCUCAUGUCACUUGUUAAGGUAGUGCCAAUACUUCUCCUACAUCGUUUAAAAAGUUUUGGCCCGAGUGUCGUCCCUACAAGCACUUUCAAUCUCCACCAUGUACGUCUGAAAGACGAAAAGAUUGGUUAAGACAAAGGUCACCAAAGAUGACAAGAACAUAAAAGAAAGGAGAAACUUACCCUCAAGACUAUAGAGGCCACUUCAUGCAUCAAACCAAACAUCACGAACGUCCCGGAGAGCCUCGCUCUUGGGAGUAGAGUACAAAAGGUCAAACUGUUGUACCAAGUCUUUCGUAUCCUCCCGAAGGUUAAUCUCCAACGAUAUUUCAAGUAUAAGAGACGGGCCUCCCGCAUAUACCAAUGUACAAGUAAGGCCUUCCUCGAACAUCCUAACAUCGUCAGGAUCAAGGAUGGACUCGAACUCAUAAUCAUCGACCACGAUACUUUCCCCUUUCAGCGACUAAGGAAGAAGAAAGACCCGGUACGGAAGAUGAAGGACCACCCAAAGUAGUAACAGCAGCCUCGGGAUUCUAAAUCCCCACCGUAGUAGUCUGUUGGUCAACAAUAACAGUUGUAGUCUCUGUCGACGGGUUGGUCACAAUAAUCGGCUCUACCUCUACAAACGAGUUAGCAUCGUCCCCCAUCUCAAACUCCGUCAAGGGGAUUCCACCUUCUGAGCCUACCACGACUGAAGGAGCCAUUUUGGAAUCCACUCGUCGUCUCUUUGACAGCCCUUCCCCGUCCUCAACACGGGAAGACUCCCCCAUUGAGCAGGCAGUAGGAGUUGGAGCCCUAGAUUGAGGGACAGUCUCCGGCUGCGGCCGUAAAUUCAACUUGAGUGGCCAUUGAUGUAGGUCAGAUAGAUGACCUUAGUACAAGCCGAGUAGAAGAUGUCGGUUAAUGAAGUACAAGUGGAGGAGCCCUCGUCCUUCGCACUCUCCCUAAUAAUGAUAAAAGUCAUAUACGCAACAAAGCCAAAUUACAAAGUGGAAACAGAAAUUAUGGCAACACUACUUAGCAAUAAGGGGCAUACGUCCAUAUUUCUCAAAGAAGGACGACCAUUCGCGAACUCCCACUGUAUGAGGAAGAAUGGCAUUCACCCAUUUGCAGAUAUCGUCAACAGGCGCAGAGAGUAGUCUCGUGGCUACAAAAGCAAAAACAGUUCAAUACCGCCCAAAGAGAAGCAGACGAACAUAUCACUCUGACAAAAAGAUACAAAAAUUUACGUGUGAAGUUCAUUUCUCGUGGGAACCCUACGGAAUCCACCAAAAGGUGCCCAGUCCCCACAUAAAAGUAGUUUUCAUAGAAAUGAUGGUUGUCUCUAUCGUCCAUCUUCACUACCAGACUCUUGGUCCCUCGAUGGUGCAUGUGAAUCAUCAUGCCUCGAAUGAAUUGAGGGGCAAAAAUAUUGAGCAUAUGUCUCAGAAUGAUCUCACGACAGGCAAGCUCCGCGAACUUGAGUAGCAUCAAGAGCAUUUUAAACAUGUACGGAGAAAGUUGAGGCGGACACACCUCGUAUAAAUGACAAAAACCUACCACCAAGGAAGUGUGAGGAAGCGUAUACCCAAUAAUAAAAGGAUAUGUAUAGAACACACAGUAUCCUGGGCGGUCAAAAUGCAUGAUCUCAUCUCCCACUGUCGGGCGCAUCUCGAUGUGGUGUGGAAUCUCCCACCAAACCUUCAGCUCUGGAAUCGUCGUCUCAUUCAUAAUAGAGGAAAUAGGUUCUGGUUCCUCUCCGGCAGGGCUAUUGAAGUCGGUCCACUGCUUCUCGGGACGAGGCAAUAUUUCGGCCACCAUUUGAACCUCCUCAUCCUCUACUAUUUCUACUCCGGAAACAAGAACAUCAUUUCCCGAUGCCGGAACUGCAGCAAGAUUGUCAGCGCGGGAAGAAGUACCAACCAUUUAUCUCAAUUUAAUGGAAUAAAUGAACUAAGGAAAAAAGGAAGUUGAGAUGCCAAUUUUUGGCCAACAGGAGAGAACAAAAAAUCAGAAGUAUCAGAGAAGAUGAAGAUUCACAAGGUUCUUUCGACAAGUCAAGAAAGUGUGCCAAUAAAAUGGUGUUUCCCCUAUUUAUAGGGACAUAAAUGCCCGAAGUGGGAAACCCAAGUCGACAAUCAAAACCGAUAGGACAUGACAUGAUUCAAUCCCCAGGAAAUGUGUGUCAUAAUGGCAGUAAUCACAAAUGAUGCUUCGAAUCAAAUGACGUUUCGAAUUCGAACAGUCGUAACGAUCCAAAGGCACCGUUGAAACGCACACCAUUGCCUCAAUCUAAAAACUUCGUUCAGGGCACGAACUGUUAGAUUUCUCCUAAUCUUUGAAAUUACAAAGUCCACCCGCCGGGCCCAACAAGAGACGACCCCGACGGACGAAGGGACUAACUAGGGAUGGGCAUCGGUUGGUUCGUUUCGGUUAUGAAUGUUAUCGGUUCAUCAUAUCAGUUAUUGAUUUAUAAAUAUACUAAACUGAUAACCGAACCAAUAAGAUAUCGGUUAUGGGUAUCGGUUAGUCGAUUAUCGAUGCUUAUCAGUUCGGUUAUCGAUUUACCCGAUAAGAAUUAAAAAUAUCUAAUUUUUUUUGUUUUUAAUAGAAAUCGUGAUCAUACUGCUAAGAUAAUGGAACUGAAUUUUUGUUUUUAAAAAAGAGGGAUUAAAUUUCAUUUUUAGAAAAGAAACUUUCUUUGUAUUUGAAAAUUUCAAUGAAUGAUCUCAAAUUUCAAAGUUAUAAGUUAGUAGUAGUAAGAAAUAAGACAUUCAACAAGCUAAUCGUACUAACUAUCUCACUGGGGNNNNNNNNNNNNNNNNNNNNNNNNNNNNNNNNNNNNNNNNNNNNNNNNNNNNNNNNNNNNNNNNNNNNNNNNNNNNNNNNNNNNNNNNNNNNNNNNNNNNNNNNNNNNNNNNNNNNNNNNNNNNNNNNNNNNNNNNNNNNNNNNNNNNNNNNNNNNNNNNNNNNNNNNNNNNNNNNNNNNNNNNNNNNNNNNNNNNNNNNNNNNNNNNNNNNNNNNNNNNNNNNNNNNNNNNNNNNNNNNNNNNNNNNNNNNNNNNNNNNNNNNNNNNNNNNNNNNNNNNNNNNNNNNNNNNNNNNNNNNNNNNNNNNNNNNNNNNNNNNNNNNNNNNNNNNNNNNNNNNNNNNNNNNNNNNNNNNNNNNNNNNNNNNNNNNNNNNNNNNNNNNNNNNNNNNNNNNNNNNNNNNNNNNNNNNNNNNNNNNNNNNNNNNNNNNNNNNNNNNNNNNNNNNNNNNNNNNNNNNNNNNNNNNNNNNNNNNNNNNNNNNNNNNNNNNNNNNNNNNNNNNNNNNNNNNNNGGGGGGGGGGGGGGGCAAUUCACAGAAAAAAAUAAAAUCAUAAUCUUGUAAAGUCUAAAAAAGUAGUGCAACAAAAGAAACAAAUAGAAAAACUAAAAAUUUGAACAAUUAAUUUUUUAAAUUUUAAAACUAAAAAUCUUAAAUAAAGAAUUAAGAUGAGAAAUUCAGAAAAGUUUAAAACUUACUCUAAGGGUUAAGGUUUGAAGAUGAAGAGUAACCGCCGAGAGAAUUUAGAGAAUGAAAGAAUGCAGCCAUAAGGGUGGCUUUAUAUAUUUAAUAGGUAAAAUUAUAAUUUUGUAAAAGCUUAUUGGGCUAUCCAUUAAACCAUUACUAAAUUGGACAAACCGAGACCCGAACUGAUAACCUAAUAGUCAAAUAACAUUAAACCUUUAUCGAACUAUUUACCGAGUAACCCGAUAUCGAUAACCUAAUAGUAUUUUAUUGGUUCAGGCUAUCGGUUAUCCCCGAUAUAUGUCUAGCCCUAGAACUAACUGUAUAGGUCAAAAUCUGACUACAGUGGUCGACCAAGUUGGAACCCCGCCUAGGUAGCGGAAUAGUGAGAAGCACCACGGCUAACCUCAGUCCAAGCAUUGAUAGUGUAUCUUAAGUAAAAAUGGUACUCAAGUAACGACGGAAAAGACCAUUAUGUGAAGGUACAUCUAUCGAAGAACACAGUAAAGAUCCUAGAACUAUAUACGGAAGGGGAAUUCUCGAAAAAGAGGGUUGUAUCUUUCCUCUCUACUCUUUUUCCAACAAUUUCUUUGGUUGCAAAAAUGUAAAUUGAUUUUUCUCUCUAUCUCAUAAAAGAUGAGAUAGUAACAUCAAUAAAUACUCAUUGCUCUUAUUCUUCAUUUGUUAUCUUGCUCUAUAUUUUAAGAUCUUAAGUUAAUUAUGCUUGACUAAAAUUUAUUCCUUCGUUAUCAUUAAUUGAUUUACUAAAAAGAUUUUACUAUUUUGUAUCUUUUGAUCAAACAAUAACAAUCUUUCUAUGGAUGUAGAUCAAGAAUGUUUAUAGUGUAUUCACUUGAAUCUUACACCAUUAAUUUGGAUGUUACUUCUGCAAUACUAGGAGUACUUUUGCUUGAAGUUGAAAUUCAAAGUUUCUCAUACAUGCACCAUAUGGCGCGUUUGUAAUAUAGUAUUAGAUUGCAAUCCUAAUACACAUGAAUUGUCAAAACCUUUACUUAUAUUCACAGCAUUUGACAUAUUAGUUGGAGUUGAACCAUUUUGUAGAAUAAAAGCUUCAUGAAAUUAUACCAAAUGUGAUGUCCUUUUAUCUUAUUGUUAUGGUAUGGAAGAUAACUCGCAAAGGUCAAAAGUUUCUUAAAUUAUACUCAACUUGACUGGAAAACCUAUUAAUUUAAAGGAGAGAAAAUCUAUUAGAGCCCACUGUAUAGAUAAAUUUUGUACAACCAUGGUUAUCUUCUUAUAGAAGAAUGAAAAAUAAAAUAUGAUUAUUGAUUUCUAAAAGUUGGAUACACACGUUUGUUAUUGUCCUAGGGUUCAAUAAACCAAAUAAAAUACCAGUGCAAGAUAAGGAUCCUUUAUCGUGUAAAAUAUCUCUUUAAUAUGUUAAGAUGUAAUGGGGCAACUUAGGUAUAGAUUUCAAUUUUUGUACUAAAGGUGUUUGAGGAGUCGGGUCGACCUAAUUCUAAUCGAUGGGAACAAAUCGGACUGGCCCGAAAAAAGGGGGUGGGGUGGGGCUGGCCGAUCAUUAUGAAAACCGACGAUCAUGCUGGUUCAAAUUAGCUUACAGUGUCCCCGAAAUUGAUAAACUUAAUAAAAAA
rnacentral:lncRNA from 1 species